rnacentral:lncRNA from 1 species
UUUUUUUUUGUGAAAUUUGAGAAGAGAAGAGUCAAAACUCUACGUCAGGAUGCCUUACCAGAGCGAUGAGGAGACUGGGAAGUAAAAAGAAUUCCUAAACUCUCCGAUAUGUAAUUCCUAAAUGACUCAAAACAUUUUUUUAGACACAACUCAGCCACUAAAAACGAUCAAGCAAUGGGGCUCCUAAGGUCGGGGAAGGCUCUGAUACCAACUUGUAACACCCUCGAUGCGACUAUAGCUCCCACGUGUCGAGGCACGACUUAGAGACAUAAUCGCAUUGAAGGCAUAUGUCGCAAGUUAGGCAAUCUUCACAACAUCCCAUGUAAUUUAAAUAAUAAAGGGGAGAUAACAAUAGUUGGCUUACACUCGCCACGUCAAUCAAGUACAGAAAUAACAUUACAUCAACCAAACACUCAUGGCACGACUACGGCGCCAAAAUAAAAGAUAACCCAACAAGCGACACGGUCCCAAUCACCCCCAACUGGGCACCACUACUGAUCAUCGGGAAAGGAAACAUAGUAACGUUGAGAGUCUUCGUCGAACUCCCUGAGCUCAUACGCGUCUCCUGGAGCGGAAUCAUCAGGCCCUGCAUCUGUUGUAAAAGUAAUCUGUGAGCCACAGGGACUCAGCAAUCUCGCACCCUCGCGAUCAAGACUAUUUAAGCUUAUAGGUAAGGCAAGGUAAAUAUAUGUGGAGCUGCAGCAAGCGACUAGCAAGUAUGGUGGCUAACUUAUUCGCAAAAGAGAGCGAGAAGAGGAGGCAAAGCACGAGCGAGAAGCUAGAGAACAACCUACACAAACAUUACUCCAACACCGUGUCCGCUUCCCGGACUACGCCGAGAAGAGGCCAUCACGGUAACACACUCAGUUGAUUCAUUUUAAUUAAGUUAAGGUUCAAGUUAUCUACAACCGGACAUUAACAAAUUCCCAUCUGCCCAUAACCGCGGGCACGGCUUUCGAAAGUUCAAAUCCCUGCAGGGGAGUCCCAACUUAGCCCAUGACAAGCUCUCACGGUCAACGAAGGAAUAGACCUCCUCCCAAGACGUUCCGAUCAGACUCGGUAUCUCGGUUACUCAAGACACUUUGACAGGUUAAAACAAGACCAGCAACACCGCCCGAAUGUGCCGACAAAUCCCGAUAGGAGCUGCACAUAUCUCAUUCUCAGGGCACACUCAGGUGAGACUAGCUACGAGUAAAACCAACCCUCAAGUUUCCCUGAGGUGGCCCCGCAGGCAGCUCAGUUCGGACCAACACUCAGAGGAGCACUGGCCCGGGGGGUUAAAAUAAGAUGACCCUUGGGCUCCGGUAACCCAAGGGAAAAAGAGGCUAGGUGGCAAAUGGUAAAACCAAGGUUGGGCAUUGCUGGAAAAGCUUUAAUCAAGGCGAACUAUCAAGGGGUUCCCAUUAUAACCCAACCGCGUAAGGAACGCAAAAUCCGGGAACAUAACACUGAUAUGACGGAAACUAGGGCGGCAAGAGUGGAACAAAACACUAGGCGAGAGGCCGAGCCUUCCACCCUUUACCAAGUAUAUAGAUGCAUAAAGAUAGCAAGAUAAUAUAAUGAUAUCCCAACAAGUAAAUAAAUGUUCCAACAAGGAACGGCCUUCAAUCUUCACCUGCAACUAGCAACGCUAUAAGAGGGGCUGAGCAAAGCGGUAACAUAGUGAAAGCACAAGUGCUCCCUAGGUGGUUUUGAUAAUUGAUGACAACAUAUCUCUUGUUGGACUAACAUUUCUAUCUAGCAUGUUUCAGAUAAGUUCAACAAUGGAGUGGCAUGGACUAAAGGUUGUGGGAACUCCUUCAAGAUGCUAAGGACAAAGGAUUGGCUAAAGCUUCAAGCUCAAGACUCUUCAUUUUGCAUUUUAGUGAUCCAAGAUCACAUUGAGUCCAUAGGAAAAGCCAAUACCAUCAAGGAGGGAUGAGGUGUUGCUUAAUGAGCCUCUUGCUUCAUGUGCUUAAUGAUAUGCUCCAAAAUCCUCAGCUACUUUCCCACUUCCACAAAUGACCUAAACCCUAAGCCAAACUCGGUCAUACCGAUUCUUUAUAUCCGACGCCAUCGAGUUUCACAUGUCAUAAGCCACUGCCAAACCCUAGCAAUUCGGUUCUACCGAUAGGGAUCUCGGUCUCACCGAGAUGGGAUUGCCAACUCUCUGUUUCCCUUUCGUAACUUUUCGGUCUCACCGAAAGAGCGAAUCGGUCCCACCGAGAUUGCAGUGUAAACUCUUUGUUUCCUUUUUGUAACUUUUCGGUCUCACCAAAAGAGCAAAUCGGUCCCACCGAGUUUACCUGACCAACUCUCUGGUUAGCUUAUUACCAAACUCGGUCUCACCGAGUUUGUGUAAUCGGUCUCACCGAGAUUACGUUAUGCCCAAACCCUAACCAUAUCGGUCCUACAGAGUUGCACGUCUGUCCCACCAAAAAUCUCUAACGGUCACUAGGUUUACCUUUUCGGUCCGACCGAGUUUGUUGAUUCGGUCCCACCGAGAUUGGAAAACUGUGUGUAACGGUUGGAUUUUGUGUGGAGGCUAUAUAUACCCCUCCACCUCCUCUUCAUUCGUGGAGAGAGCCAUCAGAACACAUACACAAUUCCAACUCAUAUGUUCUGAGAGAGAACCACCUAAUCAUGUGUUGAGACCAAAAUAUUCCAUUCCUACCAUAUGAAUCUUGAUCUCUAGCCUUACCCAAGUUGCUUUCCACUCAAAUCCUCUUUCCACAAGGGCCAAAUCCUAUGAGAGAGAGUUGAGUGUUGGGGAGACUAUCAUUUGAAGCACAAGAGCAAGGAGUUCAUCAUCAACACACCAUUUGUUACUUCUUGGAGAGUGGUGUCUCUUAGAUUGGCUAGGUGUUACUUGGGAGCCUCCGACAAGAUUGUGGUGUUGAACCAAGGAGUUUGUAAGGGCAAGGAGAUCGCCUACUUCGUGAAGAUCUACCGCUAGUGAGGCAAGUCCUUCGUGGGCGAUGGCCAUGGUGGGAUAGACAAGGUUGCUUCUUCGUGGACCCUUCGUGGGUGGUUGCUUCUUCGUGGACCCUUCGUGGGUGGAGCCCUCCGUGGACUCGCGCAACCAUUACCCUUCGUGGGUAGAGCCCUCCGUGGACUCGCGCAACCAUUACCCUUCGUGGGUUGAAGUCUCCAUCAACGUGGAUGUAGGAUAGCACCACCUAUCCGAACCACGGGAAAAACAUCCGUGUCUCUAAUUGCGUUUGAAUUCUCCAAACCCUUCCCCUUACAUUCUUGCAAGUUGCAUGCUUUACAUUCCGCUGCUCAUAUACUCUUUGCAUGCUUGCUUGAUAUGUAUUGUGUAUGUUGAAAUUGUGCCUAAAACUCCACUCAAACCAAAAAGGCCUAAAAAUUGCAACUUUAGCACUAAGUGUCUAAUCACCCCCCCUCUAGACACAUCUACUUCUAGAUCCUACAAGUGGUAUCAGAGCUUUGGUCUCCAUUGCCUUGGUUUAAUUACCAUUGGAGGAAGAUGGAUGUGUCUACCUUAGGGAGUCUUAGACAUAGAGUGCCUAUUCUUGAUGGAGAGUAUUUUCAUGAGUGGAAAAAUGAGAUGCUUGUAAUUUUCAAUCAAUAUCAUUUGAACAAGUAUAUUGCUAGCCCUUGUGCACCUCAUAUUGAUCCUUUGCAUCCUACCCUAGAUGAACAUAUUGACAUGAUUCGCAAUCUUAGAACUAUUGAGCUCAUCAUUAGAGGAUUGCCCAAAAAUUUGAUUGCUAGUUUGCCUACUCUUAAUUGUGCCUAUACUAUAUGGAAAUUUCUUGAGGAACGAUUUCCCGAUCAUUCCUUGAAAACUUUGGAUGAAAUUCUCCAUAAAUCUAUUGCCUUGAGUAAGAUGAACUCUAGUGAUCCUAGUUUUGGUAAUUGUCUAUUUGAACUUACCAAUCUUAAGCAUGCUAAAGGAGAUGUUGGAAUCAUUAGUGAUAUCAUAUUCGAAGCUAUAAGAAUUCAUAAAAGUGACCACUUUGAUGAUCAUUUAUCUAAUGAAUUACCCUCUCUAGGAAAUGAUGAGUCACAAGAUCAUGAUGAACAUGGAUACUAUGAUGAUGAUGAUGAUAGUGACUUCGAUCUUGAUGAUGCAAUGAGACAUUUUGGUCUUAUGGCAAAUCUUCGGGGAUAUGAAUCAGGAGGAAAGGAAUGGGUUCUUGAUAGUGGGUGUACUGAUCAUAUGACCGGAGAUGAAGAGAUGUUUCGUGAGCUUGCUGAAAAUGACGGCCCUCGAAAAUAUGUCACCUUUGGUGAUAAUUCAAAGGGUAAAGUGGUUGGCCUUGGUAAGGUGGCCAUCUCACAUGAUAGUUCCAUUCAAAAUGUCAUGCUCGUUGAAUCUCUCGGCUACAACUUACUUUCAGUAUCUAGACUUGCUGAUUUCGGUUUGAAUGUCCUAUUUACUGAGGUAGAUUGCCAAGUAUUUCGUCGAGACAAUCAUAAAAUGGUCUUUACGGGUAUGCGUAGAGGUGAUCUUUACAUUGUCGAUUUCUCUAAAAAGGCACAACCUAAAACUUGCUUUGUUGCUAAAUCCUCAAAAGGUUGGUUGUGGCAUAGACGACUAGGUCACGUUGGCAUGAGAAACCUUGACAAGCUUAUUAAAGGAAAUCAUAUCCUUGGAGUUAACGAUGUCAUAUUUGAUAAGGAUAGACUUUGCAGUGCUUGUCAAGCAGGUAAACAGGUUGGAGGAAGGCAUCCCGUGAAGAACAUCAUGACCACAAGAAGGCCACUCGAGCUACUUCAUAUGGAUCUUUUUGGUCCUAACGCCUACAAGAGUCUCGAUGGAAAUUCUUUUGGUCUAGUUAUAAUUGAUGAUUUUUCAAGAUUUACGUGGGUGUUCUUUCUUAAUGACAAGUCGCAGGUCCAGAAGAUCUUCAGAAACUUCGCUAGGAAGGCCCAAAAUCAGUUUGAAGUGAAGAUCAAGAAGGUUCGGAGUGACAACGGAACGGAGUUCAAGAACGCAAAUGUGGACACCUUUCUUGACGAAGAAGGGAUUUCACACGAGUUCUCGGCUACGUACACACCUCAACAAAAUGGAGUUGUUGAGAGGAAGAACCGGACGCUCAUCAAAAUGGCAAGAACGAUGCUUGAUGAAUACAAGACGCCGAAGCACUUUUGGGCAGAAGCGGUUGAGACAGCUUGUCACGCAACAAAUCGCUUAUAUCUUCACAAGCUACUCGGCAAGACGGCAUACGAGCUUCUCACCGGUAACAAACCCCAAGUUGGAUACUUUCGAGUAUUCGGCUCAAAGUGCUACAUUCUUGAUAAGUAUCGUCGUUCAAAGUUUGCUCCUAAAUCUCAUGAAGGUUUUCUACUUGGUUAUGGCUCAAACUCUCACACUUACUGUGUCUACAACAAUUUCACCCGAAAGGUUGAAGAGACAGUAGAUGUGAAGUUUGAUGAAUCUAAUGGCUCGCAAGUAGAGCAAUUGCCAAUUGAUGUAGGAGACAAAGACCCUUCAGAAGCAAUCCAAGACUUGUCCAUUGGCAAAAUUCGUCCAACGGAGGUGAAGGAGAGUACUUCAUCCGUCCAAGUGGAAGCUUCUACUUCACGACAAGGUGAACCAAGAAUCAACACAGAGGCAUCCACAAGUGGGACACACCAAGAUGAAGAAGACAAGGAAAUGCAUCAAGACGAACAUCAACAACCUCCUUCUCCACCACGACAAGAGAACAACGACAUCAAUAAUGAAGAAGGCCAAGAAGAAGAACAAGAUUAAGAAGAUGUUCAACGAAGACCCAAGCAAAAGCUCUCACGAGUUCGAGCAAGAAUUGCCAAAGAUCAUCCCGUCGAGCAAAUCUUAAAUGAUAUACAAACCGGGAGAAUCACUCGCUCAAAAACUCGUUUAGCUAACUUUUGUGAAAACUAUUCAUUCAUCUCUAGCAUUGAACCUAUGAAGGUUGAAGAAGCAUUGGAAGAUCCGGAUUGGAUAAACGCUAUGCAUGAAGAGCUACACAAUUUUGAGAGAAACCAAGUUUGGACAUUGGUUGAGAAUCCCGACAACAACCACAACAUCAUUGGUACCAAAUGGGUGUUUCGCAACAAGCAAGAUGAAGAUGGACAAGUGGUUCGCAACAAAGCACGUCUCGUCGCCCAAGGGUACACACAAGUUGAAGGUAUGUACUAUGGUGAGACAUAUGCUCCCGUUGCUAGACUUGAGUCCAUUCUCAUCUUACUUGCCUAUGCUAAUCACCAUAAUAUCACCUUGUACCAAAUGGACAUUAAAAGUGCUUUUCUAAAUGGUGAAAUAGAGGAGGAAGUUUAUGUCAAACAACCUCCCGGCUUUAUCAAUCCUAAGAAACCAAAUCAUGUUUACAAACUUCACAAAGGUCUUUAUGGUCUUAAACAAGCUCCUAGAGCAUGGUAUAAAUGCUUGACCAAGUUCCUUAUUACAAGUGGUUUUGAAAUUGGUAAAAUUGAUUCUCCUCUUUUUACUAAAAGGGUUAAUGGAGAACUAUUUGUAUGCCAAAUUUAUGUUCAUGAUAUCAUAUUUGGUUCAACUAACCCUCUCUUUAGUGAAAAGUUUGGAAAGCUAAUGUCAGAGAAGUUUGAGAUGUCUAUGAUGAGUGAACUCAAAUUCUUUCUCGGUUUGCAAAUCAAGCAAACUAAGGAAGGUACAUUUGUCUCUCAAACAAAGUACACCAAGGACUUAUUCAAGAAGUUCAAUAUGCAAGAAUGCAAAGGUAUGUCUACACCCAUGCGUACUAGUGGACAUAAUGAUUUGACCAAAGAUGGUGAACCGGUUGACCAAAAGGUUUAUCGCUCUAUGAUUGGUUCAUUGUUAUACCUAUGUGCUUCACGUCCCGAUAUUAUGCUAACUGUGUGCAUGUGUGCACGAUAUCAAGCUGCUCCUAAAGAAUGUCAUCUUAAGGCUGUGAAAAGGAUAGUGAGAUAUUUAAUCCAUACACCAAAUUUUGGCAUUUGGUAUCCUAAGAGGUCUUCUUUUGAUCUUGUUGGCUAUUCCGACUCGGAUUAUGCCGGAGACAAGGUUGAUAGAAAGUCCACUUCGGGUACUUGUCAAUUUCUUGGUAGAUCUCUUGUGUCUUGGUCUUCCAAGAAACAAAACUCGGUAUCCUUAUCCACCGCCGAAGCGGAAUACAUUGCCGCUGGUUCAUGUUGUGCUCAAUUACUUUGGAUGACCCAAACUCUUAAAGAUUAUGGGAUCUAUGUGAAACAUGUUCCACUACUUUGUGACAAUGAAAGUGCUAUCAAAAUUUGGCAUAAUCCUGUACAACAUUCUCGAACUAAGCAUAUUGAAGUUCGUCAUCAUUUCAUUUGAGAUCAUGUUGCUAAGGGUGACAUUGAUCUUAAGCAUGUUCGCACCGAUAAGAAAUUAGCGGAUAUAUUUACUAAACCUCUUGAUGAGAAAGUGUUUUGCAGGUUGAGAGGAGAAUUAAACAUCAUUGAUGCUUCGAACUUGGAGUAGAAACUCCAUUGGAUACAUGCAAGACAUGAGCUUAUGACUAAUCCAUGAUAUAUCUCUUAUGAUAACUAUCUUAUGUCUUGGAUAUAUUUGCACCUUGCAUGUUGUCGAACCCAUGUAGGUGCUUGGUUGAAUCUAAUUCCAUGAGAUUGCGACUCACUCACAUCUUGAGCAAUCUCUACAUCACCAAGACUCUACACAAUGGUGGUUGAAGACAAGGAAGCACAAAACCAUUCAAACAUAUCCUUUGACAAAUUCUAUGUUGAGCUUCAUGAUUGUCAUUUUUGGAUACACAAGUGCUCUUCCUUGCAAGAACUAACCCAUGUAGGUACAUGAACUCAAACUCCAAGUGGUGCUCCCAACUCUUGAUGAGCUACAUCAAUCUUGAGCACCCACACAAGUUCAACUACAUGAGCAAGAACCACACCACCACCCAAGGUAUGUUAUUCCAUCUUAGAGAAGCUUUACUCCAAGACAUGAGUCAAAGCAACUCAACAAGAUGUGAAUACAUCAAGAUGCUUAAACGAAAAAUGGUAACCCCAUUUUGAGCUUAAACGAUGAGUAUGACCUAUGAUCAAGUGUUCUCACUUGACUCCUAAGUCAAUAUACUCUAACAUAGGUGACUAUGUCACCGCCCAACUCUAGAUGAAGUUCUCUUGUGUUCUUUUCUGUGUUAUUGCAUUUGUCUCAUUCAUGUUUAUUUUCUUUCUCUUUUUUUAAAAAAAACUUCAUCUAGAUCUUUCAGUUUCUUCUCUUUUCUUUCUGUUUAUGUUCUGCAUUUUCUGCAUUCAAUUCCUUGAAAAUCCUUCAGGUAAUUCAUUGCAAAUCUUUGUGAGAUCCUACAUGUCUAGUGAGCUGAGGUGACAAGUGUUUUUCUUUGUGUGAACUCGGUUUCACCGACUUGUAAUUUUCGGUCCAACCGAAUCUUUUCGGUGCCACCGAAACAUACCACUCGGUGCCACCGACUUCGCAACAGGAAAAACAGUUUGCCACUUGUUCUAUAUUUCUUCUGAUCCAGCUCUACUCAAUGAAUCUUGUCCUCUACAAGCAUCACAGUUUUAUCCAUUGCUUUGUGCUGAGUCUCAAGGACCAAACCUAUACGACGGAUUCCAGAAAGCCCUUCUUGGAAAUUGAUGUCAAAGGGGGAGAGAGAGAUCACAUCAAAGCAUGUAGGAGAGAGAGAUCACAUCAAGGGAGAGAAAAAGUCUCAAGGACCAAACCUACAAGAGAGAAAGUAUUAAGGGGGAGAAAGAGAUUUCCAGGGGGAGAGAAUACUCAAGGAUCCCAGAUGCUUGAUGUUCAAGAGGAGAGAUGCCACAUGCCUUUUUGAGGGAAAGACAUGUAUUUGCAUUAAGUUCUAUCCAUUUGUAUCUUUCAGCUCUGAUUUUCUGUUCCCUAUCUUCUCCCAAUAUCCCAUGUAAGAUUCAGGGGGAGCAAGACACCUAAGGGAAAGAAAUCAGUCAAAUUCAUUGCAUAUCUUUAUUCUUGGGGACAUGUUGAAUCCAAUGUGGUACCUUGUACUCACUCUCUACAUGUCAUCCCAGUCUUGGUAUUCUUGUGGUUUCUUUUGUUUGCUCUGGCUAGUGGAUGUACCUGUGUUAUCUAACUUUGUUUGUGCAGGUUCAUUCCAUCCUAAGCCAACUCAAGACCACAAGGUAAGUAUAUGCAUCAAAAUCAUGAGUAUGAGGAGUUCUUGCUUAUGUACAUACUGUUUGCAAGAAGGACUCAUGAGCAUGAAGGUAUUUUCCUUGAUAAUCUUUUGCUCUGAUGCAUAUGGCCAAGAACAUGUAACACAUUGCCUACUAUGUCAUGGUUAUGCUCUCACAUGCCUCUAUAUUUCAUAUUUACAUGAGUGCAUACAUGUAGGGGGAGCCUAUGCUUGUUACAUGUCCUUCCAAAGCUUUACUUGAUGUUCUUUAUAUCUUUAUCUAAAGCUUUGAUGUAUGUUGCCAUCAAUUACCAAAAAGGGGGAGAUUGAAAGCACAAGUGCUCCCUAGGUGGUUUUGAUAAUUGAUGACAACAUAUCUCUUGUUGGACUAACAUUUCUAUCUAGCAUGUUUCAGAUAAGUUCAACAAUGGAGUGGCAUGGACUAAAGGUUGUGGGAACUCCUUCAAGAUGCUAAGGACAAAGGAUUGGCUAAAGCUUCAAGCUCAAGACUCUUCAUUUUACAUUUUAGUGAUCCAAGAUCACAUUGAGUCCAUAGGAAAAGCCAAUACUAUCAAGGAGGGAUGAGGUGUUGCUUAAUGAGCCUCUUGCUUCAUGUGCUUAAUGAUAUGCUCCAAAAUCCUCAGCUACUUUCCCACUUCCACAAAUGACCUAAACCCUAAGCCAAACUCGGUCAUACCGAUUCUUUCUAUCCGGCGCCACCGAGUUUCACAUGUCAUAAGCCACUGCCAAACCCUAGCAAUUCGGUUCUACCGAUAGGGAUCUCGGUCUCACCGAGAUGGGAUUGCAAACUCUCUGUUUCCCUUUCGUAACUUUUCGGUCUCACCGAAAGAGCGAAUCGGUCCCACCGAGAUUGCAGUGUAAAAUCUUUGUUUCCUUUUUGUAACUUUUCGGUCUCACCGAAAGAGCAAAUCGGUCCCACCGAGUUUACCUGACCAACUCUCUGGUUAGCUUAUUACCAAACUCGGUCUCACCGAGUUUGUGUAAUCGGUCUCACCGAGAUUACGUUAAGCCCAAAUCCUAACCAUAUCAGUCCUACCGAGUUGCAUGUUGUUGGAAAUAUGCCCUAGAGGCAAUAAUAAAAGCAUUAUUAUUAUAUUUCCUUGUUCAUGAUAAUUGUCUUUAUUCAUGCUAUAAUUGUAUUAUCCGGAAAUCGUAAUACAUGUGUGAAUAAUAGACACCAACAUGUCCCUAGAAAGCCUCUAGUUGACUAGCUCGUUGAUCAACAGAUAGUCAUGGUUUCCUGACUAUGGACAUUGGAUGUCAUUGAUAACGAGAUCACAUCAUUAGGAGAAUGAUGUGAUGGACAAGACCCAAUCCUAAACAUAGCACAAGAUCGUAUAGUUCGUUUGCUAGAGUUUUCCAAUGUCAAGUAUCUUUUCCUUAGACCAUGAGAUCGUGUAACUCCCGGAUACCAUAGGAGUGCUUUGGGUGUGCCAAACGUCACAACGUAACUGGGUGACUAUAAAGGUAUACUACGGGUAUCUCUGAAAGUGUCUGUUGGGUUGACACGGAUCAAGACUGGGAUUUGUCACUCCGUAUGAUGGAGAGGUAUCACUGGGCCCACUUGGUAAUGCAUCAUCAUAAUGAGCUCAAAGUGAUCAAGUGUCUGGUCACGGGAUCAUGCAUUACGGUAUGAGUAAAGUGACUUGCCGGUAACGAGAUUGAACGAGGUAUUGGGAUACCGACUCGAAUCUCGGGCAUGUAACAUACCGAUUGACAAAGGGAAUUGUAUACGGGGUUGCUUGAAUCCUCGACAUCGUGGUUCAUCCCAUGAGAUCAUCGAGGAACAUGUGGGAGCCAACAUGGGUAUCCAGAUCCCGCUGUUGGUUAUUGACCGGAGAGCGAUCUCGGUCAUGUCUACAUGACUCCCGAACCCGUAGGGUCUACACACUUAAGGUUCGGUGAUGCUAGGGUUGUAGGGAUAUGUGUAUGCAGUAACCCGAAUGUUGUUCGGAGUCCCGGAUGAUAUCCCGUACGUUACGAGGAGUUCCGGAAUGGUCCGGAGGUAAAGAAUUAUAUAUAGGAAGUGCUAUUUCGGGCAUCGGGACAAGUUUCGGGGUCACUGGUAUUGUACCGGGACCACCGGAGGGGUCCCGGGGGUCCACCGGGUGGGGCCACCUGUCCCGGGGGGGCACAUGGGCUGUAGGGGGUGCGCCUUGGCCUACAUGGGCCAAGGGCACCAGCCCCAAGAGGCCCAUGCGCCUAGGGUUUCAAGGGAGGAAGAGUCCUAGGAGGGGAAGGCACCUCCUAGGUGCCUUGGGGAGGAGGGAUUCCUCCCCUUGGCCGCACCCCCGUAGGAGAUUAGAUCUCCUAGGGCCGGCGCCCCCCCCCCCUUGGCCCUCCUAUAUAUAGUGGGGAGAUGGAGGACUUCUUCCCUCUUGCCUUUGGUGCCUCCCUCUCCCUCUCCAACACCUCCUCCUCCUCCAUAGUGCUUAGCGAAGCCCUGCCGGAGUACUGUAGCUCCAUCACCACCACGCCAUCGUGCUGCUGCUGGAGCCAUCUUCCUCAACCUCUCCUUCCCCCUUGCUGGAUCAAGAAGGAGGAGACGUGACGCUGAUUGUACGUGUGUUGAACGCGGAGGUGCCAUCCGUUCGGCGCUAGGAUCUCCGGUGAUUUCGAUCACGUUGAGUACGCCUUCCUCAUCCCCGUUCUUUGAACGCUUCCGCGCGUGAUCUACAAAGGUAUGUAGAUGCAAUCUGAUCACUCGUUGCUAGAUGAACUCCUAGAUGGAUCUUGGUGAAUCCGUAGGAAAUUUUUUGUUUUCUGCAACGUUCCCCAACAGUGGCAUCAUGAGCUAGAUCUAUGUGUAGUUAUCUUGCACGAGUAGAACACAAUUUGUUGUGGGCGUUGAUGUUGUCAACUUUAUUGCCGCUACUAGUCUUACUUUGAUUCAACGGUAUUGUGGGAUGAAGCGGCCCGGACCAUCCUUACACGUGCGCUUACGUGAGACCGGUUCCACCGACUAACAUGCACAAGUUGCAUAAAGGUGGCUGGCGGGUGUCUGUCUCUCCCACUUUAGUUGGAGCGGAUUUGAUGAAAAGGGUCCUUAUGAAGGGUAAAUAGAAGUUGACAAAUCACGUUGUGGCUUUCACGUUGGUAAGAAAACGUUCUUGCUAGAACCCUACUUCAGCCACGUAAAACUUGCAACAACAAUUAGAGGACGUCUAACUUGUUUUUGCAGCAAGUGCUUUGUGAUAUCAUAUGGCCAAAGUUGUGAUGAAUGAUGAAUGAUCUAUAUGUGAUGUAUGAGAUGUUCAUGCUAUUGUAAUAGGAAUCACGAGUUGCAUGUCGAUGAGUAUGACAACCGGCAGGAGCCAUAGGAGUUGUCUUUAUUUUUUGUAUGACCUGCGUGUCAUUGAGAAACGCCAUGUAAAUUACUUUACUUUAUUGCUAAACGUGUUAGCCAUACAAAGUAGAAGUAAUAGUUGGCGAGCAACUUCAUGGAGACACAAUGAUGGAGAUCAUGAUGAUGGAGAUCAUGGUGUCAUGCCGGUGACAAGAUGAUCAUGGAGCCCCAAGAUGGAGAUCAAAGGAGCUAUGUGAUAUUGGCCAUAUCAUGUCACUAUUAUUAUUUUGAUUGCAUGUGAUGUUUAUCAUGUUUUUCAUCUUGUUUACUUAGAACGACGGUAGUAAAUAAUAUGAUCCCUCAUAAUAAUUUCAAGAAAGUGUCCCCCCUAACUGUGCACCGUUGUGACAGUUCGUUGUUUCGAAGCACCACGUGAUGAUCGGGUGUGAUAGAUUCUAACGUUCACAUACAAUGGGUGUAAGACAGAUUUACACAUGCAAACACUUAGGUUGACUUGACGAGCCUAGCAUGUGUACAGACAUGGCCUCGGAACACAGAAGACCGAAAGGUCGAGCAUGAGUCGUAUAGAAGAUACGAUCAACAUGAAGAUGUUCACCGAUGUCGACUAGUCCGUCUCACGUGAUGAUCGGACACGGCCUAGCUAACUCGGAUCAUGUUAUACUUAGAUGACUGGAGGGAUGUCUAUCUAAGUGGGAGUUCAUUAUAAUUUGAUUAGAUGAACUUAAUUAUCAUGAACUUAUUCUAAAAUCUUUACAAUAUGUCUUGUAGAUCAAAUGGCCAACGUAGUCCUCAACUUCAACGCGUUCCUAGAGAAAACCAAGCUGAAAGACGAUGGCAGCAACUACACGGACUGGGUCCGGAACUUGAGGAUCAUCCUCAUAGCUGCCAAGAAAGAUUAUCUCCUACAACCACCGCUAGGUGACGCACAUGUUCUCCCUGCAGAACAAGACAUUAUGAACGCUUGGCAGGCACGCACCGAUGACUACUCCCUCGUUCAGUGCGGCAUGCUUUACAGCUUAGAGCCAGGGCUCCAAAAGCGUUUUGAGAGACACGGAGCAUAUGAGAUGUUCGAAGAGUUGAAAAUGGUUUUCCAAGCUCAUGCCCGGGUCGAGAGAUAUCAAGUCUCCGACAAGUUCCUCAGCUGUAAGAUGGAGGAAAACAGUUCUGUCAGUGAGCACAUACUCACUAUGUCUGGGUUGCAUAACCGCUUGACUCAGCUGGGAGUUAAUCUCCCGGAUUACGCGGUCAUUGACAGAAUCCUUCAGUCGCUUCCACCGAGCUACAAGAGCUUUGUGAUGAACUUCAAUAUGCAGGGGAUGGAAAAGACCAUUCCUGAAGUAUUUGCAAUGCUGAAAUCAGCAGAGGUAGAAGUCAAAAAGGAACAUCAAGUGUUGAUGGUGAAUAAAACCACUAAGUUCAAGAAGGGCAAGGGAAAGAAAGCUUUCAAGAAGGACGGCAAGGGAGUUGCCGCGCCCGGCAAGCAAGCUGCCGGGAAGAAGCCAAAGAAUGGACCCAAGCUCGAGACUGAGUGCUUUUAUUGCAAGGAAAGCGGUCACUGGAAGCGGAACUGCCCCAAAUACUUAGCGGACAAGAAGGCCGGCAAAAUAAAAGUUUUUGUGAUAUACAUGUAAUUGAUGUGUACCUUACCAGUACUCGUAGUAGCUCCUGGGUAUUUGAUACCGGUGUGGUUGCUCACAUUUGUAACUCAAAAUAGGAGCUGCGGAAUAAGCGGAGACUGGCGAAGGACGAGGUGACGAUGCGCGUCGGGAAUGGUUCCAAGGUCGAUGUGAUCGCCGUCGGCACGCUGCCUCUUCAUUUACCUACGGGAUUAGUUUUAAACCUCAAUAAUUGUAAUUUAGUGCCAAGUUUGAGCAUGAACAUUGUAUCAGGAUCUCGUUUAAUACGAGAUGGCUACUCAUUUAAAUCCGAGAAUAAUGGUUGUUCUAUUUAUAUGAGAGAUAUGUUUUAUGGUCAUGCUCUGAUGGUGAAUGGUUUAUUCUUAAUGAAUCUCGAGCGUAAUGCUACACAUAUCCAUAGUGUGAGUACCAAAAGAUGUAAGGUCGAUAAUGAUAGUCCCACAUACUUGUGGCACUGCCGCCUUGGUCACAUAGGUGUCAAACGCAUGAAGAAGCUCCAUGCAGAUGGACUUUUAGAGUCUCUUGAUUAUGAAUCAUUUGACACAUGCGAACCAUGGCUCAUGGGUAAAAUGAUCAAGACUCCGUUCUCAGGAACAAUGGAGCGAGCAACCAACUUAUUGGAAAUCAUACAUACUGAUGUGUGCGGUCCAAUGAGUGUUGAGGCUCGCGGUGGCUAUCGUUAUGUUCUCACCCUCACUGAUGACUUGAGUAGAUAUGGGUAUGUCUACUUAAUGAAACACAAGUCUGAAACCUUUGAAAAGUUCAAGGAAUUUCAGAGUGAGGUUGAGAAUCAACGUGACAGGAAAAUCAAGUUCCUGCGAUCAGAUCGUGGAGGAGAAUACUUGAGUCACGAGUUUGGCACACACUUAAGAAAAUGUGGAAUAGUUUCACAACUCACGCCGCCUGGAACACCUCAGCGUAAUGGUGUGUCCGUCGUAAUCGCACUCUAUUAGAUAUGGUGCGAUCUAUGAUGUCUCUUGCCAAUUUACCGCUAUCCUUUUGGGGGUAUGCUUUAGAGACUGCCGCAUUCACUUUAAAUAGGGCUCCAUCGAAAUCCGUUGAGACGACACCGUUUGAAUUAUGGUUUGGGAAGAAACCUAAGCUAUCGUUUCUAAAAGUUUGGGGAUGCGAUGCUUAUGUCAAGAAACUUCAACCUGAAAAGCUCGAAUCCAAGUCGGAAAAAUGCGUCUUCAUAGGAUACCCUAAAGAAACUAUUGGGUAUACCUUCUACCUCAGAUCCGAAGGCAAGAUCUUUGUUGCCAGGAAUGGAUCCUUUCUAGAGAAAGAGUUUCUCUCGAAAGAAGUAAGUGGGAGGAAAGUAGAACUUGAUGAAGUAUUACCUCUUGAACCGGAAAAGGGCACAACUCAAGAAAAUGUUCCUGAGGUGUCUGCACCGACUAGAGAGGAAGUUAAUGAUGAUGAUCAAGAUACUUCUGAUCAAGCUCCUACUGAAAUUCGUAGGUCCACAAGGACACGUUCCGCACUAGAGUGGUACGGCAACCCUGUCUUGGAAAUCAUGUUGUUAGACAAUGGUGAACCUUCGAACUAUGAAGAAGCGAUGGCGGGCCCGGAUUCCGACAAAUGGCUAGAAGCCAUGAAAUCCGAGAUAGGAUCCAUGUAUGAAAACGAAGUAUGGACUUUGACUGACUUGCCCGUUGAGCGGCGAGCAAUAGAAAAUAAAUGGAUCUUUAAGAAGAAGACAGACGCGGAUGGUAAUGUGACCAUCUAUAAAGCUCGGCUUGUCGCUAAGGGUUAUCGACAAGUUCAAGGGGUUGACUACGAUGAGACUUUCUCACCGGUAGCGAAGCUGAAGUCCGUCCGAAUCAUGUUAGCGACUGCCGCAUUCUAUGAUUAUGAAAUAUGGCAAAUGGACGUCAAAAUGGCAUUCCUUAAUGGUUUCCUUAAGGAAGAAUUGUAUAUGAUACAGCCGGAAGGUUUUGUCGAUCCUAAGAAUGCUGACAAGGUGUGCAAGCUCCAACGCUCGAAUUAUGGGCUGGUGCAAGCAUCUCGGAGUUGGAACAUUCGCUUUGAUGAGAUGAUCAAAGCGUUUGGGUUUACGCAGACUUAUGGAGAAGCCUGUGUUUACAAGAAAGUGAGUGGGAGCUCUGUAGCAUUUCUCAUAUUAUAUGUAGAUGACAUACUUUUGAUGGGAAAUGAUAUAGAACUCUUGGACAGCAUAAAGGCCUACUUGAAUAAGAGUUUUUCAAUGAAGGACCUUGGAGAAGCUGCUUAUAUAUUAGGCAUCAAGAUCUACAGAGAUAGAUCAAGACGCCUCAUAGGUCUUUCACAAAGCACAUACCUUGAUAAGAUAUUGAAUAAGUUCAAUAUGGAUCAGUCUAAGAAGGGGUUCUUGCCUGUAUUACAAGGUGUGAAAUUGAGCUCAGCUCAAUGUCCGACCACGGCAGAAGAUAUAGAAGAUAUGAGUGUCAUCUCCUAUGCCUCGGCCAUAGGGUCUAUUAUGUAUGCCAUGUUGUGUACCAGACCUGAUGUAAACCUUGCCGUAAGUUUGGUAGGAAGGUACCAAAGUAAUCCCGGCAAGGAACACUGGACAGCGGUCAAGAAUAUCCUGAAGUACCUGAAAUGGACUAAGGAAAUGUUUCUCGUUUAUGGAGGUGAUGAAGAGCUCGUCGUAAAGGGUUACGUCGACGCUAGCUUCGACACAGAUCUGGAUGACUCUAAGUCACAAACAAGAUACGUGUAUAUUAUGAAUGGUGGGGCAGUAAGCUGGUGCAGUUACAAGCAGAGCGUCGUGGCGGGAUCUACAUGUAAAGCGGAGUACAUGGCAGGCUCGGAGGCAGCACAUCAAGCAAUUUGGGUGAAGGAGUUCAUUACCGACCUAGGAGUCAUACCCAAUGCGUCGGGGCCGAUCAAGCUCUUCUGUGACAACACUGGAGCUAUUGCUCUUGCCAAGGAGCCCAGGUUUCACAAGAAGACAAGGCACAUCAAGCGUCGCUUCAACUCCAUUCGUGAAAAUGUUCAAGAUGGAGACAUAGAUAUUUGUAAAGUGCACACAGACCUGAAUGUAGCAGAUCCGUUGACUAAACCUCUCCCUAGAGCAAAACAUGAUCAACACCAGAAUUCCAUGGGUGUUCGAUUCAUCACAAUGUAACUAGAUUAUUGACUCUAGUGCAAGUGGGAGACUGUUGGAAAUAUGCCCUAGAGGCAAUAAUAAAAGCAUUAUUAUUAUAUUUCCUUGUUCAUGAUAAUUGUCUUUAUUCAUGCUAUAAUUGUAUUAUUCGGAAAUCGUAAUACAUGUGUGAAUAAUAGACACCAACAUGUCCCUAGAAAGCCUCUAGUUGACUAGCUCGUUGAUCAACAGAUAGUCAUGGUUUCCUGACUAUGGACAUUGGAUGUCAUUGAUAACGAGAUCACAUCAUUAGGAGAAUGAUGUGAUGGACAAGACCCAAUCCUAAACAUAGCACAAGAUCGUAUAGUUCGUUUGCUAGAGUUUUCCAAUGUCAAGUAUCUUUUCCUUAGACCAUGAGAUCAUGUAACUCCCGGAUACCAUAGGAGUGCUUUGGGUGUGCCAAACGUCACAACGUAACUGGGUGACUAUAAAGGUAUACUACGGGUAUCUCCGAAAGUGUCUGUUGGGUUGACACGGAUCAAGACUGGGAUUUGUCACUCCAUAUGACGGAGAGGUAUCACUGGGCCCACUUGGUAAUGCAUCAUCAUAAUGAGCUCAAAGUGAUCAAGUGUCUGGUCACAGGAUCAUGCAUUACGGUACGAGUAAAGUGACUUGCCGGUAACGAGAUUGAACGAGGUAUUGGGAUACCGACGAUCGAAUGUCGGGCAAGUAACAUACCGAUUGACAAAGGGAAUUGUAUACGGGGUUGCUUGAAUCCUUGACAUCGUGGUUCAUCCGAUGAGAUCAUCGAGGAACAUGUGGGAGCCAACAUGGGUAUCCAGAUCCCGCUGUUGGUUAUUCACCGGAGAGCGAUCUCGGUCAUGUCUACAUGACUCCCGAACCCGUAGGGUCUACACACUUAAGGUUCGGUGAUGCUAGGGUUGUAGGGAUAUGUGUAUGCAGUAACCCGAAUGUUGUUCGGAGUCCCGUAUGAUAUCCCGGAUGUCACGAGGAGUUCCAGAAUGGUCCGGAGGUAAAGAAUUAUAUAUAGGAAGUGCUAUUUCGGGCAUCGGGACAAGUUUCGGGGUCACCGGUAUUGUACCGGGACCACCGGAGGGGUCCCGGGGGUCCACCGGGUGGGGCCACCUGUCCCGGGGGGCCACAUGGGCUGUAGGGGGUGCGCCUUGGCCUACAUGGGCCAAGGGCACCAGCCCCAAGAGGCCCAUGCGCCUAGGGUUUCAAGGGAGGAAGAGUCCUAGGAGGGGAAGGCACCUCCUAGGUGCCUUGGGGAGGAGGGAUUCCUCCCCUUGGCCGCACCCCCCUAGGAGAUUAGAUCUCCUAGGGCCGGCGCCCCCCCUNNNNNNNNNNNNNNNNNNNNNNNNNNNNNNNNNNNNNNNNNNNNNNNNNNNNNNNNNNNNNNNNNNNNNNNNNNNNNNNNNNNNNNNNNNNNNNNNNNNNNNNNNNNNNNNNNNNNNNNNNNNNNNNNNNNNNNNNNNNNNNNNNNNNNNNNNNNNNNNNNNNNNNNNNNNNNNNNNNNNNNNNNNNNNNNNNNNNNNNNNNNNNNNNNNNNNNNNNNNNNNNNNCCUCUUGCCUUUGGUGCCUCCCUCUCCCUCUCCAACACCUUCUCCUCCUCCAUAGUGCUUAGCGAAGCCCUGCCGGAGUACUGCAGCUCCAUCACCACCACGCCGUCGUGCUGCUGCUGGAGCCAUCUUCCUCAACCUCUCCUUCCCCCUUGCUAGAUCAAGAAGGAGGAGACGUUACGCUGACCGUACAUGUGUUGAACGCGGAGGUGCCGUCCGUUCGGCGCUAGGAUCUCCGGUGAUUUGGAUCACGUCGAGUACGCCUUCCUCAUCCCCGUUCUUUGAACGCUUCCGCGCGUGAUCUACAAAGGUAUGUAGAUGCAAUCCGAUCACUCGUUGCUAGAUGAACUCCUAGAUGGAUCUUGGUGAAACCGUAGGAAAAUUUUUGUUUCUGCAACGUUCCCCAACACAUGUCAGUCCCACCGAAAAUCUCUAACGAUCACUAGGUUUACCUUUUUGGCCCGACCGAGUUUGUUGAUUCGGUCCCACCGAGAUUGGAAAACUGUGUGUAAUGGUUGGAUUUUGUGUGGAGGCUAUAUAUACCCCUCCACCUCCUCUUCAUUCGUGGAGAGAGCCAUCAGAACACAUACACAAUUCCAACUCAUAUGUUCUGAGAGAGAACCACCUACUCAUGUGUUGAGACCAAGAUAUUCCAUUCCUACCAUAUGAAUCUUGAUCUCUAGCCUUCCCCAAGUUGCUUUCCACUCAAAUCCUCUUUCCAUAAGAUCCAAAUCCUAUGAGAGAGAGUUGAGUGUUGGGGAGACUAUCAUUUGAAGCACAAGAGCAAGGAGUUCAUCAUCAACACACCAUUUGUUACUUCUUGGAGAGUGGUGCCUCCUAGAUUGGCUAGGUGUUACUUGGGAGCCUCCGACAAGAUUGUGGAGUUGAACCAAGGAGUUUGUAAGGGCAAGGAGAUAGCCUACUUCGUGAGGAUCUACCGCUAGUGAGGCAAGUCCUUCGUGGGCAAUGGCCAUGGUGGGAUAGACAAGGUUGCUUCUUCGUGGACGCUUCGUGGGUGGUUGCUUCUUCGUGGACCCUUCGUGGGUAGAGCCCUCCGUGGACUCGCGCAAAUGUUACCCUUCAUGGGUUGAAGUCUCCAUCAACGUGGAUGUAGGAUAGCACCACCUAUCCGAACCACGGGAAAAACAUCCGUUUCUUCAAUUGUGUUUGAAUUCUCCAAACCCUUCCCCUUACAUUCUUGCAAGUUGCAUGCUUUACAUUCCGCUGCUCAUAUACUCUUUGCAUGCUUGCUUGAUAUGUAUUGUGUAUGUUGAAAUUGUGCCUAAAACUCCACUCAAACCAAAAAGGCCUAAAAAUUGCAACUUUAGCACUAAGUGUCUAAUCACCCCCCCCCUCUAGACACAUCUACUUCUAGAUCCUACACAAAGCCAAUCAAUGGUUUGCUAGGACAAUGGUGGGUUAGAGGUUUUACAUGGCAAUUUGGGAGGAUUGAAAGCAAGUGGUAGGCAUCGUAGCAAUGGCAUAGCAAAAGAGCGAGCAAACUAGCAUAGCAAAGAUAGUAGUGAUUUCGAGGGUAUGAUCAUCUUGCCUGCACAGUUGUCAGAGUUGACUGGAUCCUCGAAAGCAAACUCAACAGGCUCCUCGUUAGCGAACUCGUCUCCCGGCUCUACCCAAACAAGACAAACAAGCAACAAGGACACAAUCAACCACGUGCAAGGAGCAAACAAGAUGAUGCAAUGAUGAUAUGCUAUGCGGGAUGCGAUGCGGGAUGCAAAAUGCAAGAUAUGACAGGAAAUGCAAGAACCUGGAAUCAACAUGGAAAUCUAAGUGUGCCACUUGAAAGAUGAGACGAAAUCGCUUGAAAACAAUAUAAAGAACGCCAGAAUCGGAGUUACGGUUUGGAAAUGGCAAGCGAUACAAAAAUGGCACCGGUCUGUGAUUUACAGCAAGUAGCCAACUAAAUGCAAUGGGAUGAACAUGCUACAGCAACCAAACAUGACAACAAAAUACAUGGCAGGGAUGCACACAAGAUGCUUAACAAAAGUCUAGCACUGAGCUACGGCCAAUUCAUCCAUUAACAGGUUCAAACAAGCAUGGCAAAAAUGCAUAUGGCAAACAGAUCUCAGACUUAGUGAAAUCAACACUUGUCUGGAAUUUCAGAUCAGGUAGCACUCUUCGGAGCCACAAAACUACAUGCUACAGGAUCUGAACAUGGCAAAGUAAAGCAUGGCAUGGAGCUACUCGAGCUUAACAAAAGUCCCUUAGUGACCUUGAGCCAAAAGGGAUCAGAAAAUACAAUUGCAAGCACGUGAACAUAGCAAAAACAUAAUCAGUUUUCAUACUUAGUGAAAACAGGAGCAAGCUGAAAUAUAGCUCAAGUAGGCAUGUUUACGAGCUCGAUGCACUCACUACAGUGCAAGUCAUGGCAAGACAAGCAUACAUCCAGAAAGAAGGCACAAAAUUUAAGCUAUACAUGGCAAGAACAAUAGCAUAGCAUGCACGGAUCAACUACAACAUCAUCGGCAAAAUUGCAAACAAGUUGACAAUCUGCCCAGAUUCACAAAGUAGCAAAAGUAGAGCUCGAUUGACUCAAGCUAGGGUGCUCCAUAAUUUCAAACAAAGACAUGGAUGGAUAUAGCACUACAAGAUUAACAAAACAUCCUUACUGAUCAUCCUCAAAAGAGGCAUGGAUCACUAGGAAACAACAAGAACAUAUGGCAUAAACAGCUCCAGGACUUAGUGAAAUUACUAAGUCCCUGAAAACAGAAUUAGCAGGUGCACCACUUUGCAAGCUUGCACAAGUCACCACACACAUCACAAAAAUACAUGGGUUGCACCUCUGAAAAUAUGACAAAACCCUUAACAAAACAUAUGUAGAGCAUCAGGGCAUAUCAUGCACACAUUAAUCAUGGCAAAAAUGACAAAACCCUAAACGGAGUAGCAGAUCUGACAAUUAACUCAAGUAGCCCUCUUCUAACAGCAUUUAGGGCAUCAAGAUGAGCUCAAAUGAAAAUGAUGCAAUGGAAUGAAAUGAUGUACUCUCUGAGAUGAACAUUUUGAUAUGCUAUAUGCAUGAAUUGGAGCUACGGAUGCAAAGUUACGGAGCCGUGAACAUGAGCAUAUGGACUGAGAAUUUUGGGACUUAGAAGAAAAAAAUCACCCUGAGAUCUAGGGUUUACUGUUCACGGACGCGAACUGAGAACUCCGGCGAGGGUUGAAUUGCUCCGGCGAGGUCGCAAAACCGGCGGGGAGGAGAGGGAGAGCCGGACCCGGCCCGAUCCGGGCCGGAUCUGGCGGCGGACAGCGACGGCGGCCACCGGGGACGCGGGGCGGCGAGCUCGCGGCUUCCCGUGGGNNNNNNNNNNNNNNNNNNNNNNNNNNNNNNNNNNNNNNNNNNNNNNNNNNNNNNNNNNNNNNNNNNNNNNNNNNNNNNNNNNNNNNNNNNNNNNNNNNNNNNNNNNNNNNNNNNNNNNNNNNNNNNNNNNNNNNNNNNNNNNNNNNNNNNNNNNNNNNNNNNNNNNNNNNNNNNNNNNNNNNNNNNNNNNNNNNNNNNNNNNNNNNNNNNNNNNNNNNNNNNNNNNNNNNNNNNNNNNNNNNNNNNNNNNNNNNNNNNNNNNNNNNNNNNNNNNNNNNNNNNNNNNNNNNNNNNNNNNNNNNNNNNNNNNNNNNNNNNNNNNNNNNNNNNNNNNNNNNNNNNNNNNNNNNNNNNNNNNNNNNNNNNNNNNNNNNNNNNNNNNNNNNNNNNNNNNNNNNNNNNNNNNNNNNNNNNNNNNNNNNNNNNNNNNNNNNNNNNNNNNNNNNNNNNNNNNNNNNNNNNNNNNNNNNNNNNNNNNNNNNNNNNNNNNNNNNNNNNNNNNNNNNNNNNNNNNNNNNNNNNNNNNNNNNNNNNNNNNNNNNNNNNNNNNNNNNNNNNNNNNNNNNNNNNNNNNNNNNNNNNNNNNNNNNNNNNNNNNNNNNNNNNNNNNNNNNNNNNNNNNNNNNNNNNNNNNNNNNNNNNNNNNNNNNNNNNNNNNNNNNNNNNNNNNNNNNNNNNNNNNNNNNNNNNNNNNNNNNNNNNNNNNNNNNNNNNNNNNNGCGGUGUGUCCGCCCCGGGCGGACAAUGUCCGGCGGCGCGCAGGUUUUUUAGGGUUUCGGGGGGGGGGGGAGAAAGAUCCGGAUUUGGAGGGGGUGUAUAUAUAGCAUAGAGGGAGCUAGGAGAGUCCAAAAGAGGUGCGGUUUUCGGUCACGCGAUCGUGAUCGAACACUCUAGGUGAUGGAGCAGAGUUAGGUGGGUUUUGGGCCAAAAUGGAGGGGUGUUGGGCUGCAACACACACGAGGCCUUUUCGGUCCCUCGAAUAACCGUUGGAGUAUCAAACGAAGUCGAAAUGAUACGAAACUUGACAGGCGGUCUACCGGUAGUAAACCAAGGCCGCUUGGCAAGUCUCGGUCCAAUCCGGAAAUGUUUAAUCCACACACACGAAAGAAAACUAGAAAUGACCACCGGAGGAGAACGAAGCGCCGAAAUGCAAAACGGACAACGGGGAAAAUUCUCGAAUGCAUGAGACGAACACGUAUGCAAAAUGCAAUGCACAUGAUGACAUGAUAUGAGAUGCAUGACAACGACAACAACACACGGAGACAAAGAACCGAACCUGAGGAAAAUAAAUAUAACUUAACGCCAAAAUGGCAAGAGUUGGAGUACAAAUUGGGAAAGUUACAUCCGGGGUGUUACACUAGAGUCCGCAAUCCGCAAGAGGAAUGACACGGAAGCUUAUUCGAGGACUCUUGCCAAGAAGCUCUAUCUCAUGUUGGAAAGUAUUUCUUUUAAACCGACUGUGUUAAUGCUUGCGAUCGGAUCUUGUUCGGUCGACUCACUAAUUUUUGGAUGCAGAAUUCUGCCAAGACUUCGACGAGGAAACUUGAAAGGUCGAGACGGGUCUGGACCCUAUCGCUUCUCCAGUUUGCGACAAAACUACAAUGAACAUGCUCCGACUGGAGUCCCGUAUCGCCAGCGCCAGAAGCUACCUCGUGCGCCUGAAGGAGGUAGGAGUCGACUCAUCGCUUUGGCCGAGGGCGACGCUUCAAAAUGACCUAGAAUCCCCGAUGGCUUGACUGAACGAGAUCCCUGACCGAGUGCAAUAAUGGAAGAAGUCCUCUGCCCGGUGUGGUGCUGACGUGGCACUGUCCUUGGUGCGAGUCCAUUGCAAGGAGGCUCGUGAAGACAAGCUGGUUGCGAUCAAAGUCGCUAACACCAAAAAGCAUGACUUCCAGUCCUUCAUGGAGACUUUCAUUGUUGCCGCUACUUAGAUCGCUGAUGGGAUCGACCUGGACUCAUUCGUGGAGCCUGCCAGCCCUCCUCCUGCCGAGUGAACAAACUUAUGAGACUUGAAUCUGCUUUAAAUUUGCCUCGGAAUGCCGAGUGAUUUUUGUAACCGUUAAACUCCUUCGGGCUUGAUGCCCGAAUACUUUUGAUUUGCUGCUUGGAACUUUAGGAUUUAUCCGAAUUUGGUUUAUCUCCGAAUGUGCUUGCGUUUUGCCUUCGAAUGGACUUUGUUCACUACUCGGAAUAGUCUUUGCGCUGGAGAUGCAUCUCUGAAGUGGUGGCUCCAGUCGACCUAUGCUUCGUCAUCCUUGUGGAUAGGGAUGGAGCGCACGUUGUACUUGUGCCAUAGCUCCGAAGGAGAAGGUUGCAUUCGACCUGCACCUCCUCGUCCUUGCGGAUAUGGAUGGAGCGCACGUUGUACUUGUGUUGUAGCUCCGAAGGAGAAGGUUGCAGUCGACCUGCACCUCGUCGUCCUUGCGGAUAGGGAUGGAGCGCACCUUGUACUUGUGCCGUAGCUCNNNNNNNNNNNNNNNNNNNNNNNNNNNNNNNNNNNNNNNNNNNNNNNNNNNNNNNNNNNNNNNNNNNNNNNNNNNNNNNNNNNNNNNNNNNNNNNNNNNNNNNNNNNNNNNNNNNNNNNNNNNNNNNNNNNNNNNNNNNNNNNNNNNNNNNNNNNNNNNNNNNNNNNNNNNNNNNNNNNNNNNNNNNNNNNNNNNNNNNNNNNNNNNNNNNNNNNNNNNNNNNNNNNNNNNNNNNNNNNNNNNNNNNNNNNNNNNNNNNNNNNNNNNNNNNNNNNNNNNNNNNNNNNNNNNNNNNNNNNNNNNNNNNNNNNNNNNNNNNNNNNNNNNNNNNNNNNNNNNNNNNNNNNNNNNNNNNNNNNNNNNNNNNNNNNNNNUGUACUUGUGCCAUAGCUCCGAAGGAGAAGGUUUCAGUCGACCUGCACCUCGUCGUCCUUGCGGAUAGGGAUGGAGUGUACGUUGUACUUGUUUCGUAGCUCCGAAGGAGAAGUUUGCAGUCGACCUGCACAUCAUCGUCCUUGCGGAUAGGGAUGGAGCGUAUGUUGUACUUGUGCCGUAGCUCCGAAGGAGAAGGUUGCAGUCGACCAGCACCUCGUCGUCCUUGCGGAUAGGGGUAUGUUUCAAAGUUAGGCGAGUACUAGACUGCAGCUAAGCCCCCGAGUGGGAGGAUUGCUCUCCACUCGGUAGGAUUUUUUUGAACUGUUGGGGAACAUUGCAGAAAACAAAAAAAUUCCUACGGUUUCACCAAGAUCCAUCUAUGAGUUCAUCUAGCAACGACUGAUCGGAUUGCAUCUACAUACCUUUGUAGAUCACAUGCGGAAGCGUUCAAAGAACGGGGAUGAGGAAGUCGUACUCGACGUGAUCCAAAUCACCGGAGAUCCUAGCACUGAACGGACGGCACCUCCGUGUUCAACACACGUACGGUCAGCGUGACGUCUCCUCCUUCUUGAUCCAGCAAGGGGGGAGGAGAGGUUGAUGAAGAUCCAGCAGCACGACGGCAUGGUGGUGGAUGCAGGAGUCACCGCAGCAGGGCUUCGCCGUUCUACUGCGAGAGGGAGAGGUGUAGCAGGGGAGAGGGAGGCGCCAAGAGUCAAGGGUGCGGCUGCACCUCCCUCCCCCCUUUAUAUAGGCUCCCCAAGGGGGGGGCGCCGGCCCUAGGAGAUGGGAUCUCCUAGGGGGGGCGGCGGCCAAGGGUGGAGUGGCCCCCAAGGCAAGUGGGGCGCCCCCCCCCCCACCCUAGGGUUUCCAACCCUAGGCGCAGGGGGUGGGCCAAGGGGGGCGCACCAGCCCACUAUGGGCUGGUUCCCCUCCCCACUUCAGCCCAUGGGGCCCUUCGAGAUGGGUGGUCCCACCCGGUGGACCUCCGGGACCCAUCCGGUGGUCCCGGUACAAUACCGGUGACCCUCGAAACUCUCCCGAUGGCCGAAACUGCACUUCCUACAUAUAAUUCUUCACCUCCGGACCAUUUCGGAACUCCUCGUGAUGUCCGAGAUCUCAUCCGGGACUCUGAAUAACUUUCGGCUUACUGCAUAUUCAUAUCUCUACAACCCUAGCGUCACUGAACCUUAAGUGUGUAGACCCUACGGGUUUGGGAGACAUGUAGACAUGACCGAGAUGGCUCUCCGGUAAAUAACCAACAGCGGGAUCUGGAUACCCAUGUUGGCUCCCACAUGGUCCUCGAUGAUCUCAUCGGAUGAACCACGAUGUCGAGGAUUCAAGCAACCCCGUAUACAAUUCCCUUUGUCAAUCGGUACGUUACUUUCCCGAGAUUCGAUCGUCGGUAUCCCAAUACCUCGUUCAAUCUCGUUACCGGCAAGUCACUUUACUCGUACCGUAAUGCAUGAUCCCGUGACCAGACACUUGGUCACUUUGAGCUCAUUAUGAUGAUGCAUUACCGAGUGGGCCCAGAGAUACCUCUCCGUCAUACGGAGUGACAAAUCCCAGUCUUGAUCCGUGUCAACCCAACAGACACUUUUGGAGAUACCCGUAGUAUACCUUUAUAGUCACCCAGUUACGUUGUGAUGUUUGGUACACCCAAAGCACUCCUACAGUAUCCGGGAUUUACACGAUCUCAUGGUCUAAGGAAAAGAUACUUGACAUUGGAAAAACUCUAGCAAACAAACUAUACGAUCUUGUGCUAUGUUUAGGAUUGGGUCUUGUCCAUCACAUCAUUCUCCUAAUGAUGUGAUCUUGUUAUCAAUGACAUCCAAUGUCCAUAGUCAGGAAACCAUGCCUAUCUGUUGAUCAAUGAGCUAGUCAACUAGAGGCUUACCAGGGACAUGUUGGUGUCUAUGUAUUCGCACAUGUAUUAUGAUUUCCGGAUAACACAAUUAUAGCAUGAAUAAAAGACAAUUAUCAUGAACAAGGAAAUAUAAUAAUAAUCCUUUUGUUAUUGCCUCUAGAGCAUAUUUCCAACAGUCUCCCACUUGCACUAGAGUCAAUUAUCUAGUUACAUUGUGAUGAAUCGAACACCCAUGGAAUUCUGGUGUUGAUCAUGUUUUGCUCUAGGGAGAGGUUUAGUCAACGGAUCUGCUAUAUUUAGGUCCGUAUGUACUUUACAAAUAUCUAUGUCUCCAUCUUGAACAUUUUCACGAAUGGAGUUGAAGCGACGCUUGAUGUGCCUGGUCUUCUUGUGAAACCUGGGCUCCUUGGCAAGUGCAAUAGCUCCAGUGUUGUCACAGAAGAGCUUGAUCGGCCCCGACGCAUUGGGUAUGACUCCUAGGUCGGUGAUGAACUCCUUCACCCAGAUUGCUUCAUGUGCUGCCUCCGAGGCCGCCAUGUACUCCGCUUCACAUGUAGAUCCCGCCAUGACGCUCUGCUUGCAACUGCACCAGCUUACUGCCCCACCAUUCAAAAUAUACACGUAUCCGGUUUGUGACUUAGAGUCAUCCAAAUCUGUGUCGAAGCUAGCGUCGAUGUAACCCUUUACGACGAGCUCUUCGUCACCUCCAUAAACGAGAAACAUUUCCUUAGUCCUUUUUAGGUACUUCAGGAUAUUCUUGACCGCUGUCCAGUGUUCCUUGCCGGGAUUACUUUGGUACCUACCUACCAAACUUACGGCAAGGUUUACAUCAGGUCUGGUACACAACAUGGCAUACAUAAUAGAACCUAUGGCUGAGGCAUAGGGGAUGACACUCAUCUCUUCUAUAUCUUGUGCCGUGGUCGGACAUUGAGCUGAGCUCAAUUUCACACCUUGCAACAUAGGCAAGAACCCCUUCUUAGACUGAUCCAUAUUGAACUUCUUCAAUAUCUUAUCAAGGUAUGUGCUUUGUGAAAGACCUAUGAGGCGUCUUCAUCUAUCUCUAUAGAUCUUGAUGCCUAAUAUAUAAGCAGCUUCUCCAAGGUCCUUCAUUGAAAAACUCUUAUUCAAGUACGCCUUAAUGCUGUCCAAAAGUUCUAUAUCAUUUCCCAUUAAAAGUAUGUCAUCUACAUAUAAUAUGAGAAAUGCUACAGAGCUCCCACUCACUUUCUUGUAAACGCAGGCUUCUCCAUAAGUCUGCAUAAACCCAAACGCUUUGAUCAUCUCAUCAAAGCGAAAAUUCCAACUCCAAGACGCUUGCACCAGCCCAUAAAUCGAGCGUUGGAGCUUGCACACCUUGUCAGCAUUCUUAGGAUCGACAAAACCUUCCGGCUGCAUCAUAUACAAUUCUUCCUUAAGGAAACCAUUAAGGAAUGCCGUUUUGACGUCCAUUUGCCAUAUCUCAUAAUCAUAGAAUGCGGCAAUUGCUAACAUGAUUCGGACGGACUUCAGCUUCGCUACGGGAGAGAAAGUCUCAUCGUAGUCAACCCCUUGAACUUGCCGAUAACCCUUAGCGACAAGUCAAGCUUUAUAGAUGGUAACAUUACCAUCCGCGUCCGUCUUCUUCUUAAAAAUCCAUUUGUUUUCUAUCGCUCGCCGAUCAUCGGGCAAGUCUGUCAAAGUCCAUACUUUGUUUUCAUACAUGGAUCCUAUCUCGGAUUGCAUAGCUUCAAGCCAUUUGUUGGAAUCUGGGCCCACCAUCGCUUCUUCAUAGUUUGAAGGUUCACAGUUGUCUAACAACAUGAUUCCCAAGAUAGGGUUGCCGUACCACUCUGGUGCUGAACGUGUCCUUGUGGACCUACGAAGUUCAGUAGAAACUUGAUCUGAAGUUUCAUGAUCAUCAUCAUUAACUUCCUCUCUAGUCGGUGCAGGCACCUCAGGAACAUUUUCUUGAGUUGCACCACUUUCCGGUUCAAGAGGUAAUACUUCAUCAAGGUCUACUUUCCUCCCACUUACUUCUUUCGAGAGAAACUUUUUCUCUAGAAAGGAUCCAUUCUUAGCAACAAAGAUCUUGCCUUCGGAUCUGAGGUAGAAGGUAUACCCAAUAGUUUCUUUAGGGUAUCCUAUGAAGACGCAUUUUUCCGACUUGGGUUCGAGCUUUUCAGGUUGAAGUUUCUUGACAUAAGCAUCGCAUCCCCAAACUUUUAGAAACGACAGCUUAGGUUUCUUCCCAAACCAUAAUUCAUACGGUGUCGUCACAACGGAUUUCGACGGAGCCCUAUUUAAAGUGAAUGCGGCAGUCUCUAAAGCAUAGCCCCAAAAUGAUAGAGGUAAAUCGGUAAGAGACAUCAUAGAUCGCACCAUAUCUAAUAGAGUGCGAUUAUGACAUUCGGACACACCAUUACGCUGAGGUGUUCCAGGCGGCGUGAGUUGUGAAACUAUUCCACAUUUUCUUAAGUGUGUGCCAAAUUCGUGACUCAAGUAUUCUCCUCCACGAUCUGAUCGCAGGAACUUGAUUUUCCUGUCACGUUGAUUUUCAACCUCACUCUGAAAUUCCUUGAACCUUUCAAAGGUCUCAGACUUGUGUUUCAUUAAGUAGACAUACCCAUAUCUACUCAAGUCAUCAGUGAGGGUGAGAACAUAACGAUAACCACCGCGAGCCUCAACACUCAUUGGACCGCAUACAUCAGUAUGUAUGAUUUCCAAUAAGUUGGUUGCUCGCUCCAUUGUUCCUGACCACGGAGUCUUGGCUAUUUUACCCAUGAGGCAUGGUUCGCAUGUGUCAAAUGAUUCGUAAUCAAGAGACUCUAAAAGUCCAUCUGCAUGGAGCUUCUUCAUGCGUUUGACACCUAUGUGACCAAGGCGGCAGUGCCACAAGUAUGUGGGACUAUCAUUAUCAACCUUACAACUUUUGGUACUCACACUAUGAAUAUGUGUAGCAUUAUGCUCGAGAUUCAUUAAGAAUAAACCAUUCACCAUCGAAGCAUGACCAUAAAACAUAUCUCUCAUAUAAAUAGAACAACCAUUAUUCUCGGAUUUAAAUGAGUAGCCAUCUCGUAUUAAACGAGAUCCUGAUAAAAUGUUCAUGCUCAAACUUGGCACUAAAUAACAAUUAUUGAGGUUCAAAACUAAUCCCAUAGGUAAAUGUAGAGGUAGCGUGCCGACGGCAAUCACAUCGACCUUGGAACCAUUCCCGACGCGUAUCGUCACCUCGUCCUUCGCCAGUCUUCACUUAUUCCGCAGCUCCUGCUUUGAGUUACAAAUGUGAGCAACUGCACCGGUAUCAAAUACCCAGGGGCUACUACGAGUACUGGUAACGUACACACCAAUUACAUGUAUAUCACAUAUACCUUUUGUUUUGCCGGCCUUCUUGUCCGCUAAGCAUUUGGGGCAGUUCCGCUUCCAGUGACCACUUUCCUUGCAAUAAAAGCACUCAGUCUCGGGCUUGGGUCCAUUCUUUGGCUUCUUCCCGGCAACUUGCUUGCCGGGCACGGCAACUCCCUUGACGUCCUUCUUGAAGUUCUUAUUACCCUUGCCUUUCUUGAACUUAGUGGUUUUAUUCACCAUCAACACUUGAUGUUCCUUUUUGACUUCUACCUCUGCUGAUUUCAGCAUUGCAAAUACUUCAGGAAUGGUCUUUUCCAUCCCCUGCAUAUUGAAGUUCAUCACAAAGCUCUUGUAGCUCGGUGGAAGCGACUGAACGAUUCUGUCAAUGACCGCGUCAUCCGGGAGAUUAACUCCCAGCUGAGUCAAGCGGUUAUGUAACCCAGACAUAGUGAGUAUGUGCUCACUGACAGAACUGUUUUCCUCCAUCUUACAGCUGAAGAACUUGUCGGAGACUUCAUAUCUCUUGAGCCGGGCAUGAGCUUGAAAAACCAUUUUCAGAUCUUCGAACAUCUCAUAUGCUCCGUGUCUCUCAAAACGCUUUUGGAGCCCCGGCUCUAAGCUGUAAAGCAUGCCGCACUGAACGAGGGAGUAAUCAUCGGUACGUGUCUGCCAAGCGUUCAUAACGUCUUGUUCUGCAGGGAGAACAGGUGCUUCACCUAGUGGUGCUUGUAGGACAUAAUCUUUCUUGGCAGCUAUGAGGAUGAUCCUCAGGUUCCGGACCCAGUCCGUAUAGUUGCUGCCAUCAUCUUUCAGCUUGGUUUUCUCUAGGAACGCGUUGAAGUUGAGGACAACGUUGGCCAUUUGAUCUACAAUACAUGUUGUAAAGAUUUUAGACUAAGUUCAUGAUAAUUAAGUUCAUCUAAUCAAAUUAUUCAAUGGACUCCCACUUAGAUAGACAUCCCUCCAGUCAUCUAAGUAUAACAUGAUCCGAGUUAACUAGGUCGUGUCCGAUCAUCACGUGAGACGGACUAGUCAACAUCGGUGAACAUCUUCAUGUUGAUCGUAUCUUAUAUACGACUCAUGCUAGACCUUUCUAUCUUCUGUGUUCCGAGGCCAUGUCUGUACAUGCUAGGCUCGUCAAGUCAACCUAAGUGUUUGCAUGUGUAAAUAUGUCUUACACCCGUUGUAUGUGAACGUUGAAAUCUAUCACACCCGAUCAUCACGUGGUGCUUCGAAACAACGAACUGUUGCAACGGUGCACAGUUAGGGGGAACACUUUCUUGAAAUUAUUAUGAGGGAUCAUCUUAUUUACUACCGUCGUUCUAAGUAAACAAGAUGCAAAAACAUGAUAAACAUCACAUGCAAUCAAAUAAUAAUAGUGACAUGAUAUGGCCAAUAUCACAUAGCUCCUUUGAUCUCCAUCUUGGGGCUCCAUGAUCAUCUUGUCACCGGCAUGACACCAUGAUCUCCAUCAUCGUGUCUCCAUGAAGUUGCUCGCCAACUAUUAUUUCUACUACUAUGGCUAACACGUUUAGCAAUAAAGUAAAGUAAUUUACAUGGCAUUUCUCAAUGACACGCAGGCCAUACAAAAAAUAAAGACAACUCCUAUGGCUCCUGCCGGUUGUCAUACUCAUCGACAUGCAAGUCGUGAUUCCUAUUACAAGAACAUGAUCUCAUGCAUCACAUAUAUAUCAUUCAUCAUUCAUCACAACUUUGGCCAUAUCACAUCACAGAACACUUGCUGCAAAAACAAGUUAGACAUCCUCUAAUUGUUGUUGCAAGUUUUAUGUGGCUGCAAGAGGGUUCUAGCAAGAACGUUUUCUUACCUACAUUAAAGCCACAACGUGAUUUGUCAAAUUCUAUUUACCCUUCAUAAGGACCCUUUUCAUCAAAUCUGCUCCAACUAAAGUGGGAGAGACAGACACCCGCCAGCCACCUUAUGCAACUAGUGCAUGUCAGUCAGUGGAACCGGUCUCACGUAAGCGUACGUGUAAGGUUGGUCCGGGCCGCUUCAUCCCACAAUACCGUUGAAGCAAAAUAAGACUAGUAGCGGCAAGAAAGUUGACAACAUCUACGCCCACAACAAAUUGUGUUCUACUCGUGCAAAAGGAACUACGCAUAGACCUAGCUCAUGAUGCCAUUGUUGGGGAACGUUGCAGAAAAAGAAAAUUUUCCUACGGUUUCACCAAGAUCCAUCUAUGAGUUCAUCUAGCAACGACUGAUCGGAUUGCAUCUACAUACCUUUGUAGAUCACGCGCGGAAGCGUUCAAAGAACGGGGAUGAGGAAGUCGUACUCGACGUGAUCCAAAUCACCGGAGAUCCUAGUGCCGAACGGACGGCACCUCCGUGUUCAACACACGUACGGUCAGCGUGACGUCUCCUCCUUCUUGAUCCAGCAAGGGGGGAGGAGAGGUUGAUGAAUAUCUAGCAGCACGACGGCGUGGUGGUGGAUGCAGGAGUCACCGCAGCAGGGCUUCGCCGUUCUACUGCGAGAGGGAGAGGUGUAGCAGGGGAGAGGGAGGCGCCAAGAGUCAAGGGUGCGGCUGCCCCUCCCUCCCCCCCUUUAUAUAGGCUCCCCAAGGGGGGCGCCGGCCCUAGGAGAUGGGAUCUCCUAGGGGGGGCGCCGGCCAAGGGUGGAGUGGCCCCCAAGGCAAGUGGGGCGCCCCCCACCCUAGGGUUUCCAACCCUAGGCGCAGGGGGUGGGCCAAGGGGGGUGCACUAGCCCACUAUGGGCUGGUUCCCCUCCCCACUUCAGCCCAUGGGGCCCUCCGGGAUGGGUGGUCCCACCCGGUGGACCCCCGGGACCCAUCUGGUGGUCCUGGUACAAUACUGGUGACCCCCGAAACUCUCCCGAUGGCCGAAACUGCACUUCCUAUAUAUAAUUCUUCACCUCCGGACCAUUUCGGAACUCCUCAUGACGUCCGGGAUCUCAUCCGGGACUCCGAACAACUUUCGGGUUACUGCAUAUUCAUCUCUCUACAACCCUAGCGUCACCGAGCAUUAAGUGUGUAGACCCUACGGGUUCGGGAGACAUGUAGACAUGACCGAGAUGGCUCUCCGGUCAAUAACCAACAGCGGGAUCUGGAUACCCAUGUUGGCUCCCACAUGCUCCUUGAUGAUCUCAUCGGAUGAACCACGAUGUCGAGGAUUCAAGCAACCCCGUAUACAAUUCCCUUUGUCAAUCGGUACGUUACUUGCCCGAGAUUCGAUCGUCGGUAUCCCAAUACCUCGUUCAAUCUCGUUACCGGCAAGUCACUUUACUCGUACCGUAAUGCAUGAUCCCGUGACCAGACACAUGCUCACUUUGAGCUCAUUAUGAUGAUGCAUUACCGAGUGGGCCCAGAGAUACCUCUCUGUCAUACGGAGUGACAAAUCCCAGUCUUGAUUCGUGUCAACCCAACAGACACUUUCGGAGAUACCCGUAGUAUACCUUUAUAGUCACCCAGUUACGUUGUGACGUUUGGUACACCCAAAGCACUCCUACGGUAUCCGGGAGUUACACGAUCUCAUGGUCUAAGGAAAAGAUACUUGACAUUGGAAAAACUCUAGCAAACGAACUAUACGAUCUUGUGCUAUGUUUAGGAUUGGGUCUUGUCCAUCACAUCAUUCUCCUAAUGAUGUGAUCUCAUUAUCAAUGACAUCCAAUGUCCAUAGUCAGGAAACCAUGACUAUCUGUUGAUCAACGAGCUAGUCAACUAGAGGCUUACCGGGGACAUGUUGGUGUCUAUGUAUUCACACAUGUAUUACGAUUUCCGGAUAACACAAUUAUAGCAUGAAUAAAAGACAAUUAUCAUGAACAAGGAAAUAUAAUAAUAAUCCUUUUAUUAUUGCCUCUAGGGCAUAUUUCCAACAUGAACUUAGGCGAGUAUUGGACUGUAGCUAAGCCUCCGAGUGAGAGAACUUAGGCGAGUACUGGACUGCAGCUAAGCCCCCAAGUGGGAGGAUUGCUCUCCACUCGGUAGGAUUUUUUCAAACUUAGGCGAGUAUUGGACUGCAGCUAAGCCUCCGACUGAGAGAACUUAGGCGAGUACUGGACUGCAGCUAAGCCCCCGAGUGGGAGGAUUGCUCUCCACUCGGUAGGAUUUUUCAAACUUAGGCGAGUAUUGGACUGCAGCUAAGCCUCCGANNNNNNNNNNNNNNNNNNNNNNNNNNNNNNNNNNNNNNNNNNNNNNNNNNNNNNNNNNNNNNNNNNNNNNNNNNNNNNNNNNNNNNNNNNNNNNNNNNNNNNNNNNNNNNNNNNNNNNNNNNNNNNNNNNNNNNNNNNNNNNNNNNNNNNNNNNNNNNNNNNNNNNNNNNNNNNNNNNNNNNNNNNNNNNNNNNNNNNNNNNNNNNNNNNNNNNNNNNNNNNNNNNNNNNNNNNNNNNNNNNNNNNNNNNNNNNNNNNNNNNNNNNNNNNNNNNNNNNNNNNNNNNNNNNNNNNNNNNNNNNNNNNNNNNNNNNNNNNNNNNNNNNNNNNNNNNNNNNNNNNNNNNNNNNNNNNNNNNNNNNNNNNNNNNNNNNNNNNNNNNNNNNNNNNNNNNNNNNNNNNNNNNNNNNNNNNNNNNNNNNNNNNNNNNNNNNNNNNNNNNNNNNNNNNNNNNNNNNNNNNNNNNNNNNNNNNNNNNNNNNNNNNNNNNNNNNNNNNAGGUGAGUACUGCACUGCAGCUAAGCCCCCGAGUGAGAGGAUUGCUCACCACUCGGUAGGAUUUUUUUCAAACUUAGGUGAGUACUGGACUGCAGCUAAGCCUCCGAGUGAGAGAACUUAGGCGAGUGCUGGACUGCAGCUAAGCCCCUGAGUGGGAGAUUGCUCUCCACUCGGUAGGAUUUUUCAAACUUAGGCGAGUACCAGACUGCAGCUAAGUCUCCGAGUGAGAGAACUUAGGCGAGUACUGGACUGCAGCUAAGCCUCCGAGUGGGAUGAUUGCUCUCCACUCGGUAGGAUUUUCUUUCGAACUUAUGCGAAACGGAUUCGCGACUAAGCCCACCCACUGGGGGAUUUCAGAAGUAAAUAAGAACAACAACAAUUGUAUGAGAGGAUCGUAAGCUCUUGUCUUUGAUAAACAAAUUACAAAGGUGUUUCUUAUUACAUUUUAUUCGAACGAGUGCUUAAGUAUAAAAGGGGCGGAGCAGCUCCGUGUUCCAAACUCGUGGCUCAUCUUUCUGAUGCUCAACACUGUAAAGAUGGUAUGCUCUGUUGUGGAGAACUUUGGUGAUGAUGAAGGGGCCUUCCCAAGCCGGGGCGAGCUUGUGUGGUUUCUGUUGAUCCACUCGAAGAACCAGGUCUCCUUCUUGAAAGGCUCGACCCCUCACAUUUCUGGCGUGGAAUCGACGCAAGUCUUGCUGAUAAAUGGUCGACCGGAUCAAGGCCAUCUCUCUUUCCUCCUCUAAGAGAUCGACUGAAUCUUGUCGGGCCUGCUCUGCUUCCUCUUCGGAGAAGAGCUCGACUCGGGGUGGGUUGUGGAGCAGGUCACUUGGUAGAACAGCUUCAGCUCCAUAGACUAAGAAGAAAGGAGUUCGUCCGGUUGACCGAUUAGGAGUUGUCCUUAAACCCCACAGAACUGACGGAAGUUCAUCAACCCAAGCGCCUGCGGCGUGUUUGAGAUCACGCAUUAGUCGGGGUUUUGGUCCUUUGAGAAUUAGGCCAUUGGCUCUUUCUUCUUGUCCGUUCGACUGCGGGUGAGUGACUGAAGCAUAGUCGACUCAUGUGCCUUGAGAAGCGCAGAAAGCUCUAAACUCAUCAGAAUUGAAGUUCGACCCAUUGUCCGUGAUGAUGCUGUGUGGAACUCCAUAUCUGAAUGUCAAUUCUCUGAUAAAACUGACAGCGGUGCUGGCCUCAAGGUUCUUGAUAGGUUUAGCUUUGAUCCAUUUGGUAAACAUGUCAACUGCAACAAGCACAUGAGUGAAGCCGCUCCUGCCAGUUCUUAGUGGUCCAACCAUAUCCAGUCCCCAAACAACAAAGGGCCAGAUGAGGGGGAUGGUCUUCAGGUCUGACGCUGGCUUGUGAGACAUGUCGGAGUAAAACUGGCAGCCUUCACAUCUGCCGACUAUAUCUUUCGCCAUUUCAUUUGCCUGUGGCCAAUAGAAUCCAGCUCGGUAUGCUUUAGCCACGAUGGCCCGAGAGGACGCAUGGUGACCACAGGUUCCCGAGUGGAUGUCAGUGAGGAUCAUUCGACCUUCUUCUGGUGUUAUGCAUUUCUGACCGACUCCAGUCACACUUUCCCUAAACAGUUGUCCUCUUAUCACAGUAAAGGCCUUGGAUCGACAGACGAUCUGUCGAGCCUCUUCCUCAUCCUCUGGGAUUUCUUUCCUGAGGAUGUACGCAAUGUAGGGCACUGUUCAGUCGGGAGUAAUGGCUAGAACCUCCAUGAUCAGGUCGACCACAGCUGGGACCUCGACUUCAGUCGGGUCUGUGGCGCUCUUAGGCUGCGGGGGCUCUUUAGUAAAAGGAUCUUCCUGAACUGUCGGCGUGUGAAUAUGCUCCAAAAACACAUUGCUGGGAAUGGCUUCUCUCUUGGAACCUAUCUUUGCCAAGUCAUCGGCUGCUUGAUUUUUCAGUCGGGGUAUGUGAUGGAGCUCUAACCCCUCAACUUCUCUUCCAGCUUCCUCACCGCAUUGCAGUAACCAGUCAUGGCUGGGCUUCUGAUGUCCCACUCCUUCAUCACUUGAUUGACUACACAAUCUGAGUCGCCGUAGACCAUGAGGCGACGGACGCCGAGUGAAAUGGCCAUGCGCAACCCAUACAGGAGUGCUUCAUAUGUUGGAGGAAUCAAAGUGAAUCUGGAGGACAUAUCUGAGCCUAUCUCCUCGGGGGGAUACCAGUACUACCCCAGCACCAGAACCAUUCAGCAUUUUGGAUCCGUCAAAGAACAUGGUCCAGUGCUCCGAGUGAACUUGAGUCGGCUGUUGUUGUUCGAUCCACUCGGCGAGGAAAUCUGCUAUUGCUUGGGACUUGAUAGCUUUCUUUGCCUCAAACUUGAUAUCCAAGGGAAGGAGUUCAAUCGCCCAUUUUGCCACUCGACCAGUCGCAUCUCUGUUGUGCAGAAUCUCUGACAAUGGAGCGUCGCUAACGACUGUAACAGAGUGAUCAGAGAAAUAGUGUGCAACCUUCUUCAUGGUCAUGUAAAUCCCAUAGACGAGCUUCUGAUAGUGUGGAUAUCUCUGCUUUGACGGAGUCAGGACUUCAGAAAUAUAAUAAACUGGGCGCUGAACUUUAUAAGCUUUUCCUUCUUCUUCCCGCUCGACCGUAAGUACUAUACUGACGACUUGUCCCGUGGCUGCUAUAUAAAGCAGUAAAGGCUCUUUGCUGAUUGGAGCAGCAAGCAUCGGCUGGGUGGAAAGCAGGGCUUUAAUUUAGCUCUGCAAAUGCUGCAUCAGCUUCUGGGGUCCACUCGAACUUAUCUGAUUUCUUCAUUAGUCGGUAAAGAGGCAGCGCCUUUUCACCGAGGCGAGAAAUGAAUCGACUUAGGGUGGCCAAGCAACCAGUAAGCUUCUGGGCAUCAUGCACACGCACAAGGCGUUUCAUUCAGAGUAUAGCACCCACUUUCUCUGGGUUAGCAUCGAUCCCUCAUUCGGAAACGAGGAAACCGAGUAAUUAUCCGCUCGGAACUCCAAACGUGCACUUUGAUGGAUUGAGCUUGAUAUCAUAACUUUUGAGGUUGGCAAAGGUUUCAGCAAGGUCAGUCAGUAGGUCGGAACCUUUACAUGACUUGACCACAAUGUCAUCCAUGUAUGCUUCCACAUUCCGACUGAUCUGAGUGAGCAGGCACUUCUGAAUCAUCCGCAUGAAUGUGGCUCCAGCAUUCUUCAAACCGAAUGGCAUUGUGACACAACAGAAGCACCCAAACGGGGUGAUAAAAGCUGUCUUUAUCUCGUCGGGUCCGUACAGACGGAUCUGGUGGUACCCGGAGUAGGCGUCCAAAAAGGACAAACGCUCGCACCCUGCAGUCGAGUCGACUAUCUGGUCGAUGCGAGGGAGAGGAAAGUGAUCUUUCGGGCAGGACCGAUUGAUAUGCUUGAAAUCAAUGCACAUGCGAAGUGAGUCGUCCUUCUUUGGGACCAUGAUAACAUUGGCUAAACACUCGGAGUGGUAAAUCUCUCGGAUAAACUCAGCUACCAAAAGCCGAGCCACCUCUUCACUGAUUGCCUUUCUCUUCUGUACGACGGACCGUCGAAGAUGUUCUUUGACUGGUUUCACUUUUGGGUCGACUCGCAAACGAUGCUCAGCCAGUCCCCUGGGAACACCCGGCAUGUCAGAAGGCUUCCAUGCCAAGAUGUCCCAGUUCUCACGGAGGAACUGGAUGAGCGCUUCUUCCUAUUUGGAGUCGAGUGUGGUUGAAAUGUGAGUCGGAGCAGCAUUGGGUCUGUCGGGUGAAUGUGAAUCGACUUUGUUUCACCAGACGACUAGAAUGCUGAAUCUGUGGCUGGCUUCUUGGCUCGCAACAAAUCACUCGGAUCUGCAUUUUUCUGGUAUUCUUGCAAUUCUACCACGGCCAUCUGAGCAUCGGCGAUCUUUGAGCCCUUCUGGAAGCACUCUUCUGCCUUCUUCCGAUUACCAGAGAUAGUGAUCACCCCUUUGGGACCGGGCAUCUUCAAUUUAAGAUACACGUAACAUGGUCGAGCCAUAAAACAUGCAUAAGCUGGCCUGCCCAGAAUUGCAUGAUAAGCACUCUGGAAAUCCACAACUUCAAAUGUCAACUUUUCUUUGCGGUAAUUCUUGGAAUCACCCAAAACCACGUCGAGAGCAAUCUGGCUGAGUGAUGCAGCCUUCUUGCCUGGAAUGACCCCAUGGAAACUCAUAUUGCUCUCGCUGAGUCUGGACAUCGGAAUGCCCAUUCCUUUCAAUGUCUCUGCAUACAGUAUGUUCAGGCCACUGCCACCGUCCAUCAGGACUUUUGUCAGUCGAGUGCCUUCGACCACCGGGUCGACCACCAGUGCUUGCCUCCCAGGGGUGGCUAUGUGCGCUGGAUGAUCAGACUGGUCGAAUGUAAUGGCAGUCUGUGACCACUUCAAAUAACUGGGUGUCACCGGAGCGACCAUGUUCACUUCUCUAUUGAUGACUUUCAAUCGACUUUUGCUCUCAACGUCAGCAAAAAUCAUCAGAGUGGAAUUCACGUGGGGAUAACCAUCAUCAUCCCCUUCCUCAUCCUCAGCCUUGUUUGCUUCCUUCUCCUUUUCCUUGGGCUGUUUCUCUCGGAAUUGCUGGAUUAGGAGCCGACACUGCCGAGUGGUGUGCUUCGGGUAAAUGAAAUUACCCUCUUCAUCUUUUUUGGUGUGGAUGUGGCACGGCAGAUCCAACACGUCAUUUCUAUCUUGAUCUUUUACUUUCUUGGGGUUCCACGGCCCUUUGGGCUUCCCCUUGAACUUUCCUUGAACCACAGCCAAGACUUCACCAUGAGCAGCUGGCUCGGCCUUGCGCUUCUGUUUCCGAUCGGAGUUUCCUCCUCCGGCUUCGUGGGCGACUGCUUUGUGCUUGCCACUCCGGAGUCGUUCUUCUUCUUCAUCAUUGGCAUACUUGGUGGAAAUCUCCAUCAUCCGAGCUAGAGUCAUAUUUCCUGUCCGGCCGAAUUUCCUAUUCAACUCCCGAUACCUGACACCUUCCUUAAAGGCACAAAUUGUCUGAUGAUUUGACACAUCCUCUACCGUGUGGUGUAGGGUGAUCCAUCUCUGGAUAUAAUCCCUCAAAGUUUCAUUCGGUUUCUGAACACAACACCGUAAUUCUGUCAAACCUGCCGGCCGUUUGCGAGUGCCCUCGAAUGUUCUGAUAAAAACUCGGGCGAGAUCUUCCCAAGUAUAAAUACUGCUAGGCGUCAACUAAUUCAGCCAUGCUCUAGCCGAGCCCUCCAACAUCAGAGGAAGGUGUUUCAUGGCCACUUCAUCAUUGCCGCCACCAAUCUGGACAGUCACUCGGUAGUCUUCAAGCCAAGUGUCCGGCUUGGACUCACCAGUGAACUUACUGACUCCAGAUGCCAACCUGAAGUUGGGGGGAAUCACUACAGCUCUGAUAGCUCUGCUGAAGCACUCUGGUCCUGAGACAUGCGCUCUGUUGCUGGUUUGCGGAUCCCUGUCCUGGCCCUCUCGAUGAGCUCUGUUUCUAUCGUCCAAGCCCUGAACGAGAAUAGAUCUCGCAUCAAAGCUUGGUUCCCUGGGGUUGACUGGAAUACCUCGCCCAACACUGUGAGGGCAUCUGUCUUCAUGUUGCCGAGGCACGUACGACCCACUCCUUGGGGGAGGCGUGGGCACUCGACGACGAUCAUCGCGAUCGACUUGGUGAUCAUAUUGCUCUCGGUUUCUGUAUUGAUCUCAUCGAUCUCCACAUCCCUCAUGCCUCAGGGGCGAUCUUGGGCUAUGGGCCGACUGAACUGUGUCUGCAACCACGCAUCUGCUAUGGAUCCUAUUCCACGACUGAGAUACAACCGUAGUCUGUUCUCCCGCCGCCUGGAGCAAGGCCCGGAUCUGCACCAGACCGCGGCCAUCUUCUGACUGGGAGGGUUGGAUCGACUCUGCUAUCCGGGCAGCAGCUGCUAGAUUCUGGAUCAGGGUUCGGUAUACCUGAGUCGGAGGAGGAAAAAGUUGGCGUCAACUGGAUUCGGGAGCGUGCUGCCGAGCGCGAUUGUCGAGUGCGCGCUGGAGGUUCUCCAGUCGAGUGCGCUCAGCCAAGUUGGCCAAGCGCGCCUGCUCCAAGGCCUGGGCCUCAGGGGUUUCUCCAACUAUAGGAGUAUGCAGUGCAUCCAUGUUCCGGCGGCGAAGUUCCUCCCGCUGCUACGAAGAGAGGGGUUCGGGGCGGUACUCUUCAUGAACGCGCGACGGAUCGCCGUUCCCGUCGCCUCCGUCUUCACGGGUGAAGCCAGGAGGGCUACGUGGUCCAUUGACCAUCAGAACUUCAGCCGCUGGGUCGCUGCUGUCGCACUCGGAUGCGGUCUCUACGGAGCCAGCCGACAGAUCGAACAGGCCGUAGAGAGUUUCGUCGUGCUCGAUCGCUGCGACUUGAGGGGUGGCCGACCGGCGGGCCACCGCAUGCCUCACCCACCGCUGAAGCCUCGACCGACUGGAGCGUUUGCUCCGGCGGGCCGCAGGGAGGUGGAAAGCUGCUGGAGUCGACUAAUACUGGGUCGACGGCUGCCGUAGGAGGAGGACCCAGAUGCACACGCGAAAGUGCGUCACCUCGCGGGCGGGGAGCGCAUCAACAUCGAGUGGAGCCUCCUGAAGCCAAGCGGAGUCGUCAGCGACAAACACGAGUGCGCCGAGACGGAUCUCGCGGCCCUCAGCCAAACCUCCACCUGAAACCAUGAUGAAGGGGAUCGGAAAAAUUGCAACUUCUCCAACAAGUCGCUAAGACACCUGCCCCAUGGUGGGCGCCAACUAUCGUGGUUCUAAGCCUGACAGUAGAAUAGGGGGGUAGGAAUGUAGAGGCGAGAUCCUAGCUAUGGAGAAGUUGUACACGCGAGUUUUACGAGUUCAGGCCCUUCUCUGAGGAAGUAACAACCCUACGUCUCGGAGCCCGGAGGCGGUCGACUGGAUAUAUGCGUGUCAAUUACAGAAAGUGUGAACCCUUGUCCCAGAGGAGGGGUGGCUUAUAUAGAGUGCGCCAGGACCCCAGCUCCCCUCCGUUACACAGGGUUCAAUGUUCAUAAAGGAGGAGCGUUACUGGUAACGUCAGAAGUAAAGUGCUAUAAAUGUCCAUAAAGCUAUGGUUUAAACCCCGACCGUUGCAGAGUGAAGGGCUUCUCAUCUUCUGGUGGUCGAGUGUCUUCAAGGUGGUCGAGUGAACACAUCUUCAUGGUCAAGUGGAUGAUGGUUUCUCUUCGACUUCUUCUGAUUCUUUGUAGAGAUGUCCUUGGGGAGGGUAUGUUGGACAGAUCCAUGACCCUACCCUAGGUACAUAGCUUCAUCAUUAGCCCCCGAAUGGAUCAGGGUUUGAGUGAGGAAGGAGUUGGGAACACUUCCGACUCAUUCUUUGUGCUAUGAGUAUAUCUUGUUCUGGAACAAUGAAUUGAGGAGACGUUGUCGACUCCUUUUUCAGUCGCCUUGGUCCAUUCUUGAUCUUGUUCUGGAACAAGGUCGGGAUGUGUUUCGCUGGAGCCUUACUUCAUCAGGGUCUUUCACAGUAGACUCUAUGUACCGUGCACUCACGCAUUCUGAGGUACCAACGAGUAAUAAUAAGAAAAUUUGGAAGUCUAAAAUUCCACUAAAAGUGAAAAUCUUCAUGUGGUCUCUCCGUAGGGGAGUUGUGUUAACCAAAGACAACCUCGCAUGGCGAAACUGGCAAGGGAGUAAGAAGUGUUCUUUUUGUACUCAUGACGAGACAAUCAAACACCUCAUUUUCCAAUGCAAAUUUGCACGUUCUACGUGGUCAGUCAUCCAAAUAGCAUCAAAUUUGUAUCCGCCCACAAGUGUUGCCAAUAUUUUUGGUCAUUGGUUGGACGGUAUUACAAAUAGGUUCAAAACGCUAAUAAGGGUGGGAGCGUAUGCCUUAAUUUGGUCACUUUGGCUAUGUAAGAAUGAUUUGGUUUUUAAUGACAAAAAUGUUUCUCCUCUACAGGUUAUUUUCCGGUGUACGCACUCGCUACGUAUGUGGUCUAUGCUACAACAGGCGGAGUACCAACCGAUGUUCAUGGUGGUGUGUACGCAAUUGGAACAGGUGGCUACGGAUGUUUUUUCCCAACAUGGCAGCAUAACCUACGGAUCGAUCCACCACCUUCUUCGACAUAUGCAUAGUGUCUGUCGGUGUCAAAACCGGCGGAUCUCGGGUAGGGGGUCCCGAACUGUGCGUCUAGGCCGGAUGGUAACAGGAGGCAAGGGACACGAAGUUUUACCCAGGUUCAGGCCCUCUCGAUGGAGGUAAAACCCUACGUCCUGCUUGAUUAAUAUUGAUGAUAUGGGUAGUACAAGAGUAGAUCUACCACGAGAUCAGAGAGGCUAAACCCUAGAAGCUAGCCUAUGGUAUGAUUGUUGACGUGUAUGUUGUCCUACGGACUAAAACCCUCCGGUUUAUAUAGACACCGGAGAGGGUUAGGGUUACAUAGAGUCGGUUACAAUGGUAGGAGAUCUGAACAUCUGUAUCGCCAAGCUUGCCUUCCACGCCAAGGAAAGUCCCUUCCGGACACGGGACGGAGUCUUCAAUCUUGUAUCUUCAUAGUCCAGGAGUCCGGCUGAAGGUACAGUUCGGCUAUCCGAACACCCCCUAAUCCAGGACUCCCUCAGUAGCCCCUGAACCAGGCUUCAAUGAUGACGAGUCCGGCGCGCAGUUUGUCUUCGGCAUUGCAAGGCGGGUUCCUCCUCCAAGUACUUCAUAGAAGAUUUUGAACACAAAGGUAGUGUCCGGCUCUGCAAAAUAAGUUUCCACAUAUUGCCAUAGAGAGAAUAAUAUUUACACAAAUCUAAUCUGCUGACGUAUUCUGUAGCGUGACACACCACGGCCAAGCCUUUAUCCGAGUCGUUUCAUUAUCCCACCUCAACGCGUUAUGCGAGGCGGUUUCUUUGGCACAUAUUAUCAAAGCAGAGAUCGUGUCCCCUUAUUCCGAGAUUCUCAUCAAUACGGGCGUGGGUAACCCAACCACGCCUUUGAUUAUGGCGCUUGGAAAUAAGCGAGUUUCACCAGGCUGGUGGGGACAUGUAGUUACGUCCACCCAUAUAAGGGGAUAACGAUCCACCUUUUCACCCACGCCUUCUUCCUCCUUCGCUAUCCAUUCUUGCGCACUCGAGCUCCAGCGCCCAAGUCCGCACUACCACCUCAACCUUCUCCAGUCAUGUCCGAAGCGGGAGGCAAGUGGAUGGUCUCCUCCGUCACGGAGGGACACAUCAAAAAGCUGAGGAAAGCCGGAUAUCUGGCUAGCGACAUCGCGCACCGGCUUCCCGAAAAGGGGCAGCUCAUCCCCACUCCUAGGCCCCAUGAGAGGGUGGUAUUCCUCCCCCAUUUUCUCCGUGGACUGGGCUUCCCUCUACAUCCAUUUGUCCGGGGGCUCAUGUUCUACUACGGCCUGGAUUUCCACGAUCUUCCCCCGAACUUCGUCCUCAACAUCUCGGCAUUUAUCGUCGUGUGCGAGGUGUUCCUCCACAUCCGCCCCCAUUUCGGCCUAUGGCUUAAGACUUUCAACGUCAAGCGAAAGGUGGUGCGCGGCAGCCAGGCGGAGUGCGGCGGUGCCAUGGUUGGCAAGAUGGCCAACGUCCUGUGGCUCGAGGGCUCCUUUGUGGAGACCCUGAAGGGGUGGCAAUCAGGGUGGUUUUACGUCACCGAGCCGCGCGACGCCGAAUGGGUCGCACCCCCUGAGUUUCGAUCCGGCCCCCCUACGCGGCUCACCUCCUGGAAGGAGACAGGCCUGUCUUGGGGUAAAAAAGGAGAGCUGAUCGGAAUCCAAACAUGCAUCCAAACCCUGGUGGACAAGAAGCUCAACCUUGUCAACGUAGUCGAGGUUAUGCUCAUCCGCCUGAUCCUCCCGUGUCAACGACGGGCCUUCAACCUGUGGGAGUUCGACCUGGCGCAGCAUCAAACUCUAAACAGGCUCUUUGACACGACGUACGAAGAUGCCUGGAGGAUGCUUUUCAAGGGCGCCGAGGCUCCCGCAUCCGCUGCCGAGGAUCGCGGAUUCAGUACUCAGCAUCACGCUCAUGCGGUAAGCUGUCUUUGUCCUUUUACAGGGUAUCAGUUUUUCAUAGUUUGACUCUAUGCGGGAUCUGAGUUCCCUUAUCUUUGAUAGGAUUGGGUGGUGACGUCCGGACAGAUCAAAUGUCCAGCUCCUUUGCCCGAAGGCCCAGCGGACGCUCGCUUGGCGAAGCUGCUGGUUCCGGCGCCCUAUGUGGUGCCGGAGAAGAAGGCCACGAAAAGGGCCACGGGGACUUGAAAGAGUGCUCGGCGCCAAGAGGUAUCGGAUUCGUCAUUCGACGGUCCCGAAGCGCCUUCCUCUCGCGAAGACGAGGAGGAAGAAGAAGAGACCUCUCCCCCUCCAGCGGGAGGAGAGAAGAAAAGGAAGGCCGCCCUCUCUGCGGAGGCCGAAGGGUCCAAGAAGGGGAAAACCCUUCCUCCGGACUGCUCCACCGACGCUGAUGACGACGAAGAGGAGUGGCAGCCCAGGGCCAAGCCCCUGGCAAAAUCAUAAGUAUCCGGAUACCGGAGUGACUCAUAGUAUUUGUUUAUUGCAUAGCUUUCCCUUAUGUCGAAUGUGUUUAUGCAGCCCACCCAAAGACCGGCUCGACGCGUCGUCGAGCGGCUCACUGGACUCGUCGGAGGUGAACUCGCUUCCGACGGCUUACUCCCCCUGCCCUACGGGCGACACCGAAGUGUUGUCCCAACAGGUUCCAAGCAGGGAGGAGGUGGUCCUGGAGGCGCCGCAAGGCGACCUCCCGGACUCCAGGAGUAAAGGGGAGGAAACCCCCAGGGCUCCAAGUCCGGCUUAAGGCCAGACACCGCUCUGAAAUCUUCAAAGGUUCCAGAGUCCGGCGGGCGACCUCCUUCCAAGAGGAGCAAGCCUACCGUGCCAGUGACCCCCGUCCAACCGGGGGCGUCGGACAAUCUGUUGGAGGUGCUCGAAGGCGCCUCCAUCGAAGAGGAGCACCGCACUAUUAUGAGUGCGUUGGUCCAGAAGGUUCAGUCCGCCAAGAGCGGACUGCCUGAGGCUUGUACUAUCCUUUUGACAGGCUUUGAGGUAAGUAAAUAAUGUGUAAAUAAUAUUACCGCAUAGACAGUAGCCCCUGAUGCUCUGUUGGGUGUUCGUGAAGAAAAGCCGAAUAGAGGAUCAAAAAUUCGCAGGAGUCUAACAAAGGAGUCAAUAUGCGUAUGCAGGCUUCUCUACUGGCGUCCGCCGCACUAACUGUGGAAGUGGACACGCUGAAGCAGAGCCUCGAGAAGUCCGAGCAAGAGCUCGGGCGUGCCAAGAAGCAGCUCGAGGAGAAGGAAGGUAAGAAAUACCUUGGUUGAAUAUGUAUAUAAAAGAGGUGCAAUUGCAAGAAACGAUAGGAUUAACAUGGCUAUUUGUAGGGGCCACAUCUGAGGUGGCGACCCUUAAGCAAGCGCUGCUCGAGGCCGAGAAGAGUGCGGCCGCGGAGCGCACCGAGCGGGAGAGGUAAGAGGCUGAGGUUGGCAAGGUGCGGCAAGAGCUCCAGGUUCUCAUGAAGAAACAUGAGAGUUUGGAGCUUGACUCGAAGACGCGAGCGUCCGAGCUCGCGGCGGCUAUUGAAAAUGCCAAGUCUGCCAAGGCCGAAUCCUAGAAGACCCUCCAGGAGUUGGAUGAGGUGAAGAAAAUAGCGGCGGGUAAGGCAUUCUUUAUGCAAAGUAAACACAUAAACGUGAGUUACUUGAUACUUACCCGAAUCCGGAGCUCUCCAGGGGCAUUUGCAAAUCUUCCCUAGAGUGUAUCCGAUGCCACCGCAUUCUAUCGAGCCGAGGAGGUCAGCUCGACGGAGCAGGUGUUCUGGUCUCAGUAUGCUGAGGCCGGACACCCCGUGCCCCUGAGCGACCAGCUGAAGCAACUGGUCGAGCUCCACAAGGCGGCCGAACAGGCCAUGAAGGGUCUCCUAGUUCGGCUGUGGCCUGGAGAGGCUCUGCCUGGGAGCUAUUUCGGGCUGGUGCGGCGGCUGGUGGAGGCCUGUCCAAGGCUCGAAGUCAUCAAGCGCUCCAUCUGUAUUGAAGGUGCCCAUAGGGCCUUUGCCCGUGCUAAGGUGCACUGGGGUAGGCUGGAUGCGGAGAAGCUUGUGAAGGACGGGCUGCCAGCGGGGAAGGAGCAUCGCAAGCCCGAAAAUUAUUAUAAGGAUGUUCUGAAGGGUGCCCGCCUUGUGGCGGAUGAAUGUACUAGGGAUGUAAUUUUUGAGUAAAACUCGCUCGUUUUUGUCCUGUGCGCUGAAAACUUGUUCAUAUGCACUGAGCAAUGCUGCUUAAAUUUAAAAUAUUACCUUCUGUGCGGCUGUUUAUCAAUACUGAGAGAUGGCGAGUCGUCGGCUUCUGCCCCUUGCCACUAGUGCUGGGGUGUUCGGGGAUAAAUCUGGGCGCUCUUUUUCCCAUGUUUGGGUCCUUCGAGGGAGGCGCUCAGCCCGACGAACGAGGCAAUCGGACUAUAAUGCGUGAACACUCUCACUUAGCCAUAGAAUUCUAUAAUUUUAAAUUUUGGCGAAGCCCCUAGUAUUCGGAAGACCGAGUUUGGGGCACUAUUCACGCCUUGGCCAGACAGAGCCGACUUGUCGCUCUAUGCGGCAUAAGUCUUUAGGGACUCGAAAAAACCUCUCGAACAGCGACCAGCUCUCGCUUCACCAUGACAGUCAGUUUUAGCUUUCUCCACUGAGGUGCUCGGCCCAGCUCAACUGGGGCACAAUCGCAGUGGUUCUCCUAGUGCUACCUUAGCCGAUAUAGCGGAAUGUAAGGCACCAAAACAUAGGAGCCGAGCAAACCCAACUAUUGACCCAAGACAUGAUUCGAAGCCGAUGCAUAUAAUGCUAUAAGUUCGGGGUGCCGCACUUGUGAAAGUGUUCGGACUUCUCACACCAUAUUGAGGGGUGCUAAAAAGCCCCUGGCGUAUUUUGGCCGUACCAAGUUGUACGGGUGCAACAUGUCGUUAAGGAACAUUUAUUUAUAAAAAGAUAGUGCAAAAAUAGACAAAAGCUAUGCAUUGUUUAUUAGAAAUAGCUGCGAUUAAAGCAGAACGAUACAGGUAAUGCGAUAAACGAAAAGUUGGACUAUUUAACAUGUCUGCUCCAUGGGCAAGCUGCGGAAUAGUAUGCGAAACAGGUAUACUGCUCGUGAUAGAGACCACCUGGGAUUUUCGUAAUGCGGCAUGGCUUGUUUGCUUCCCUGGUUCUUGCAUCGUUUGUGCGGCAAUUGAACUGCCAAACAGGCCUUCCGAAGAGUAGAGUCCUGGAAGUAAGAGAAAAGUAAAAAAUCGGCCGCCCCUGGUGUGGUUUAAGCCGUGUUUUGGGCGUUCCGUGAUGGUGCCCCUCCCCCUGUGCCCAUGGUAUUUCUAGAGCGUAAUUAUGUACGCCAAGUACUGGCGUCGCCUUUUUGCUAGGGUUGGGGCCGUAUUGCUACGCCUGCUCGGAACGUGCCAGGCGGUCUUGUUGUAGGUUACUCCAGGCGCGCUUGACGGUUUUCGGGCACUUAAUGGCCGGACUGGAGAACUGCCUGGAGAGGCUGCUUUGUACUUCUGCUGCAAGGGCCGCCGUGUGCUCCUCCGUUCGGAGGGAGCGUUCGGUGUUUCCAUUGACCGUAAUUACUCCACGAGGGCCUGGCAUCUUGAGCUUGAGGUAUGCGUAGUGCAGUACUGCAAUGAAUUUGGUGAAUGCGGUUCGUCCGAGAAGUGCAUGAUAGCCACUGCGGAAUGGGACUAUGUCGAAGACCAAUUCCUCGCUUCGGAAAUUAUCCGGAGAUCCGAAGACCACUUCAAGUGUGACUGAGCCUGUACAGUUGGCCUCUACACCUGGUAUUACGCUUUUAAAGGUCGUUUUAGUGGGCUUAAUCCUCGAGGGAUCGAUGCCCAUUUUUUGCACCAUAUCCUGGUAAAGCAGGUUCAGGCUGCUGCCACCGUCCAUGUGGACUCUAGUGAGAUGAAAUCAGUCAAUAAUUGGGUCUAGAACCAAUGCGGCAAAUCCGCCAUGAUGGAUGCUAGUGGGAUGGUCUCUUCGAUCAAAGGUGAUCGGGCAAGAGGACCAUGGGUUGAACUUUGGGGCGACUGGCUCUACCGCGUAUACGUCCCUUAACGCGUGCUUCCGCUCCCUUUUUGGGACGUGGGUGGCGUAUAUCAUGUUCACCGUCCGCACUUGUGGGGGAAAACCCUUCUGUCCAUUGUUGUUCGGCGGCCGGGGCUCCUCGUCGUCAUUGCUAUGCAGCCCCUUGUCUUCAUUGUUGGCGCUUAACUUGCAUGCCUGCUUGAACACCCAACAAUCCCUGUUGGUGUGAUUGGCCGGCUUUUCGGGGGUGCCAUAUAUUUGGCACAAGCGGUCGAGUAUACGGUCCAAGCUGGACGGGCCCCUAGGAUUCCUUUUAAAUGGCUUUUUCCGCUGACCGGAUUUAGAGCCUCUGAAUCCGGCAUUAACUGCCGUAUCCUCAGCAUUGUCGUCGUUAAUGCGGCGCUUCUGCUUGUUGCGACGCGACCUAGCACUAAUGUCCCUGGUGCCCGAACUACCAGGGUUCUUGGUCAUAUUGUUGUUGCGAGCAAGCCAGCUGUCUUCUCCCACGCAAAAGCGGGUCAUGAGUGUCGUGAGUGCUGCCAUGGAUUUUGGCUUUUCCUGUCCAAGGUGCCGGGCCAGCCACUCGUCACGGAUAUUGUGCUUGAAGGAUGCUAGGGCCUCAGCGUCCGGACAGUCGACUAUUUGAUUUUUCUUUGUUAGGAACCGUGUCCAGAAUUGCCUAGCCGAUUCCUCUGGCUGCUGAAUUACAUGACUUAGGUCAUCGGCGUCUGGGGGUCGCACAUAAGUGCCCUGGAAAUUGUCGAGGAAUGCGGCUUCCAGGUCCUCCCAACAACUGAUCGAUCCUGUUGGCAAGCUGUUGAGCCAAUGCCGAGCUGGUCCUUUAAGCUUGAGUGGGAGGUAUUUGAUGGCGUGAAAAUCGUCGCCGCGGGCCAUGUGGAUAUGAAGGAGAUAAUCCUCGAUCCAUACUGCAAGGUCUGUUGUGCCAUCAUAUGAUUCAAUGUUUACGGGUUUGAAACCAUCGGGGAUUUGAUGAUCCAUUAUUUCAUCUAUAAAGCACAGUGGGUGUGCGGCGCCUCUGUACUGGGCGAUAUCAUGACGUAGCUCCAAUGAGUUUUGUCUACUGUGUUCGGCCCUGCCGAAUGAGUGGCCGGCGUGACGGUUACCGUCUCGAGUCGUGGGGUGCCCACGCGAUCCGUAGAUCGAUCGUGUUUGCCUUGCCUUGUCCUCCAGCAUGUCUUGUAAGUCCGGCGCAUAUUCCCGUGCCUUGGUACAGGGUGCGGCUUGAGUGGAGGGCCAGGAGGCCUCUCUGUCGCGGCCACGAGGUGGCCAUUCGGCCGCAUCAAGUGCUUCCUCCUCUAAUUGGGGUAGCAACCUGCGCUUUGGGUAACUCUUGGAGGGGCGUUCGAGUUUAUGCUCUUCGCCCGCAAGGACUUCGGUCCAUCUGUCAACCAGCAAAUCUUGAUCAGCUCGGAGUUGUUGCUAUUUUUUCUUGAGGCUUCUUGCCAUGGCCAUAAGCCUGCGUUGGAAACGCUUUUGCUCGAUGGGAUCCUCUGGCACGACGAAUUCGUCGUCGUCGAGGCUUGCCUCGUCUUCGGAGGGAGGCAUAUAAUUAUCGUCCUCGACCUCUCUGUCUGCCGCUCUCUCAUGAGGGCUGGUUUCUCCAUCCUCCUGUGCUAAACCUUGCUGUAGGGGGUUUUCUUCGGCACUCUCCAGAGUAUUAUUAUCUCCCGUGCUGGAAUCACCGUUUUUGUGUUGGCGGGAUUUUGAGCGGCGCCGCUGACGCCGGCGCUUGGGCUGUUUCUUGGAGGGGUCAUCCUCCGCUUUUCCGUCGCCCUCUCCCUCUUUGGGGGUGUCCACCAUGUAUAUGUCAUAUGACGAGGUGGCUUUCUAGGGCCUAGUAGGCGCUGGUUCUUCAUCAUCUCCUUCAUCGGCGUCCAUACCGUCAAUGUCUUCGGAGUCAAAGUUGAGCAUGUCAGUUAAGUCGUCGAUAGUGGCUACAAAGUGGGUGGUGGGUGGGUUUUAAAUUUCUCAUCGUCCGUACCCCAACCUUGCUGAUCGUAGUCCGUCCAGGGCUCUCCUGAUAAAGAGAGAGACUUCAGUGACUUCAGGAUAUCGCUGAGAGGUGAGUGCUGAAAGACGUACGCGGCCGUGAACUCCAUGAUCAGCGCCCAAUCGGAUUCAAUCGGCAGGGGCGCGGAGGGUUCGGAGUUCGGAGAAGAAUCCGGUUUCAUGGAGUCACGAGUCUCGCAGAGUACGGGGCUGGUGUUCGGCUCAACCGCCGUUGGGAUCACAGCCCCCGAGGUGGCGUCCAACCGCCCAUCCUCGAUCGGCGCGGUUGGCUCCGAACUAAGGGUCGGAGCCGAUGCGGGUGCGGCCUCCAGGGCACUGUUCGGCGGCAGAGCUAGAUCAUGCUCGUCGUGACAGUGCGGCACACUCGGCUGUGGUUCGAGUCCGUCGAAGAUCAAGUCCCCGCGGAUGUCAGCCGUGUAGUUUAAAUUUCCGAAUCUGACCUGACGGCUAGGGGCGUAGCUUUCGAUCUGCUCUAGAUGGCCAAGUGAAUUGGCCCGCAGUGCGAAGCCGCUAAAGACGAAGAUCUGUCCGGGGAGGAAGGUCUCACCCUGGACUGCAUCGCCAUUGAUGAUCGUAGGAGCCAUCAGGCCUGACGGCGAUGGCACAGAGGAACUCUCAAUGAAAGCACCAAUGUCGGUGUCAAAACCGGCGGAUCUCGGGUAGGGGGUCCCAAACUGUGCGUCUAGGCCGGAUGGUAACAGGAGGCAAGGGACACGAAGUUUUACCCAGGUUCGGGCCCUCUCGAUGGAGGUAAAACCCUACGUCCUGCUUGAUUAAUAUUGAUGAUAUGGGUAGUACAAGAGUAGAUCUACCACGAGAUCAGAGAGGCUAAACCCUAGAAGCUAGCCUAUGGUAUGAUUGUUGACGUGUAUGUUGUCCUACGGACUAAAACCCUCCGGUUUAUAUAGACACCGGAGAGGGUUAGGGUUACAUAGAGUCGGUUACAAUGGUAGGAGAUCUGAACAUCCGUAUCGCCAAGCUUGCCUUCCACGCCAAGGAAAGUCCCUUCCGGACACGGGACGGAGUCUUCAAUCUUGUAUCAUCAUAGUCCAGGAGUCCGGCUGAAGGUACAGUUCGGCAAUCCGAACACCCCCUAAUCCAGGACUCCCUCAGUGUCAGUCUAAAGGACUCUACUGUUGCUGAUUUGUCGAUUUUUAUUUCAUGAAUUUGUGUCGGACUUCUGGAUUUGGCUGUAUGCAUCUUAGUUAUGCAGAGGCCGGGUGUUACUCAUAAUGCUUUGUAUCCGCUUGAUGCUACAUUUUGAGAUAAUAAAGUCUUCCUUUAUCGAAAAAAAGAUAGAUUACAAAACGCUCCAACACGGUGUUACAACGUCGCCUUCCUUCCUUUGCACCCUUUUCUUGGAGGUAAUAGCACCCCAGGUACCCUAACUUGCAUGGAAUGUGAUGAUUUAGUCCCAAACUUACAAAAUGCUACUCCACCAUACCUCAACUUGCACUAGAUGUGAUGAUUUAGUCCCCGGCCUAUCACAGCAUGACAAGUGGCAGCCAGCUGGCCGGGCAAGUUGUCGCCUGCACUUUUACAAAAAAACACCCUGCGUUUUGUCUAAUUAACCCCCGCUACAGGCAGCUCUUCUGUUGCUUCGCGUCCUGAAUUUCGAGGAGGCACUGGCAAGGUGUGGCGGUUCCGCUACUCAUACUGGAACAACAGCCAGACCUAUGUCCUCACCAAGGCUGGAGCCGCUUCGUGAAGGAGAAGGGCCUUGGCGCCUAAGACAUCAUCGGGUUCUACCGCUCCGCCGCCGGCAGCACCGGCGAAGGCACCAAGUGUUAGAAAAUAAACCAUGACGCGUGUGAGUCCGUGGUCACCAGUGUGUGUGCGUGUGUAUGUCUAGGUCUACACCGGACGCCGAUGCAUGGCUGCGUGGGUUCUCAAGUUCGAGCCGCAGUCCAUUGGUGUCGUGCGCGCGUAGAGCCGGCUAGUUAGUUGGAUACGUCGUUGAUGUCUACUACACAACCUUCUUCUUGUAGACGUUGUUGGGCCUCCAAGUGCAGAGGUUUGUAGGACAGUAGCAAAUUUCCCUCAAGUGGAUGACCUAAGGUUUAUCAAUCCGUAGGAGGCGUAGGAUGAAGAUGGUGUCUCUCAAGCAACCCUGCAACCAAAUAAUAAAGAGUCUCUUGUGUCCCCAACACACCCAAUACAAUGGUAAAUUGUAUAGGUGCACUAGUUCGGCGAAGAGAUGGUGAUACAAGUGGUAUAUGGAUGGUAGAUAAAGGUAUUUGUAAUCUGAAAUUAUAUAAACAGCAAGGUAACUAAUGAUAAAAGUGAGCGUAAACGGUAUUGCAAUGCGUUGAAACGAGGCCUAGGGUUCAUACUUUCACUAGUGCAAGUUCCCUCAACAAUAAUAACAUAAUUGGAUCACAUAACUAUCCCUCAACAUGCAACAAAGAGUCACUCCAAAGUCACUAAUAGCAGAGAACGAACGAAGAGAUUAUGGUAGGGUAUGAAACCACCUCAAAGUUAUUAAACACAUAAAACCACAUCUAAACAGAGGCUAGAUGAAUUAUUUAUUACUAAACAGGAACAAAAAGCAAGUAACAAAAAUAAAAUUGGGUUGCCUCCCAACAAACGCUAUCGUUUAACGCCCCUAGCUAGGCAUGAUGAUUCCGAUGACGCUCACAUAAAAGAUAAAAAUUGAAACAUAAAGAGAGCAUCAUGAAGAAUAUUGAUAAUACAUUUAAAUCUAACCCACUUCCUAUGCAUAGGGAUUUUGUGAGCAAACAACUUAUGGAAACAAUAAUAAACUAGCAUAGGAGGGCAAAACAAGCAUAACUUCAAAACUUUAAGCACAUAGAGAGGAAACUUGAUAUUAUUGCAAUUCCUACAAGCAUAUGUUCCUCCCUCAUAAUAAUUUUCAGUAGCAUCAUGAAUGAAUUCAACAAUAUAACCAGCAUCUAAAGCAUUCUUUUCAUGAUCUACAAGCAUAGAAAAUUUACUACUCUCCACAUAAGCAAAAUUCUUCUCAUUCGGAAUAGUGGGAGUAUCAUAAGAAACUCGAAUACUAUAAAUUGUUUCCACAUUAAAAGAGUAAUGUUCAGAGAAGGGGUAACCAUAAUCAUUACAAGUUUUAUAAAUAUAAUCACUACUUUUUAUAGCAUAAGUAUCAUCACUAUAAUCAUCAUAGGUAGGAGGCAUGCUAUCAUCAUUAUAAACUUGCAUAUCAAAACUUGGGAGACUAAAAAUAUCAUCUUCAUUAAACGUAGCAUCCCCAAGCCCGGGACAAACAUUAAUUGCAGCAAAUAUAUUCUCAAAAACAUCAUCUUCAUCAAACAUAGCAUCCCCAAGCUUGGGCAUUUUCAUAUCAUAAGCAUAAUCACUCUCAUAAUUAAUAGUAUGGAUAGCACCAAUAGUAUAGCAAUUAUCAUAUUCUUCCAAGCAAGUGCCAAAAAGAUUUUCAAGAUCAUAAGAAGUAUCAUUAUCUUCCACAAUUAUAUUUUCAUGAGGCACAAUAGUAAUAGGAGCAGCAUUAUUUGGGAGAGAUAUCUUUUUACCUCUCUUCCUUUUUCUUUUCUUCUUCUUCACCACAUCAUGUGUGGGUUCAAGCCUCUUUUUGGAGCUCCUUAUUAAUGAGAUUGGUUGAAUAGGAGGCUCCUCCUCGUUACCUGAUUCAUCAUAAAAAAUAAUAGGAUAAUAUUGGGAAGUCUCUUCCCUUUCGUUAGUAUUCUCUCCAUCCUCUAUUUGUUUUCUUUUCUUUAUGUAAUUGUCAAUAUAAGGAUUUUCAAUGCAAUUCACCACACAAUACAUAUAAAUCUUCUCUAUAUCAAAAUCAAGAAAUCUAUCAAGAUUAAACUUUGGAAUACCCUUAGUUAUACAUUUCAUUUCCUCAUACCUCGAAAGAAGACUAAGCUCUUUAUGAUGCUCAAGGGUAAUCAAAUUAUCACAAUUUUUGGAUACGAUUUGGUCAUGAAACAAUUUGCAUUGGAGAUUUAAAUGACCAUGUUCAUUGCAAAGUUCAUAAGGGGCGCAAAAAAUAUUGAAUUUUUCAGCACAAUCAUUAAGACUUUCUUGCAACAAUUUAGUUUCUAAGUACUUAUGCCGCUUGCAAUAUCUAUCUUCCCUAUUUGGUGUGUACUUGCAAACCCAAUGCACUCCACAAAAAUUGAUAUGUUUAUAGGAAACAUUUUCAUCAUAACUAGUGCAAUCAUCAUUAGUACCAUGGAUAUUAAAGGAGUUCAUACUAACAACAUUGCAAGGGAGUAAGAAGUGUUCUUUUUGUUCUCAUGACGAGACAAUCAAACACCUCUUUUUCCAAUGCAAGUUUGCACGUUCUAAGUGGUCAGUCAUCUAAAUAGCGUCAAAUUUGUAUCCGCCCACAAGUGUUGCCAAUAUUUUUGGUCAUUGGUUGGAUGGUAUUACAAAUAGGUUCAAAACGCUAAUAAGGGUGGGAGCGUAUGCCUUAAUUUGGUCGCUUUGACUAUGUAGAAAUGAUUUGGUUUUUAAUGACAAAAAUGUUUCUCCUCUACAUGUUAUUUUCCGGUGUACGCACUCGCUACGUAUGUGGUCUAUGCUACAACGGCCGGAGUACCAACCGAUGUUCAUGGUGGUGUGUACGCGAUUGGAACAGGUGGAUACGGAGGUUUUUUCCCAACAUGGCAGCAUAACCUACGGAUCGAUCCACCACCUUCUUCGACAUAUGCAUAGUGUCGGUCUAAAGGACUCUACUGUUGCCGAUUUGUUGAUUUUUAUUUCAUGAAUUUUUGUCAGACUUCUGGAUUUGGUUGUGUGCAUCUUAGUUAUGCAGAGGACGGGUGUUACUCAUAAUGCUUUGUAUCCGCUUGACGCUACAUUUUGAGAUAAUAAAGUCUUCUUUAUCGAAAAAAAGAUAGAUUACGAAACGCUCCAACAUGGUGUUACAACGUCGCCUUCCUUCCUCUUCACCCUUUUCUUGGAGGUAAUAGCACCCCAGGUACCCUAACUUGCAUGGAAUGUGAUCAUUUAGUCCCAAACUUGCAAAAUGCUACUCCACCAUACCUCAACUUGCACUAGAUGUGAUGAUUUAGUCCCCGGCCUAUCACAGCAUGACAAGUGGCAGCCAGCUGGUCAGACAAGUUGUCGCCUGCACUUUUACAAAAAAACACACUGCAUUUUGUCUCAUUAACCCCCGGUACAUGCAGCUCUUCUGUUGCUCCGCGUCCUGAAUUUCGAGGAGGCACUGGCAAGGUGUGGCGGUUCCGUUACUCAUACUGGAACAACAGCCAGAGCUACGUCCUCACCAAGGCUGGAGCCGCUUCAUGAAGGAGAAGGGCCUUGGCGCCUAAGACGUCAUCGGGUUCUACCGCUCCGCCGCCGGUAGCACUAGCGAAGGCACCAAGUGUUAGAAAAUAAACCGUGACGCGUGUGAGUCCGUGGUCACCAGCGUGUGUGCGUGUGUAUGUCUAGGUCUACACCGGACGCCGGUGCAUGGCUGCGUGGGUGCUCGAGUUCGAGUCGCAGUCCAUUGGUGUCGUGCGCGCGUAGAGCCAGCUAGUUAGUUGGAUACGUCAUUGAUGUCUACUACACAACCUUCUUCUUGUAGACAUUGUUGGGACUCCAAGUGCAGAGGUUUGUAGGACAGUAGCAAAUUUCCCUCAAGUGGAUGACCUAAAGUUUAUCAAUCAGUAGGAGGCGUAGGAUGAAGAUGGUCUCUCUCAAGCAACCCUACAACCAAAUAAUAAAGAGUCUCUUGUGUCCCCAACACACCCAAUAUAAUGGUAAAUUGUAUAGGUGCACUAGUUCGGCGAAGAGAUGGUGAUACAAGUGGUAUAUGGAUGGUAGAUAAAGGUAUUUGUAAUCUGAAAUUAUAAAAACAGCAAGGUAACUAAUGAUAAAAGUGAGCGUAAAUGGUAUUGCAAUGCGUUGAAACGAGGCCUAGGGUUCAUACUUUCACUAGGGCAAGUUCCCUCAACAAUAAUAACAUAAUUGGAUCACAUAGCUAUCCCUCAACAUGCAACAAAGAGUCACUCCAAAGUCACUAAUAGCGGAGAACGAACGAAGAGAUUACGGUAAGGUACGAAACCACCUCAAAAUUAUUCUUUCCAAUCAAUCCGUUGGGUUAUUCCUAUAAGUGUCACAAACAGCCCUAGAGUUCGUACUAGAAUAACACCUUAAGACACAAAUCAACCAAAACCCUAAUGUCACCUAGAUACUCCAAUGUCACCUCAAGUAUCCGUGGGUAUGACUAUACGAUAUGCGUCACACAAUCUCAGAUUCAUCUAUUCAACCAACACCUAGGACCUUAAAGAGUGCCCCAAAGUUUCUACCGGAGAAUCAUGACGAAAAUGUGUGCCAACCCCUAUUCAUAGGUUCAUGGGUGGAAUCCGCAAGUUGAUCAUCAAAACAUACAUCAAGUGAAUCACGUGAUAUCCCAUUGUCACCACAGAUACGCACGGCAAGCCAUACAUCAAGUGUUCUCAAAUCUUUAAAGACUCAAUCCGAUAAGGUAUCUUCAAAUGGAAAACUCAAUCCAUUACAAGAGAGUAGAGGGCGGGGGGGAGGGGGGAACAUCAUAAGAUCCAACUAUAAUAGCAAAGCUUGCGAUACAUCAAGAUCGUAUCACCUUAAGAACACGAGAGUGAGAGAGAGAUCAAACACAUAGCUACUGGUACAUACCCUCAACCGCGAGGGAGAACUACUCCCUCCUCAUCAUGGAGAGCACCGGGAUGAUGAAGAUGGCCACCAGAGAGGGAUGCCCCCUCCGGCAGGGUGCCGGAACAGGUCUAGAUUGGUUUUCGGUGGCUACGGAGGCUUCUGGCGGCGGAACUCCGGAUCUAUUGUGCUCUCGGAUGUUUUUAGGGUAUGUGGAGUUAUAUAGGCAGAAGAAAUACGUCAGGGGGCACGAGGGGCCCACNNNNNNNNNNNNNNNNNNNNNNNNNNNNNNNNNNNNNNNNNNNNNNNNNNNNNNNNNNNNNNNNNNNNNNNNNNNNNNNNNNNNNNNNNNNNNNNNNNNNNNNNNNNNNNNNNNNNNNNNNNNNNNNNNNNNNNNNNNNNNNNNNNNNNNNNNNNNNNNNNNNNNNNNNNNNNNNNNNNNNNNNNNNNNNNNNNNNNNNNNNNNNNNNNNNNNNNNNNNNNNNNNNNNNNNNNNNNNNNNNNNNNNAUCCAAAAAUAAGUUCUGUGAAGUUUCAGGUCAAUUGGACUCCGUUUGGUUUUUCUUUUCUGCGAUAUUCUAAAACAAGGUAAAAACAGAAACUGACACUGGGCUCUGGGUUAAUAGGUUAGUCCCAAAAAUGAUAUAAAAGUGUAUAAUAAAGUUCAUAAUCGUCCAAAACAGAAGAUAAUAUAGCAUGGAGCAAUUAAAAAUUAUAGAUACGUUGAAGACGUAUCAGUCUUGCGUGCGGUCGUAUCAGUAGUAGUUAGUUAAUGUGUAGCGUGCAUGCAAUAGUCAGUUAGUGCAUGCAUGUAGAUAUCCGUUGGUUGCCAGCCGAGACGUACGCGUACAAGCGCGCAUCGUGGGCGCUGGCGAGUGCGGAUCGUGCGAAACAGUAGACCUGGCUCCCCGUGCCCGCCAGCCGCACCUCCAGCCCCUCGGCGAAGCUGUGCGCCGGCCUCUGCGUGGCGUCUCCCAUCGGCCCGGAGUGCUGCUUGAUCUGCCUGAGCAGCUCCGUCGUGCCCCGGUGGUCGCCCGCGGCCACGGCCUGCGCGCAGUGGGUGAGCAUGGUGCGCAGGUCGACCGCCUCGCUCUUCUUCGCGCGUGCCGCCUUCCCGUUCUUCUUCUUGGCCUCGCUGUCCAUGGCGAGGCGCAGCUCCUCUAUCCCCUGCAUGCAUGCAUCAUACCCCUCCAGCAUUAUUUCGUCUAACAUCUCACGGGCGCCGGUCUCCUCGAUGUCCGGCAUCAUCGGCUUGCUGCUCCUGGCGGUCUCCGCCUCCAGGUCGUCCUCGUCGUACCUGUAUUUGCGGCCCCGGCCAUUGUCGGACGUCGGUGUUCCAUUCGCCACCUCCUUCUUGAUGGUGAAGCCGCGCUCCUUGCCGGGGAUGGCCUCGAGGAGGGUGCUGUUGGUCGGCAAGAACUUGUUGGCCUCCUCCAUGCCCUUGAGGAAGGCCGAGUUGAGCAUGUCCAUGUCACCGCCGUUACAGAAGAAGGCCGAGAGCAGCCCGCCCUGGCCGCCAUCGCCAUCUUCCGCUCGGCCUCCUUCUCCUCCGCCAGACCAUUUAAGAUUGCCGAACUCUGGGUGCCCGGGCUGCCGCCGUUCUGGCCGAAGAAGGCGUUGGCCCCAUCGGAUGCGCAAGUUGCGCCGGAUUCUGCUGGAACCCCGCAGCUGGGGCGUCAGCAAGGAACAUGAUAAUGUUUAAUUAGACAAGACGCAUCAUGGGCGCUGGCGAGUGCGGAUCACGCGAAAGUAUCCUGUAAAUCGCGCGAAACAGAAGAGCUGCAUGUAGCGGGGGUUAAUUAGACAAGAUGCCACUUUUCGUGCUGUGAUAGGCUGAGGACUAAAUCAUCACAACUAAUGCAAGUUGGGAUAUGAUAAGUAGCAUUUUGCAAGUUUGGGACUAAAUCAUCACAUUUCAUGCAAAUUAGGGUACAUGGGGUGCUAUUACCUCCUUUUCUUGGUAAAAAGAAACACAUUGAGUACAGAGCAUGCAUGAUUGAAUCUCCGGCCGUCUCGAUAGGCGUGUCUCGUGAUUCAGCCGUCCACACUGAUACAAUUACACGUCGACCGUUAGUGUUGGUACGUACGUAGUACAUAACGAACAGGGACGCAUGGUCCUGGAAGGACGGCGUUGGACGCUUCCAUGGACAGAAUAAGGUUCACACGAAAAAAUCAAUAACAGAACGUAAUAACAUGUUACAGUCUGAAAUGAACUCUAAAAUUGUAGACCUCGAUGGAAAUAAACUUCACAUCUAAAUCCCUGAAAUAUGUAACCUGACCUUUCAGAUCUCAGUCAUUUUGAACCUUUUGACGUUUCUAGGAGAGGAUUUGAUGACAUGGCACUAGGAGUCUGGGAUUGCUGACUUUGACCGAAUCAAUGACUGCCAAGGUGGGCCGUGGGCGUGCUCACAUGCGAGCCACCGCCAUGCCCAUUUGACCACUGCUGGCUAUCUGCGUUGCGCUUCGGCGCUGCCAGUACGAGCUCCACUGCCUGCCUCCUGCCCAUGCUCUAGCUCGCUGCCCUGUCCUCAAACGAUCUCCGUUUUGCCCGCGUCCCAUGCUUCGUCCUGUACAUCUUCGUCGCCGACUUCUCAUUCUGCCUCGCGUGUGUCGUGUUUCUUGCUGGGAACAGAUGAGUAGCACGCUUGUACAUGCGUAUAUUUACGCGUCUAGCCGGUGCAAUCAGAAGCACGCCCGUGGCUUGCUGGCUUGUACGUGCAUGUAGCCCGCGAACAUUGAUCAAGCUCUACAACAAGCCGGUGCAUGGCACCAAGCACCGGAUCGGAGCCAGGUAAAAAUGUUCUUGGACCACCACGGCGACCCCCGCGUCCAGCACACCACGGUGGCUAGCAGCAACGUGCUCAGAAAUCUCAGGGUGAUGCGGCUGCGCUCCGCCAUGGGUGGCUUCGAGUUCGACUUCCUGGUGCCCCGUAGCCGAAUUGCCGAAAUAUUACCACGGCGUGCACGCCUCACUCGAUGUGUGGCCCAGGUCUCAGCAAGUCACGCGGCACGGCGGCAGCGCUUGAGGCAACUGGCAAGGGAGCCAGUGAGGCGCUCUGCCCUGGCUUCAACUAGACGCGCCACCGCCUGAGCGACGAAGAAACCGACGAUGUAAGGACGCCCGACAGCCCAAGCGACGCAGGAUAUGGCUAGAAGGUGGGCAGCUCGCCGCUGUAGGAAGUUGGCUGUGCUGCCAUGGCUAGCACCGAAAACGAGUAGGUCCUGGUACCCCAGCCGGCGAUCCUCGCGUGGCCAUGAGUGGUUGCCAGUGACACAGCUCUCGUGGCCGCCCGCACGAGGUGCAGUCCAGGGUGAUGAUGCUGAGUGCCGAGUGCUGACAAGGGGUUUGAUUCUGUGGGACCCAUCUGCAUGUGUUGGCUGACUAAUCAAUCCCGGCCUUUCCAUAUGGUAUGUAGGAAUCCUCUGUUUUGGUACGACCUCAAGGUUCAAAACGACCGGGAUAAGUGAAGUCAUGGUACAUAUUUCAUGGAUUUAGAUGUGAGGGUUCGUUUUCAUCAAGCUCUACAACCUCGGGGUUUAUUUUAGACUUCGCUCCAUGUUUUUUGGAACAAAGACGCCAACAGCGUCCAGCUAUAAAUUAAUAAAGCCAACAGGAGUUAACCAUCAUAAUUCACACAAGUCCUCGAACGACAGGCCAUCAAAAUGACCAAAAGAUAAGAAGUUUAAAGUUCAGCGACAUCAGCAUGCAGGCUAGCAGAUCAUCAGCACGUAGGCUGGCAUAACAAAGUUCUAAAAGCUACGGGGACGAACAAAAGGUGCCGAGGAUAAGGAUGAUGCAAAGUAUCAGUCAGGGCCUGCAUCUUGUCUCGCUUCCAUCUGAAUGCAGUGGAUCUUUGCCAUCGUCUCGGUCAUACGCUCCACAUCACGUGGUUUUCCCAACAGAGCCCAAGUCUGAGACCUCCAGGUUUUUGUCAGCAAUGCGAAGCUGAGCGCUCUCCAGAGAAGAAAGAUCUCCCAGCUUGGCCUUGGACCUCGCGCUCGGGGCACGUUGCCGCACCGGAGUCGCCUUGGACCUCUUCGCCUUCGCGCCCGCUCCCACCGACGCCAGCGCCGCGCCAGAUCACCCCGAAGCUGCUCCGACUCUGCCACCGCACACACCUUGGCCGUCGGCUUCCGGCCCGCCGUCUUCUUGUGGGGUCUUCUCGAUCCACCCGAGCUGCGGUGCCCAGAGGGAGGGGUAGGAGCCGAGUCGUCGUUGAGCACACAUCCCGCAUCCACGCCACCAGUAGCCACCAGAGAGUUGUGGUCCGUGCCCCCCACGUCACCUGAGAGCACCAUAUCCACCAUGGGAGCCAGGGAUGGCGAACCCAAGUGGGAACCGUACUCAUCAAAAGAGACAACAAGCGUCCUGGCCAGCGGAGGAAGACUGACAGCAGUAUCCUGCGUAGCCACAGCCCGAGAACCCCCGUCCAGCAUCCCAAAUUUAUCCCAAGUCUCGGUAUCAAUGGAGGUGUCGUGCAUGCUUUCGUCCAGCUCAUCUUCUUGGCCACCCAUCACCAUAUCCUUGGCCAUCGCCGACCCGCACGCGCCUCCCGUCGGCUGCUUGGACCUUGAUUUGGUAGCCUUCCCCAUUUAACCACACCUCGACGAAGCCGUUGAGCUUAAUUGUCUGGCGAAAUGCACGCCAGCUUCAUCCUCAUUGGCCCCAGCCGUAUGAGAGAGAGCUCAUCCACCACAAUGAUACGACCCAGCAUCUUGAGACCUUCCAUCAGAUGCUCCACACGGCGAUGCUUCCUGGGAAUGUCGUGGAGCUGAACCCACGUCUCUGGCAUGACCAUAGGUGCCACCUCCUCAUGCAGUGACUCCCGCACCCGAGCGGUUAUGUCGUUGAUAGAGAGGAAAAGUUUGCCGCUGGAUUUUGCCAUAUGGAGCAAAUUGGUCGAGGGAAAGAUAAACGAGAAAUAAUUGUCCCCAACCUGGGCAACCUGCCAAUCCCAAUCACCAGUCACCAUGUGUUUAAGCUCUUGCUUGAGGACACGGAGCAAGAGUUGGCUCGGAUCUGCAGAGAUGAUAGCUGCGUUGUUGAUUUUCAGAUCCGCUCCUCUGUCCAUCUCCUCAUCCUCCUCAAAUUGUUCCCAUGAUCUGGAGGUUCAGGGCCUUCCCACGCGUUGGUCGCGCAGCCGAGACGUGACUCUCCUCCUUGCACAACACACACAGCGGCUCGAACUUGCAUUUGGACUGGGAAUGCCCCAAGUGACCACACUUGAAGCAUUCCACAUCCGAGAUCUCUUCCACUGGAAUGGGCGCAUUGGCCGAGCCUUUGGGGGCUAUAAGGCCUGUUACACAUUGUGUCAUCCUGUAAGCACCACUUUUGCUUGAUCACGCUCGCAUUUGCCUUCCUAUGCUCUAAGCUUUACUGUGUCACUGUCCAACGUGCUUGAAUGCUUGAUCAGGUAAGAUUCUUCCAGCAAUAGACUAGUCCUAAGUUCUAACGUGCAUCUUUCAUGGGGCUAUCAGCCAGAAAGUAAAACCAAAACAUGGCUAGCAGCUAAGUCUGGGAUUCUGGGAUCAGUAGAACUGUGAUGACGACUAAAACUGAAAGUUGAGUUCCUAAGGCCGCCCAUUCCCAAUGCAAUGUAUAUUCCUUCUCGGUUAAAAUAUGCAAAGCUAGGUAUAUGUCAAUAGCUCAAGAAGCCAGGUGAGGCGGGAUUGUGUAUGCAUGUUGUGACCUAGUUGUGAGUGCACAUAUAUACACAUGCUUUUACAAGGAAUAAAUGAAUGGUGAGGUUUGUGGUAGGUGAAGUUGUACUUUACAUUGAUUGCAGACAGUUUUACCAUCAGAGACAACCAUAGACAUUUCAUCAUCUCGAAACAUUCCACACCAAGAGGUUGUUUCAUGUACACUUCCUCUUCCAGAACACCAUGAAGGAACGCGUUCUGUACGUCUAGCUGUCUGAGACUCUAGCCCCUGGACACAGCAAUGGACAAAACAAGACGAAUAGUUGCAGCUUUUACCACUGAACUAAAUGUAUCCUCAUAGUCAAUACCAUACCGUUGCUUGAAGCCUUUUGCCACAAGUCUUGCCUUGUAGUGACCAAUAGUGCCAUCAGAUUUUCUCUUGAUUCGAAACACCCACUUGCAAUCAAUGAGGUUUUUACCGUGUUGUGGAGGGACCAAAUGCCAUGUUUUCUUUCUCUUCAAUGUCAUGUACUCUUCAUGCAUGGCCUUCUUCCAAUUUUCAUCAGCUAGGGCUUCAUCAAGUGUGUAGGGUUCACCUGGUUCACCUGUGGAGCACACCAUACCAUAUUUUGUAAUAUGCUUAUAAUUAAUUAGUUGAAUUACCCCCUGUUGCAGCCAUGUACGUCAUGGUGUUGAGGUAGCUAGCACGGGUGGCGCAGAGGAUCCCGUGCAACCUGCAGGUGCAGUAGGAAUCGAUCCCGAGGCAGAUCCCAGCGAAGCAGCAGCAGGUUCGGCAGCAGAUUCCGCCAGCGGAUCUUCUGUGGCGGUAGACGGUGGUGUGCAACCGCGCGGCUCCGCAGAAGAUCCCAACGGACGGGGCUCAUCAUGACGCCGCGAUGGAGAGGCGGCAUCCGCUGCGCCAGAGGCGGGUCCCGCGCCUGUCGGCCUACUCGGGUCGCGCCGUUUGUAGCACACGGGUUGGACCGGAAACCGGGCCCCUGAAGACCCAAUAGGAGGCGUACAAGCGGCGCCGCGUGAUUCGCUCGGGUUGAUGGACACGCUGCCGCGAAUCGCUGGUGGCCGCGUGGCACACGCGGGCUCGCUCACUGCGCGCGCUAUCGGCGGCUCCACGCGCAGCUGAUGGCGCGGAUUCCUGAGGGGAUUCUGUCCCCCUGCCAGCAGCGGCGGAUCCCGAGGACUAUCUGCUGGGCAGGUCUGACUCUGCCACGGGAACUGAUCCCGAGGCGGAUUUGUUCCCUGGUUCGGGGCACAUGAAAUAUGGCACGUGCACUUCAUUUUCUGCAUCGUUUUGCAUUCCGUUUUCUUCUGCAACAUCACACAACUCAUGCACAAUAGUUUGAGGGUUAGUCAACAUAUGAUCAUCAUGGUUUCGUUCCCCUUCAUCAAGGCCAGUGAGAGAAGAUGGUAGAAGGAAGGUUUCUUUACGGAGUAAAGCACCGCGUUAGGAUGAAGGUCGACAAAGGGAAAUUUGUUCUCAUCAAACACAACAUCACGGGAAAUAUAAACGCGCCCGGUGGAAACAUCUAGGCACUUAACCCCCUUGUGUUGGGCACUAUAGCCAAGGAAAACACAUUGUUUAGAUCUGAACAUGAGUUUGCGAGAGUUGUAGGCACGGAGGUUGGGCCAACAUGCACAACCAAAGACUUGUAGAGAUGUGUAGUUGGGCUUGACAUGAAGAAGUCGUUCUAUGGAGGUUUCAUUGUUUAUGACACGGCUUGGGAGCAUAUUGAUGAUAUGAACAGCGGUGAGGAACGCUUCAUCCCAAAACUUGAGAGGCAUGGAAGCACCGGCUGAAAGAGCUAGACCAACUUCAACUAUAUGACUAUGCUUGUGUUUGGCAGAACCGUUUUGUUGGUGAGCAUGAGGGCAUGACACAUGAUGUGAAAUGCCAAGUGUUUGAAAGAAGAAAUUUAAUUUCUCGUAUUCCCCUCCCCAGUCGGAUUGGACAACAAUGAUCUUGCUAUCGAACUUGCAUUCAGCAAGUGCUUGAAAGUUUUUGAACACUUGAAAAACGUUGGAUCGUUUCUUAAUAAGAUAGAUCCAAGAAAAUUUUGUAUAGUCAUCAAUGAAACUUACAUAGUACGUGUGUCUACCAACAGAACUAGGAGCAGGGCCCCAAACAUCGGAGAAAAUUAAUUGCAAUGGUUGAGUAGAGACACUUGUAGAAAUAGGAUAAGGUAAUUGAUGACAUUUUGCUCUUUGGCAAGAAUCACAAAUAGUUUCAACAUUUCACUCACCAACAAACGGGAGCUUAUUUUUCCUAAGCAAACGUUCACCAAGAGGAAAAGAGGCAUGCCCUAAACGAUCGUGCCAACGUGUUGAAGAAAGUUUGACAACACCAUAGGCUUUUUUAUUGAAUCUCCUAAGCUCCGGAAUCAACGGGUAAAGCCCUCGAACGCAUCUACCUCUAUAUAGUACCUUCUUCGUGGCAUGAUCCUUUAUCAAAAAGAAAAAGGGAUGGAAUUCAAUAAAGACAUGAUUGUCAAUGGUAAUGCGAUGAACGGAUGGGAGAUUUUUGUUGGCACUAGGAACAUGCAAAAUUUUGCGAAGAUGAAUUUUAUGAGAAGGGGUAUGAUACGUCUCCGUCGUAUCUAUAAUUUUUUAUUGUUCCAUGCCAAUAUUCUGCAACUUUCAUAUACUUUUGGCAACUUUUUAUACUAUUUUUGGGACUAACAUAUUAAUCCAGUGCCCAGUGCCAGUUCCUAUUUGUUGCAUGUUUUUUGUUUCACAGAAUAUCCAUAUCAAACGGAGUCCAAACGGGAUAAAAACUGACGGAUAUUUUUUUGGAAUAUAUAUGAUUUUUGGGAAGAAAAAUACACGCGAUACGGUGCCCGAGGGAGGCACGAGGCAGGGGGCGCGCCCCUGACCCUCGUGGCCACCCCGUAAGGCGGUUGAUGCCCUUCUUUUGCCGCAAGAAAUCUAAUAUCUGGAUAGAGAUCGUGUUAAAAUUUCAGCCCAAUCAGAGUUACGGAUCUCCGGGAAUAUAAGAAAAGGUGAAAGGGCGGAAUCUGAGAACGCAGAAACAAAGAGAGACAGAGAGACAGAUCCAAUCUCGGAGGGGCUCUCGCCCCUCCCACGCCAUGGAGGCCAAGGACCAGAGGGGAAACCCUUCUCCCAUUUAGGGAGGAUGUCAAGGAAGAAGAAUACGAAGGGGCCCCCUCUCCCCUUCUCUUCCGGUGGCGUCGGAACGCUGCCGUGGCCAUCAUCAUCACCGCAAUCUUCACCAACAACUUCACCGCCAUCAUCACCAACUCUCCCCCCCCUCUAUGCAGCGGUGUAACCUCUCUCUUACCCGAUGUAAUCUCUACUUAAACAUGGUGCUCAACGCUAUAUAUUAUUUCCCAAUGAUGUAUGGCUAUCCUAUGAUGUUUGAGUAGAUCCGUUUUGUCCUAUGGGCUAUUUGAUGAUCAAGAUUGAUUUGAGUUGGAUGUUUUAUUAUUGGUGUUGUCCUCUGGUGCUCUCUGUGUCGCGCAAGCGUGAGGGAUCCCCACUGUAGGGUGUUGCGAUACAUUCAUGAUUCGCUUAUAGUGGGUUGCAUGAGUAACUGAAACGCAAACCCGAGUAAGGGGGUUGUUGCGUAUGGGAUAAAGAGGACUUGAUGCUUUAAUGCUAUGGUUGGGUUUUACCUUAAUGAUCUUUAGUAGUUGCGGAUGCUUGCUAGAGUUCCAAUCAUAAGUGCAUAUGAUCCAAGUAGAGAAAGUAUGUUAGCUUAUGCCUCUCCCUCAUAUAAAAUUGCAAUAGUGAUUACCGGUCUAGUUAUCGAUUGCCUAGGGACAAAUAACUUUCUCGUAACAAAAAGCUCUUUACUAAAACUAACUUAGUUAUGUCUUUACCUAAACAGCCCCUACUUUUUAUUUAUGUAAUCUUUAUUAUCUUGCAAACCUAUCCAACAACACCUACAAAGUACUUCUAGUUUCAUACUUGUUCUAGGUAAAGCAAACGUCAAGCGUGCAUAGAGUUGUGUCGGUGGUCGAUAGAACUUGAGGGAAUAUUUGUUCUACCUUUAGCUCCUCAUUGGGUUCGACACUCUUACUUAUCGAAAACUGUUGUGAUCCCCUAUACUUGUGGGUUAUCAAGACCUUUUUAUGGCGCCAUUGCCGGGGAGCAAUAGCGUGGGGUGAAUAUUCUCGUGUGUGCUUGUUUUCUUUAUCACUAAGUAAUUUUUAUUUGUUGUUCUUAGUUGUUCUUUGUCUUUAGUUAUGGAUAUGGAACACGAAAUACCAAAACAAUUAGGUGUACUUGCUCCUCAUGGAGAUGAGGAACCUCCUAAAACCCUCGAUGCUCGUUAUGUGACAGAUAUUAUGUACUACUUUGAUAAUCCAGAGAAAACCCCAUUCAAUUUGGUAAUGGGAGACACGUUAGAUCAACAUGAAUACUUUAGGGAUUAUCACUUGACUCAAAAAGGGAAACUAUUAUGGGAUCAAAUUUAUAUGUUGUAUUGGUAUGCUAGGCAACUAUGCUUGAGAUAUGAUUAUACUUGUUUCUCUAGGAUGAAGGCUCCACACCUUCCCUUUUCAUGUGAAUUUAAUGAUAAUGAAACUUUGGCUUCUUAUGCUAGAGGUAUAUAUGACUACUAUGAUGUGGAACAAAUAGAAAAUUUUGUUACUUUUAUGGGUGCUUAUGAAAUUGAAUCUAUGUUCAAAGAAUAUGAAAAUCUUUAUGAUGUUGUCUACAAACCUGAAAAUUUAGCUAUCCUUAAAUAUUGUUAUGAGAAUUAUGAAUACAAUUCCGAUAUUGAUGCGUUUAUUGAGAAAGUCUCUGUUGUCCCAGAAGAGACUAAUAUUUUGCAGGAAUCUAUGGAAGAAGAAAUUGAUGAAACUGUGAGCUCAUUGAAUGAAAAAGAUGAGGAGGAGAGCGAAGAACAAAAGGAGGAAGAGCGGAUUGAUCACCCGUGCCCACCUUAUAAUGAGAGUAACUCUUCAACUCAUACAUUGUUUAAUUUCCCUUCGUGCUUACCGAAGGAGGAAUGCUAUGAUAAUUGCUAUGAUCCCGUAGAUUCUUUUGAAAUAUCCCUUUUUGAUGAUGCUUGCUAUGCUUGUGGACAAGAUGCCAAUAUGAAUUAUGCUUAUGGAGAUGAACUUGCUAUAUUUUCUUAUGUUAAACAUGAAAUUGUUGCUAUUGCACCCACACAUGAUAGUCCUAUUAUCUUUUUUAAUUCUCCAAACUACACUAUAUCGGAGAAGUUUGUGCUUAUUAAGGAUUAUGUUGAUGGGUUGCCUUUUACUACUACACAUGAUGAUUUUGAUAGAUAUAAUAUGCAUGUGCUUGCUGCUCCUACUUGCAAUUAUUAUGAGAGAGGAACUAUAUCUCCACCUCUCUAUGUUUCCCACACGAUAAAAUUGCAAGAAACUAUUUAUACUAUGCAUUGGCCUUUACUAUGUGUGCAUGAAUUGUUCUUUUAUGACAGGCCGAUGCAUAGGAAGAGAGUUAGACUUCGUUAUUACAUGAUAUAUGUUGCUUUGUGCUCACUACUAAAUUACAAAUCAUUGUUAAUUAAAAUUGGCUUUGAUAUACCCUGGGAUCCGGGUGGAUUCAUUACUUGAGCACUAUAUACCUAGCUUAAUGGCUUUAAAGAAAGCGCUGCCAGGGAGACAACCCGAAAGUUUUAGAGAGUCAUUUAUUUCUGUUUAGUGCUUUUAUAAAGUUUAAAAACAAAAAAAUAAAGAGGGGAACCUAAAACUUUUUCAAAAAGAAAAGCGAAAGUGAGAAAGACGGGCAUUGUUAAAAUGGGAGCUAGCCUUGAACUUUGUUCAUGCCCAUGGAAACUUUGUGACCCUUGAUUACACAAACUUUUCAACAAAAAUAAUUAUCCCCUUGUACAAUUCUAUUGUAUUAUAAAAAUAAUGUGCCAAGGUUUGCCUUUAGAAUGUUUACUUUGCUUGUUGGUUUGUACGGUGGAGGAUAUAAACUUUGGCUGUAGUGCGCGAUUUUACAUUUUUUACUGGAACGUCAAAUGGUUCUGAUUCAUUUUGCACUGUCUUUCUACACAAAUUUUUUAUUUUUCCUAAUUUUGGAAGAAUUUUUCAAGUAUCAGAGGUAUGGUGAAUGUUCAGAUUGUUACAGACUGUUCUGUUUCAAAUAGAUUCUGUUUUUGAUGCAUAGUUUGCUUGUUUUGAUGAAACUAACGAUUUAUAUCAGUGGAUUAAGCCAUGGAAAAGUUAUAUUACAGUAGACACAAUGCAAAAACAAAAUAUGAAUUGGUUUGCAAUAGUACUUAGAGUAGUGAUUUGCUUUAUUAUACUAACGGAUCUUACCGAGUUUUCUGUUGAAGUUUUGUGUGGAUGAAGUGUUCGAUGAUCGAGAAGGUCUCGAUGUGAGAAGAAGGAAGAGAGGCAAGAACUCGAGCUUGGGGAUGCCCGAGGCACCCCAAGUAAAUAUUCAAGGAGACUCAAGUGUCUAAGCUUGGGGAUGCCCCGGAAGGCAUCCCCUCUUUUUUCAACAAGUAUCGGUAUGUUUUCGGUUUCGUUUUCGUUCAUGGAAUAUGUGCAAUCUUGGAGCGUAUUUUGCAUUUAGUUUUCAUUUUUCUUUUAUGCACCAUGCUGGUAUGAGAUAGUCCUUGGUUGAUUUAUAGAAUGCUCAUUGCACUUCACUUAUAUCUUUGAGUAUGGCUUUAUAGAAUGCUUCAUGUGCUUCGCUUAUAUCAUUUAAAGUUUGGAUUGCAUGUUUCUCUUUACAUAGAAAACCGCCAUUUGUAGAAUGCUCUUUUGCUCCACUUAUAUUUGUUAGAGCGUGGGAAUAUCUUUUGUAGAAAGAAUUAAACUCUCUUGCUUAACUUAUAUCUAUUUAGAGAGAUGACAGGAACUGGUCAUUCACAUGGUUAGUCAUAAAAUCCUACAUAAAACUUGUAGAUCACUGAAUAUGAUAUGUUUGAUUCCUUGCAAUAGUUUUGUGAUAUAAAGAUGGUGAUAUUAGAGCCAUGCUAGUGGGUAGUUGUGAUUAGUAGAAAUACUUGUGUAGAGGAUUGUGAUUCGCGUAGCAUGCAUGUAUGGUGAACCGUUAUGUAACGAAGUCGGAGCAUGAGGUAUUUAUUGAUUGUCUUCCUUACGAGUGGCGGUCGAGGACGAGUGAUGGUAUUUUCCUACCAAUCUAUCCCCCUAGGGGCAUGCAUAGUAGUACUUUGCUUCGAGGGCUAAUAAACUUUUGCAAUAAGUAUGUGAGUUCUUUAUGACUAAUGUUGAGUCCAUGGAUUAUACGCACUCUCACCCUUCCAUCAUUGCUAGCCUCUUCGGUACCGUGCAUUGCCCUUUCUCACCUCGAGAGUUGGUGCAAACUUCGUCGGUGCAUCCAAACCACGUGAUAUGAUACGCUCUGUCACACAUAAGCCUUCUUAUAUCUUCCUCAAAACAGCCACCAUACCUACCUAUUAUGGCAUUUCCAUAGCCAUUCCGAGAUAUAUUGCCAUGCAACUUCCAUCAUCAUCAUAUACAUGACUUGAGCAUUCAUUGUCAUAUUGCUUUGCAUGAUCAUAAGACAGCUAGCAUGAUGUUUUCAUGGCUUGUCUGUUUUUGAUGUCAUUGCUACGCUAGAUCAUUGCACAUCCCGGUACACCGCCGGAGGCAUUCAUAUAGUCAUAUCUUUGUUCUAGUAUCGAGUUGUAAUAUUGAGUUGUAAGUAAAUAAAAAUGUGACGAUCAUCAUUAUUAGAGCAUUGCCUGCCAAAAAAAGAGAGGCCAAAUAAGCCUAAAUAAAAAAAGAGGGGGCCAAAGAAGCCCGCAAAAAAGGAGAAAAAGGGGGCAACAUUGCUAUCCUUUUACCACACUUGUGCUUCAAAGUAGCACCAUCUUCUUCAUAUAGAGAGUCUCUUGAGUUAUCACUUUCAUAUACUAGUGGGAAUUUUCAUUAUAGAACUUGGCUUGCAUAUUCCGAUGAUGGGCUUCCUCAAAUGCUCGAGGUCUUCGAGCAAGCAAGUUGGAUGCACAGCCACUUAGUUUUCAUUCUGAGCUUUCAUACACUUGUAGCUCUUAGUGCAUCUGUUGCAUGGCAAUCCCUACUCACUCACAUUGAUAUCUAUUGAUGGGCAUCUCCAUAGCCCGUUGAUACGCCUAGUUGAUGUGAGACUAUCUUCUCCUUUUUGUCUUCUCCACAAACACCAUUCUAUUCCACCUAUAGUGCUAUAUCCAUGGCUCACGCUCAUGUAUCGCGUGAGGGUUGAAAAUGCUGAAGCGCGUUAAAAUCUAUGAACCAAUUGCUCGGCUUGUCAUCGGGGUUGUGCAUGAUGUGAAUAUUUUGUGUGGUGAAGAUGGAGCAUAGCCAGACUAUAUGAUUUGGUAGUGAUAACUUUCUUUGGCCUUGUUAUUUUGAAAAGACAUGAUUGCUUUAUUAGUGGGCUUGAAGUAUUAUUGUUUUUAUGUCAAAUGAUAGACUAUUGCUUUGAAUCACUCAUGUCUUAAUAUUCAUGCCAUGAUUAGAUAUGUGAUCAAGAUUAUGCUAGGUAGCAUUCCACUAUCUUUUUUAUCAUUACCUACUCGAGGACGAGCGGGAAUUAAGCUUGGGGAUGCUGAUACGUCUCCGUCGUAUCUAUAAUUUUUGUUGAUUCCAUGCCAAUAUUCUACAACUUUCAUAUACUUUUGGCAACUUUUUAUACUAUUUUUGGGACGAACAUAUUGAUCCAGUGCACAGUGUCAGUUCCUGUUUGUUGCAUGUUUUUUGUUUCGCAGAAUAUCCAUAUCAAACAGAGUCCAAACGGGAUAAAAACUGACGGAGAUUUUUUUGGAAUAUAUAUGAUUUUUGGGAAGAAAAAUCCACGCGACACGGUGCUCGAGGGAGGCACGAGGCAGGGGGCGCGCCCCACCCCCCUGGGCGCGCCCCUGACCCUCGUGGCCGCCUCAUAAGGCGGUUGGUGCCCUUCUUUCGCCGCAAGAAAGCUAAUAUCUGGAUAGAGAUCGUGUUAGAAUUCCAGCCCAAUCAGAGUUACGGAUCUCCGGGAAUAUAAGAAACGGUGAAAGGGCAUAAUCUGAGAACGCAAAAACAGAGAGAGGCAGAGAGACAGAUCCAAUCUCGGAGGGGCUCUCGCCACUCCCACGCCAUGGAGGCCAAGGACCAGAGGGGAAACCCUUCUCCCAUCUAGGGAGGAGGUCAAGGAAGAAGAAGACGAAGGGGCCCCCUCUCCCUUUCUCUUCCGGUGGCGCCGGAACGCUGUCGUGGCCAUCAUCAUCACCGCAAUCUUCACCAACAACUUCACCGCCAUCAUCACCAACUCUUCCCCCCCUCUAUGCAGCGGUGUAACCUCUCUCUUACCCGCUGUAAUCUCUACUUAAACAUGGUGCUCAACGCUAUAUAUUAUUUCCCAAUGAUGUAUGGCUAUCCUAUGAUGUUUGAGUAGAUCCGUUUUGUCCUAUGGGCCAUUUAAUGAUCAAGAUUGGUUUGAGUUGCAUGUUUUAUUAUUGGUGUUGUCCUAUGGUGCUCUCCGUGUCGUGCAAGCGUGAGGGAUCCCCGCUGUAGGGUGUUGCAAUACGUUCAUGAUUCGCUUAUAAUGGGUUGCGUGAGUGACUGAAACACAAACCCGAGUAAGGGGGUUGUUGCGUAUGGGAUAAAGAGGACUUGAUGCUUUAAUGAUAUGGUUGGGUUUUACCUUAAUGAUCUUUAGUAGUUGCGGAUGCUUGCUAGAGUUCCAAUCAUAAGUGCAUAUGAUCCAAGUAGAGAAAGUAUGUUAGCUUAUGCCUCUUCCUCAUAUAAAAUUGCAAUAGUGAUUACCGGUCUAGUUAUCGAUUGCCUAGGGACAAAUAACUUUCUUGUAACAAAAAGCUCUUUACUAAAACUAACUUAGUUGUGCCUUUACCUAAACAGCCCCUACUUUUUAUUUACGUAAUCUUUAUUAUCUUGCAAACCUAUCCAACAACACCUACAAAGUACUUCUAGUUUCAUACUUGUUCUAGGUAAAGCGAACGUCAAGCGUGCGUAGAGUUGUAUCGUGGUCGAUAGAACUUGAGGGAAUAUUUGUUCUACCUUUAGCUCCUCAUUGGGUUCGACGCUCUUACUUAUCGAAAACUGUUGCGAUCCCCUAUACUUGUGGGUUAUUAGUGUACGUAUAACCGAGUGACCAAUGUGACGUAUGCUCAUACCUGCACCACUGGCCGUAUGAAUCUGGUCCUUCCCGUGAUACUUUUCACGGAGAGUCACCUUAUCCAGCUCCCCUAUGAGGUGAUUGGUUGCGCCACUAUCAAGGUACCAGUUUGUGUCGACGCCAUAGGAUCCUUCAGCGGCGGCAACAACUUUGUCAUCAUCUUCAGAGGAGGCAUCAUCUUCAUCAAAACGAUACCAACAGUCUUUGGCAGUGUGGCCUGGUUUGCCGCAGAUUUGGCAGCGAACGGCAUCGGGACGGGAACGGCAUCGGGACGCGAACGGCUGGAGCCGCCGUAGCGACCCCUGUUGUUGGUGGAGUUGGGGUGACCGCCGCGGGAGCCAGAGUUGUUGGUGUUGCCGCUGUUGUGCUUGCCCUUGGUGCGAGGAGGACCGCGGUGACGGGAGGAGUACCCACCACUCUUGUGGGUUGCUGCGUUCGCCGAAGACUUGAACCCGCCGCCAGCACUGUGGUACUGGGCGACUUGCUGGUCGAAGUUGCUCAGUAUGGCGUAGAGCUCAUCGAGGGACACCGGUGUGACGCGGGCAUCCAGGGCAGACACGAGCGGCUGGUAGUCCAUGUCCAGCCCGUGAAGCAGAUACGAGAUCAGCUCAUCGUCCUGGAUGGGCUUGCCGGCCGCGGCGAGCUCAUCAGCAAGGCCAUGCAUGGGGGCGAAGUAGGCGACCACCGAUUGGUUCCCUUUCCGCGCAUUGAUCAAGGUAGUGCGAAUGUUGUUGACGCGGCUCAAGGACUGCGACGAGAGCAUACCUGCGAGUGCUGUCCAGAGAGCAUGCGCGGUGGUGACCGCGGUGACCGUGAUGAGCACCUCUUUGGUGAGGUUGUUGAGUUGGUAGCCUAGAACCUGCUGGUCCUCCCUUACCCAGAUGUGAUGGAGAGGAUUGGGCUCGGACGACUCCUUCCUGUCCUUGUCCUUGGUGACGAGAAGGCGGGAUGGCUCCGGCUGGGUGCCGUCGACGUAGCCAUAGAGGCCGGCUCCCCUCAACUGCGGCGUGAUUUGGGUGCGCCACAGGACGUAGUUCGUUCGAGAGAGCUUCUCCAUGACCUGACCGCUCAGAUUGGAUUGGGUGGCACUGGAGGAAGACAUGGCUGGCACUGGUGGAGAUCGAAAGCUAGGGUUUGGAAGAGGAGGCUCUGAUUACCAUGUGCGAUAGGCGGAAACGUCUUGCCUCGACCUGAGGCAACGUGCUACAUGUUUAUAGGCAGGGGCGCACCUUCCUCUAGCGCAUACAUUGUUGGAGAUAUUACAGGAGGUUUACAACUUGGAGAGCAAGAGAUAGAAUUGGUUACAAGAGAUAAGAGAAGAUAGAAUUACAUGUAACUUAAACUAGCUAUCUUCCUAGAUCCUGCGCAACCUCUUGGAUAUCUUGGACUCUGUCAUACGUGACACAUAUUAUGUUUAACACGGACGUGCAUCUUUCUUGGUCUUAUCACUGAACAUGGCCACAAAGCAAAACCAAAACAUGGCUAGCAGCUAAGUCCGGGAUUUUGAAACAGGUGAAACUUUGAUAAUAUCUUGAACUAAAAGUUGAGUUCCCAAGGCUGGCCAUCCCCAAUGCAUGGUAUAUGCCUGCCUGGCUGAAAUAUGUUAGGUUAGGUAAACGUCAAUAGAUCAAGGCGCCAGGCAAGGCGGGAUUGGAUGCAUGGUAUGAGCGUAUAUACACAACCUUUUAUAAGGCAUAAAUCUGUUGUGAUAUUAUUUUAUCAUUAAUUACUGAUAUAAAGGCUGACUAUAUUAAUCUUGAACUGUACCUGGUGUCCACUGCAGGGAUUUUAUUCUACUAGAUGAUCAAUGCAUGAGAUAUGUUGUUGUUUGCUCUAUUGAUUUGCAGUUAUUAGAGUUCUGGAUUGUAAUCGAUCGGAUGACAUGAAUAGAUUCUUAAAUGAUUGCAUGUAUUGGUUGAUACAGAGACCAGGUUGAUCCUCGUUUAAAAAGGAAGGAAAAUGUUUAGAUUCCACCACUUGAUUUUCUCGCACCGUAAGUCUCCUUUGUUGUGUGACACGUGUCCCCAUGGGGCCAUCCCAGCGCUCUUUCUUCAACCUUAGGCUAGCCAUAGUGGGAGUAACUUAGGUAGUAACUUAACACACCCCAAGACAAUUUUGCUUAUGUGGCAUGUGUUUAAUGAGAAAAGAGAUGCUUGUGGUAACAUAAUAUGUUACUGUAACAUAGCGCUUCCCGAGGCAUAAUGAGUCUAUGAGCUAAUAAAUGAAACCAUCUAUGACACUAGUACUAUGUUACUUUGCACUAUGAAGGUAGUAACUUAGACUAGUGUCAUAUGCAUGACACUAGUAUAAGUUACUCCCCACUAUGACCAGCCUUAACUCCCCCUUCUCGCUAACUCCACUCGCUGCCGUCCUCUCCUCUCCAAUGUCAAAUCUAGCGGCUACAGCCUGCACACCAGAUUUCGCGAGCACCCCACUCCCUGCUGCUCUGCUUCACUGCGGCCCGCCGUCGGAGCACCGAUGAAUCCUUGCAGUAGCCUCGCAACAUGACGGCGCCUCUCGCAGGCUGCAGCACCGAUUUGCAGCGAGGACGAUGCCUUGUAGCGCAGCGGCGGCACUUGUAGCACCACCACAACAUCUUGCAAGUUAGAGCCCCGGUGACCCUGGUGCCCGUGUUUCCAACACACACAUGGCGAGCGAUGGACUUGAAACACCUUCCGGUGUUCGCAGCACCACGGCGUGUUGCGUCGCUGGUGGUCGUGGGAUUGGAUCCACCAAGCAACGGGAAAUUUGGAACUCGCAAUGCCUUGCAACGCGUCCUGGCGUUCAAAUAGCGAGUCAUCCUUGUCUGGUUCUAUUGGGGCAGCGGUGUAGUUACGAGAGGAGCAUAACUGCAUAAGCGUCACACGGGUGAGAGAGGCCGGCUAGACCUGUAAGUCGGCGAUGACUCCUUCCCACAAACUCGUACCCUUCGCUUAUGGCAUCGGCGGUGCCUUGGUGACAGCGUCGGUGACCACCGGUUGCAGCACCCGCGAUGGCGCUACAAUGGAGUGGCUGCUGCUGUCGCUGGCUCUGCACACAAGGAUGGCGACGCUGCAAUGGAGCGGCUGCUGCUGCCGUCGAGCACUGCAUACGAGGACGGUGGCGCUGUAAUGGAGCGGGGCUGCUGCCGACGAUGCGGCAAGUCGAGGACAGCAGUGCCGCAAUGGAGCGGGUGAUGCUGCCGCCGGUGUUGCAUAUGAGGAUGGUGGCGCGGCAAUGGAGUGGGCGGCAACGGCAGUUGUGCUGCGAGGAGGGUCACCCCUGUUGGCGCCCCUGGCAACGGGACCCCUCCUGUCAGCAACGGGCCUAGCUCGCCCGUGCCUCCAAGACUGACGUGUCCUCGCAUGCCCAACCCAAGAGUCAUUGGGCCCGAGUGGGUGUAGCCAGGCCCAGCCCUACAGGGCCCCUACUUAUACCGAAGAGACUGAAGAGAAGGGCAUCUAGUGGAUCACGGAACCGGCGGCGGCACGAACCCUAGUUCUUCCUGUUCGAUCCAUUCUUGUACUCGAUAUUGUAUCCCGACUAUAUUUCCACCGAUAGAAAUACUAGAUCGAUCCCUUCCCUUGUUCAUCCCUAACAUCUGGUAUCAGAGACCACCACCACCCCCUUCCCUCGCGCGAUCUGGUGCAAUUCAUCGAGACUCGCCGUCUUCACCAAGCUCGUGUUCAAAUUGAAGCCAUGGACCCGACCAUGAAAGAGUACAUGGAGAAGAUCACGACCUCCAUGGACGAGUUUCGUCUCGAACUGCGCAACAACACGGCGGCGGUGCACACGCACACCACCAAACUGGACGAUCUGGCCUCCUGGCGGCCGGAUCUGGAGCGACGCAUCAACCAACUCUCUGACGCGGUCGCUGAACUGCAGAGAGGGCGUCUGCCUGCGGCGGCGGCGGCUGGUGUGGCGGCCACAGAGACUUCUGCGCCCUUCUCCAACCUGGGAGUGCCCGACGCCCUUCCUGGCGCGGGAACCUCGGCCAGUCAACAGCCACACCGGUCAAGUGACCACGGUCGACGCAUUCCUACACCCGGAGAAGAAGCUGGCGAUGCCGCCGGCGCCGCUCCCGGGCACUGGUCAGUACAAUCCCCAGUCGCCCACCCCACCUCUUUCCCCUUUUUCUCAUGCAAGUCAAUUGCUCGUUGGGUUGGGUCAAGCCCACCCCUCAGUCACUUUCCCUCAAUUUGCCGGGGAGAACCCAAAAUUAUGGAAAACACUUUGCGAGCAAUAUUUUUCUAUGUUUGGGAUUCACACCUCAUUCUGGGUACCUAUGGCCGCACUCAAUUUUUUCGGAGUGGCCUCUGUUUGGUUACAGUCCAUCAGAAUCGCCUCUCUGAAUUUGAUUGGGAAGCAUUUGCAGUUCUUCUCUGCACUCGCUUUGGUCGUGAUAAACACCAACUCCUAAUCAGUCAGUUUUACACUGUUCGUCAAACGUCUACUGUUGUUGAGUGCAUUGAGCGAUUUGAAUAAUUGUUAAUCAUUUAGCUUCAUAUUCGGAGACUAUUCAUCCUUACUUUUACCUGACUCAUUUUGUCGAGGGCUUGAGGGCGGACAUCAGAGCAGUGGUGCUGAUCCAGUGGCCACCUGACUUGGAUACAGCCUGCUCACUGGCUCUGCUGCAAGAAGUCGUUGACUCGACGCAUCAAGCACACCCACCGCGGGCCACAUCGCGCAGUGCUGAUGUUCCUCCAUGACCCAGCUCGCCGCUACCAUUACCUCUUCCACCACGCCCGCCACGUGCACCGACCUCGACGCCUGCAACGAAUCGCAGAGGGAUGGAAGGCGCACGUGCUGACAAUUCCAAGGUCAAGGCGCUACGCGAAUAUCGCCGUGCUCGCGGGCUUUGCUUCAAGUGCGGAGAGCGGUGGGGGCACGACCACACGUGCCCCACCACGGUGCAACUCCACGUGGUGGAGGAACUCUUGGAGCUCUUCGGCAUCGACGUUGUCCUAGAUGAUGGGCAGCCGGAGGUCGCAAUGGCUAUUUCCAAGCAUGCUGUCACUGGAGACAAGUCACCCAAGGCGUUUUAACUUCACGCGUGGGUCCAAGGCCAUGAGAUUCUCAUCCUGGUGGACUCGGGCAGCUCUACCUCGUUUGUGGAUGCCGCUCUAGCCACCCAGUUGUCAGGCGUUACUCCUUUAGCUCAUGUUGGGCGUGUCAAGGUUGCCGGCGGGGGUGAAUUACAGUGUCAGACGGCCAUUCCUAAAUGCAGAUGGUCGUUUCAAGGCCAUGAGUUCACCAUAGACUUCAAGGUAUUAUCUCUGGGCAUGUACGAUGCAAGUCUGGGAAUGGAUUGGCUCGAAGAGCAUAGUCCAAUGACAGUGGAUUGGAAAGGGAAACACAUUGCUAUUCCUGAUGCAACUGGGACAGUUCACCUUCAUGGACACCCAUCAACUGCUUCAUGUGAGGUGAUCAACAGCAUGCAGCUCAACAGCUUGUGUCGCGAGGGCGUUGUCUCACAUAUGGUGCAGCUGUAUCAUGUCACUCUGGGCUCUGGCGAGAAACAAGAAGCCACACCUGAAUGUGUCCAAGCUGUCCUGAACCAGUACCCUGAAGUUUUUGAAGAACCCACUGGUCUGCCACCCAAACGCAGCUGUGAUCACCGCAUACCUCUGAUUCCAGGAGCACAGCCGGUCAAUAUUCGACCAUACCGUCACAAACCAGAGCACAAGACUGAAAUUAAAGAACAGGUGGCUGAGCUGCUCAAACAAGGUGUUAUCAGGUAGAGCACAAGCCCUUUUGCAUCUCCAGUGAUACUAGUAAAGAAGAAAGAUGGUACUUGGUGUUUGUGCAUCGAUUACCGCCAUCUGAAUUCCAUGACUUCCAUUGCCAAAUUCCCAAUUCUAGUGAUUGAAGAACUACUCGAUGAACUCCACGGAGCUGUCUGGUUUUCCAAGCUCGAUCUCCGAGCCGGAUACCACCAAAUUCGCAUUGCAGAAGGAGAUGAAUUUAAGACAGCAUUUCAAACACAUUCUGGGCAUUCUGAAUUUUUGGUGCUCUCUUACGGCCUAGCCGGUGGUCCAGCCACGUUCAAUGGUGUAGUGAUGGGCACACUCCACCCCCUCCUGCGCAAGUGUGUUCUGCUGUUCUUCGAUGAUAUUCUCGUCUUCAGCCGCACGCUCGAAGACCACACAACACACCUCACGUAAGUUCUUCAGCUGCUAAAAAGGGAUCAAUGGAGGGUCAAGGCAUCGAAAUGUUGUUUUGGUCAGAAGAAAUUGUCAUACUUGGGACAUGUUAUUAGUGCUGACGGAGUAGCGACAGAACCCAGCAAGAUUCAGAUCGUCUCUGACUGGCCUACACCAACAGACACUAAAGAGGUGCGUUGUUUCCUCGGGCUCGCGGGCUACUACCGUCGGUUCAUGCGUCACUUUGGAAUCAUGGCUCGGCCUCUUUUCAACUUGCUGAAAAAGGGGACCCCAUUUGUGUGGACACAAACGACCGAAGAAUCAUUCCAGCUGCUCAAACAAGGACUCAUCACAGCUCCUGUGCUCGCCCUUCCGGAUUUCUCGAAGCCAUUCAUGGUUGAGACUGAUGCGUGUGAUGCGGGUGUGGGAGCAAUUCUCCAACAUCAAGGACACCCCAUUGCGUACAUGAGCAAGGCGCUCUGCCCUCAGUUCAGAGGAUUGUCAACCUAUGAGAAGGAGUAUCUCGCUAUGGUGGUAGCUGUUGAUCAAUGGCGUCCCUAUCUCCAACACUGUGAAUUUGUGAUCCAAACAGACCAGAAAAGCCUGGUGCACCUUGAAGAACAACGGCUCACGGCCCCGUGGCAGCAGAAGGCGUUCACUAAGCUGUUGGGGCUUCGCUAUACAAUCAGGUAAAAAAGGGACACAGACAAUGGAGCAGCAGGUGCCCUCUCUCGAGCCACUCACUCUGAGCAGCUACAGACACUCUCGACAUGCCAACCAAGUUGGAUGGAAGAUGUGAUUAACAGUUACAAUGCUAAUCCCCAAGCACAAAAAGUGCUAGAACAGUUGGCCAUCCGAGCUGACCCCAAAGGCCGUUUCACCUUGGAGCAAGGCAUUCUGUGAUUCAGAGGAAGGAUUUGGCUUGGGGGUUCUACGUCGAUACAACAACAAGUGAUUGAUGCCUUCCAUGACACGCCUAUCGGUGGUCACUCCGGAUUUCCGGGCACUUGGCGACGUGUGCACCGGCUGUUUGCGUGGCCUAAAAUGAAGACACAUAUUCAGCAUUAUGUGAGGUGCUGCCCCACCUAUCAGCAAGCUAAACCUGAUCGAGCAGCUUACCCAGGAUUGCUAGAACCUCUUCCAAUUCCAAAAGAAUCAUGGGAAAUGAUCAGUAUGGACUUCAUCGACGGGCUGCCUCAAUCAGGAAGUGUCAACUGCAUUUUGGUCAUCGUGGAUAAGCUGACAAAAUUUGCUCAUUUCCUGCCUCUGGCACAUCCCUACACAGCUUCAAAAGUGGCUCUGCUGUAUAUGAACCAGGUCUACCGACUCCAUGGAUUUCCCGGUUCAAUCAUCUCUGAUCGCGACCCAGUUUUUACUAGCCACUUCUGGCAGGAACUAUUCAAGUAUGCAGGCACAGGGCUUCGCAUGAGCUCAGCCAACCACCCGCAGACGGACGGCCAAACCGAACGCGUCAACCAGUGUUUGGAAACCUUUCUCCGCUACUUCACACACGCCUGUCCUCGACGCUGGAGCUUUUGGAUCCCGCUAGCUCAAUUUUGGUACAAUUCAUCAUAUCAUUCAGCUAUUGGUAUGUCACCCUUCAGAGCUAUGUAUGGGCAUGAGCCACGUCAAUGGGGCAUUACUGCAACCAAUGCCUACUCAGUUCCAGCUUUGCGCUCGUGGCUCGAUGAACAUGCAGUGGUUCAGGAGUUACUGCAACAGCAUCUCCACCGUGCUCGGCAAUGCAUGAAACAGCAAGCAGAUAAGAAGAGGUCAGUCCGAACCUUCUCAGUGGGUGAUCAUGUAUACUUGAAGCUGUAGCCUUAUGUGCAAACAUCAGUGGCUGCACGCACCUAUCACAAACUAGCUUUGAGAUUCUUCGGACCCUACAAAAUCAUCAGUUGCAUCAACCCUGUGGCAUAUAAGCUUCAGUUGCCGGAGCACUCACAAGUGCACCCUGUUUUCCACGUCUCCCAAUUGCGCAAGGCUCUCCUCCCAGGUACAUCAGCAUCACCGGAUCUUCCCGCUCACUCUGACAUUCCUGCCGUGCCUGCAGCGGUUAUCGAUCAAUGUUGGCGCAAGCGUCGUGGCACCAUGGUGGAGCAGGUCCUCAUACGCUGUUCCAACCCAGCGGCCGUUGCUGACUCAUGGGAGGAUCGUGUGGGGCUCCAAGCUCGCUUCCCAUCUGCAGAGGCUUGGGGUCAAGCCUCGGCUCAUGAAAGGGGGGAUGUCAGCGCCCCUGGCAACGGGACCCCUCCUGUCAGCAACGGGCCUAGCUCGCCCGCGCCUCCAAGACUAACGCGUCCUCGCAGGCCCAACCCAAGAGUCACUGGACUCAAGUGGGUGUAGCCAGGCCCAGCCCUGCAGCGCCCCUACUUAUACCGAAGAGACUGAAGAGAAGCGCAUCCAGUGGAUCACGGAACCGGCGGCGGCACGAACCCUAGUUCUUCCUGUUCGAUCCAUUCUUGUACUCGAUAUUGUAUCCCGACUAUAUUGCCACCGAGAGAAAUACUAGAUUGAUCCCUUUCCUUGUUCAUCCCUAACAACCCCGCGCUUACGCAUCCGAGCGUUGCGGCGACAAUGGGUACGAACCAGAAGUGGCAUUCAGCGAGCUCCACGUUGACUAAAUCUGACGGCCAGGUUGCGUCGAGAUCACAAUGAUUGGAGGGCACACGACACGGCGUAAGUUUCAAACUUAGGGUCUCUUUGAUUCAAAGGAUUUUCAUAGGAUCUUUGAAGGAUUAGAAUCCUCAGGAAUUUUUCCUACGUUGAUCGUUUGAUUCAUAGGAUUGAAUCCUGUAGGAUUUUUUUCUAAGGAUUCAUUUGUACUACAUUUCAUAGGAAUUCUAACAUCCACUCCAACCUCUUGGAAGAAUUCCUUUAUUUUUUCCGUGACACAAUCAAACAAACUCAAAUCCUAUAAGGAUCCAAUGAACAUGCCAUUCCAAUCCUAUGUUUUUCUUAUUCCUAUGUUUUUGCAAUCCUAUUAAUCAAAGAGGCCCUUAUCGGCCGGCUAAUCGGUAGCAGUCGCCCAAUAAGCCUUUAUUCUGAAGAGAUAAAAGAUCCAGUGAGAUGUCAUUAUGCAUCAAUUAAAACUGAUGAAUGUGAAUAGCAAAAAUUGUACUACUUGGGGUCUUGAAGUCUACUUGUGAAGUUGUCAUCUGGUUGGUGAAGUCAUACUUUACUUCAAUUGCAGACGAUUUUACCAUUAGAGAUAACCAUAGACAUUUCGAGGAUGGUGACGCUUAUAUAUACAUGCAGUUUUAGGGGCUGAAGAGAAGCAUAUGCUAGACAAUGAUUGGAUUCCAAGAGUUCACGCCCCCUUUCGCUGUUGAACGUGGAAAUAGUCGGCGCAAACAACAUAUUCCACAUACAGUCAUAUUUGUACAGUACUAGUUGAUUCACUCAUUCACCCGGCAGCUCCUCCAAGCUAGUUUGCAUGUGACAAAUAACAAACAAAACAUAAUAAUGCGUUGCAGAUCUGUUACACGUUGGGUUAUGAUUCCUGAGCGUAGGAGUGCAAAUAUUCUGGUGGAUUGCUCGAUCACAUGUUGGCGCCACCCUUGCAUUUUUCUCCCCUCGCUUUUCGCUGUUCCACGACUCGUGUCACUAGCCAGCUUGAUGGUGUGAGAUUCUUGCGGACACAAACAAAUACUAAUAGAUAGAUAUUGAAUGCUCCGAUCCAGUGCCGAAUGUAUAGACACCAUGCCUCGCCUUCAUUAGGAAGGAUGGUUUUAGUCGCACAUGUCUUUUCCACGUAGGAAGGAUGCCCGUGCGAUCAUUACAUGCCAUGUCUUCGCCCGACCAGUCCCCAGGGAAGGAAUCCAAUAAUGGGAGUGUCAAUGCAGAACUUCAUUAAUGAAUGGAUUUACACCGUCCCACCAUGCAGCAGGGACUAACUUCAAUAGCCCAUCAUAGCACUCUCAGUCAGUGGGUUAGGGAACUCUUGGUAUUGAUAGAAUAACAUUUCAUUUUCAUAAGUUUUAGUGGAUGCAGAGUCAAUAAAUACUAUUUUUUUAGCAUAAGGUCAGGUUACAGAAAGACCUAUUGCGUGGAAUCACUUGAGUGCAGAAAAUGGACAAGGGAGGCACUUUGAGCUCCACAAUAGGCGGGGUGAGUGCAGUUGGGGCUCAUCGGGGACCGCACCAUCCAAAGCGGCCCAGAGAGGCUCUUGCACCUUUGGGCCGUCACCGCCGAACCGCAUGCCCGAGAGACACUUCGAGCUCAUGUUGCGUCCUCCGAGCAUGCGGAGGCCCCUUAGUCUGAAGCCCAAACAGCUUACUGUGCCAGGCAAGCGACCCGGCCCGUUGCCGGAUCCAGCUGCUCCACUUCGAUCUUCUCCGUGUCUUGGAAGAACGAGGAGGAUCGGGCUAGUCCGCUACGUCCUAUGCUGGUCCUUGACCACCGCCGAGACCAACACCCGCCUCCGUCGCCACAAGAAUGCCAAGAUGUUGCGCCGGGGUGUCAAGGCAUCAAAGCGGCUCACAGUCGAGCAAGCCGCAUCAUCACCAUAGCACGCCGCCUCGUCGUGCUCCCCUCGUCCUCCCGACUCUGACGGUCCCCUGGACUAUGACCCAUAUGCCCUCUUUGCGGUGUACUAUUGACGUCGUAGUUUUGACAAGGGCAAGGGCAAGGAGAACCGGUGGACAUCUUUCAUCCUAAUUUUAUCCAAGAACAAAGUGCUAUAUACAGUCUGUGCAUAUGAAUUUUCUGUCCGCGUAUGUCAUAUCCUAGUCCCAUGUGUAUGAACUUGCUACCUAUCUUUGAUGUGUUUUUUCGGUUGUCUACAUGUGUUGAUCAAAGUCGCAUGAGUUGUGUGGGGUUAAAUGUGUGUGUGUGAUUUUGUGGGCGUCCAUGAACAUAUACGGGGCAAAUAGGCAAAUCCGGUUGAGAGGCUCUGACAAUCUGUGAGUAACUUGGCAGUGAAUGAUGAUGCAUGUCCACAUUUUUUUAGCAGAGAUAGGUCUAGAAAGCUUCAUUUACUAUCAUGGAAUUAUGUGUUAUUUUCUAUGUAUUUGAGUCAACCAAAUUAAUCCACUAAAGGAAUAUGACACGCACAGUCCAAAUUAUAUAUGUACCUAAGUACUUUAUCUCCAGUACCUGUAUUAUCUUAACAUGCACACAUGCCACCUCAUUAAAGGCUUGCCACAACAUGCAUGGAAAAAAAUAUUAGUUGAUCCUAUGCACACAUCUCACAUCACCACACAUGCCACUUCAUGAAAGAUUCACUCAAGAUGCAUAGGAAAAAGUUUCCCAUUAUUACUAUGUCACUUAUAUUCAAAAUAUUUUCUGACUACACACUUUUUUUCGAAAAGGGGGGACUCCCCGGACUCUGCAUCGGAGCGAUGCAUACGGCCAACUUAUUAAAUGGAUAAGAAUGUUCAACAAGGUCUUAAAGUCACAAAAACACUGACUACACACUAAUCAAAUACAAUGUACCAUAUUUAUUUUUAGUUUUAGUUCAUGUACUAUUAACUCAACUAUGCAUGUCUUAUACAAUCAAAUCACGAAAUAUAUUGCAAUCGAUUCCCGCAGUAACACAUGGGGUAUUCUACAGUUUUAGUAAUAUGUAGGUCCUCAUGCAAAGAUCGAUCAAAGAAUGUACUAACAUGUUCCAGGUUUGUUACACGUUGCGUCAUUCUGUAAGCUGGUAGGUGGGAGGGACCUUCAGUACUGCUCUGGACUGUUGACGAACCAAUUUUAGUCUACUUUAGAUGGUUGGUACCACCCUCCCUUGAUAUGCGCCUUGGCGUGCCACUGUCCAGUUAGUUUAAUCUUGUAAGAUUCUUGCAGCAAUAGACUAGUUCCUACAUGCAUCUUUCAAGGUCCUAUCACUGAACAUGCCCGCAAAGUAAAACCAAAACAUGACUAACAACUAACACUCGUAUUCGGAAACUGAUAGAACAAAAUGUUCAGUUGGAGCUGAAAGUUGAGUUCCUAAGGCCGCCCAUGCCCAAUGUACUUUAUAUGUGUGCCCGGUUGAUGACCGCCCGGAAUAUGCUAAGGCGGUAUAUGUCAAUAGCUCAAGGAACCAAGCAAAGCAGGAUUGCAUGAAUGGUGUGACUUGUGAGUGCGUGUAUAUACACAUCCUUUUACCAGGCAUAAAUCGACUGUGGUAUCAUUUUAUUAAUUAAUGAUAUAAAUGUUGAAUAUAUUAAUCAUGGUACUCAUAUGAACUAUACAUGGUGCCCACUGCGUAUAUUUUACAUUACUGGAUAACCAAUGCAUGGGAUAUGUUGUUUGCUCUGUUGCUUUGUACUUCUUCUAAGUUGUAAUUGGAUGAUAUGAGUAUAAGUUCAUAAAUGAUUGUGCGGAUUGGUUGAUAUAGAGUUCGGAGUUGAUCCUUCUUUAAAACAACAUACUAAAAUAAGCCUUUGUUGCCAAGAGAAAAAUAUUUGAUGUUGUCCCAUCAUGCAUCAAUUAAAUCCGAUGAAUGCCACAAAAGUUGAACUUGAAGUCCAAAUAGUGAAGUCUACUUAUGCCGUUCUAAUGAAUUUCAUGAGUAGUACUUUUGUUGUUGUACGGUGAGGUUUGUGGUUGGUGAAAUCUUACUUCACAAUCAAUUGCAGACAAUUUUAUCGCCGGAGACAACCAUAGACACUUUCAUCACCUUGAAACAUCCCACACCAGCAGCAGCCUGAGCGGCCUGACGAAGAGGCUGGCGAUGCCGCACGGUGGUCUGAAUCUAUACAUGGAGUUAUAAGAGUGGAAGAGUGUAGGUUCACUUAUUUUGGUUCGUAUUAGUCCAUAUUGAAAUCUUUAAAAAUAUUUAUAUUUAGAAAUGAAGAGAGUAACAGAUAGAUUACGAAAUGCUCCAACACGGUGCCACCACGACGUCCUGAUUUCCUUCCUUUCCAGCCUUUUCUUGGUGUAAAAAGAAACGUACUGAGUACGGAGCAUGCAUGAUUGAAUCUCCGGCCGUCUCGAUCGGCGUGUCUCGUGAUUCAAUCAUUCCACACUGAUACAAUUACGUCGAUCGUCAGCGUUAGUAGGAGAGGCCGAACGCCGACGCGUGGCCCUGGAUGGACGGCGCCGGGCGCUUCCAUGAAGCUUCUGGAGACGAGCCAACAAAUUAGUGAAUCACGCAUCGCAUGGUGCUAGUCACCAUGCCUUAUAUAUAUGCCUGCCUACCUUCGCUAUGUUCUGUAUCUUUGCAGCUUUUGUGAUGCUGCGUGCAGAUGAGCUAGCCGGUGGCACGUCAGCCCGUUUUGACGGACGCAUGUGCGGUGCCUAGCACCGGCAAAAUGCUACUCCUGUAUAUGCAUAGUCACAUCGUACUCGAAUUAGGUCAAGGUGAUGGAAGGGCUUUCAUAUAAUAACAUAGAGCUUACCAUGAGAAAAGUAUACUUUUCGUCCCUCAAUUCUUUGCAGAGUCUAGAUUUGGUCCUUCAACUUCAAAACCGGACAAUUUGCAUCCUUAACUUAUGAAACCGGACAAGAUUCAUCCCUGGUCACGGUUUUGACCGGUUUUGGUCCUGUCCCACGCCGGUUUUGACCGUUCCGGCUCAAAUUUGCCUACCUUUCCUAGGUCCACGUAAUGUUUUCAAAUUCGGUUACUUUUUCCAAAUACAUGAACCUUUUUAAAAUUUGUGUACUUUUUUUAAAUCUGUGUACUUUUCCCAAGUUCAUGUACUUUUUCAAAUAUGCGUAUUUUUUAAAAGUUCAUUUGGUUUUUUGAAGUUCAUUUAAUUUUUAAAAAUUUAUGUACCUUUUCAUAUUAGAAUACAUUUUUUGAAAGAGUUCAUGAAUUUUGAAAAUUUUAUGCGAACUUGAAAAAAGUACGUGGAUAUGGACUUCUUUUACACAAAAAUAUGUGGAUUUCAAAAAUUAUUUCAACUUGAAACAAGUACGUGAAUUUCAAACAAAGUUCAUGGAUUAUAAAAGAAACAUGGAUUUGAAAAAAUGUGGACUUCGAAAAGCAUGUGGAUUUGAAAUAAGUAUGCGAAUUUCAAAAACAGUUCAUGGCUUUGAAAAAUACUUGGAUUUGAUAAAAUUACGCAAAAUUGGGAGAAAUACGGGGUUUUGGAAAAAGUACGUACAUGUUAACAAAUCAAGGAUUUGAAAAAAGUACACGAAUUUUAGAAUAGUUCGCUGAUUUGAAAAAAAGUAUGUUUAUUUUUGAGGAAGUUCACUGAUAUAAAAAAAUUACAGGAAUAUGAGUGAGCACCGGUCAAAACCGGGGUGAGUCAACACCAAAACCGGUCAAAACUGAGUCCAGAGACGAACCUUGUCCGGUUUCUGUAGUUAGGGGUGCAAGUUGUCCGGUUUUUAAGUUAAGAGACCAAAUCUAGACUUCACCAAAAAUUAAGGGACGAAAAGUAUACUUUUCUCGCCUACCUUCGCGCUUGUCAGCCACUCAAUUAGAUUGCUGAAAAGAGAAGGCAAAAUUCGAUUUCCAAGUUGCCACGGAUCCAUCCAUGAUGCAUCUCAGGUGUAGGGCGUGUAGAGCUUGUUUUCACGUCGUUUGCUUCAAUCGCUUUGCGUCGUGCACGGCCGCAUGUACGCGUCCGCCAUAUCGAUGGCCUUACAUGCUGUUAUGCAUUGCAUUCUGAUGCGCUGCGCGGUUGCUCAUGUAGAAAGUAGUACAUCAAGCUAAAUGAAGAAAAAAAAUCUGCCUUUUGCUGGUUAUAAUAUACUCCCUCCGUUCUUAAAUAUAAGCCUUUUUAGACAUUUCAAAUGGAUUACAAGAUACGAAUGUAUAUAGACAUAUUUUAAAGUGUGAAUUCAUUCAUUUUGCUUCGUAUGUAGUUAUUUGUUGGAAUGUCUAAAAAAACUUAUAUUUAAAAACAGAGAGAGUGGUUGGUUGCGCGAAUUAGCUUCUUACGUGGUUUAUACCAUACCGAAUGAAGUAUCAAUUAUUGUUGAAGGCAAUGUGUACAUGGUUGCAGCAGGUGUUUAGAUAGGUUUUUAUCCAACAUGGUCUCACAAACGCAUACUGUACUCAUGUCCUUGAGAUGUCAACUUAAUGUAUAUGCGUGCCUUAAUUAGUACUGCAUAGGUAAAUAAGAACAUAUCACUGGAUCAACAUGUUUUGUUUCACAUGCUAGUUGUGUGUUUCGAUUAUCACAACUACUAACGAUGUACGUCGAGAAAAAGAAUCCAAGUUAGGUUGGAUCGAAUCCUUUGCUUUAGUUGCCUAUAAUUAUUGUCUUCUUUCCUGGCCUAACACCACAAAACAUCAUGCUAAUAAGUAACGAUAUUAAGUGAGCCAUUCAAGACGAGGAUCACCUUAUCUCUCAUCGACCACUUCGUAUGUUGCCGUGCAUAUCGAUCUCCAUGCAUGAUAUAUAGCCUCUUGUUGUCUCCAUGGUCGAUCGGCAAAUUAGGUAGAAUUCCAGAAGAGCAUUCAACACACUAGCUUGCCUUCCCUUUGUUCUUCUACGUACGGAUCACUCUUAGGGAAAAGAAAUAUUUACUCCUUCCGGCGUUUCUGAAAAACUCUCUCCGUUCAUAAAUAUAAGAUGUUUUGGAUAUUUCACUAUGGACUACAUACGAUUGAAAUGAAUGAACAAACAUGCAACAAUGUAUGGUUAAUGUCAUAUUUGAAUGUAAUUUUCAGUGAUACUAUUUUUGCUAUAUUAUAUUUUAUUAGUUAAUGUCAUGAUCAAAAUGAUUCAAAAAUACCAGAGGGACUAGUAAACGAGUACAUAUAUAGUAAGAUACAAAGCAUUCUAAAAUUAGAGCCUCGUCAGUGGCCCUGGAUCGCUAUGCGCCCCACCGGUAGAGCUUUGUGUUGCUGGUUGAAAGUAACACACAGCUAUACCUUUACGGGCCGAGCAUUUUUUCUGGUUUUGAAAAGGUUGCAGAACAUUUUGCUUGGUCUAUUUUUCCUUUUUGUGGUUUCUUUAUCGGUUUUAAUAGUUUAUUUUUUUUCCUUUCAUUAUAUUUCCCCAUUUCUUCUCAUUUUUCUUUUUCCACAUUUAUUUCAUCACCAUUCUUAGAAAAUUCAUGUACAUUUUCUAUAAUUCACUACCUUCUUUUAAAAUGCGUAAAUAUUUUUAAAUUCAUGAAUAUUUAAAGCUCAUGAAUAUUUUUAAACCAUGUGAAUUUACAAUUCGCAAAGCUUUUCUCAAAUUCACGAACAUAGUCUGAAAUCCACACAAAUAUAAUUCAUGAACAUUUUAAAAAACCGUAAUUUUUUUAUAUUUACAACAUUUUUUUAAUCCAAUAUGUCUUAAAACAUCCAUGAACAACUUUUGAUUUGACUGACUUUUCAAAUAAAAAACUAUCAAAGCUUUUUAGCUAGCACUCGAGCGAACAAAGAAAAGCAAAAUGAGCAAGCUGGAAGGGAGGCGAGUUGAGCGAGCGAGAGCUUCAUCGGUCCGCCCAUAUGAGCGUUAUAGCAACAAUUCCAUGUUUUCAACAUGAAAAUAGGAGCUCCAAGGAGCUCACACAACCACCAUCGGUUGACACCAAGGCCAAAACAUGUAAGAACAUCACAACCACACGCCGAACAACUCCACUCACGUCUUAGAUAGAAUACCAAUUCCAAAAGUAGUCCUACACGAUAUACAAAUUUAAAAAGGCACCACCUCAACACAAUUGAAACCCAAGCCAACACAGGUAAACUAAAUCAAAACAAACGGCCGCAAUAACCUGCUAGAGAAAAAAAGUUAAUCCCACGAGUGAAGUACAGUGGGGCCAAUCACACAUUAGCCUCUAGUAUCAUGCAUACGCAGUCGAUGUUGUAUAACUUUGACGAGCAGUUUUAACAUGGUCCUUUGUGGCAUAAGGGUAACUCCAACGCGGAUUGCUACCUCUUGAGCACUGCGUUGAUUUUCCCUUAAAGAGGAAAUGAUGAUGCAGCAAAGUAGCGUAAGUAUUUCCCUUAGUUUUUGAAAACCAAGGUAUCAAUCCAGUAGGAGGCCACACGCAAGUCCCUCGUACCUACACAAAUAAAUAAGAACCUCGCAACCAAUGCGAUAAAGGGGCUGUCAAUCCCUUCAUGGUCACUUACGAGAGUGAGAUCUGAUAGAGAUGAUAAGAUAAUAUUUUUGGUAUUUUUAUGAUAAAGAGUAAAAGUAAAGAUUGCAAAAUAAAAGGUAAUAGAAAUAGCUUGUUGACGGAAGAUUAAUAUAAUGGAGAAUAGACCCAGGGGCCAUAGGUUUCACUAGUGGCUUCUCUCAAGAUAGCAUAAGUAUUACGGUAGGUGAACAAAUUACUGUCGAGCAAUUGAUAAAAAACGAAUAAUUAUAAGAAUAUAUAGGCAUGAUUAUGCAUAUAGGCAUCACGUCUGUGACAAGUAGAUCGACUUCUGCCUGCAUCUACUACUAUUACUCCACACAUCGACCGCUAUCCAGCAUGUAUCUAGAGUAUUAAGUUCAUAAGAACAAAGUAACGCAUUAGGUAAAAUGACAUGAUGUAGAGGGAUAAACUCAAGCAAUAUGAUAUAAACCUCAUCUUUUUAUCCUCAAUGGCAAUAAUACAAUACGUGUCGUUUCCCUUUCUGUCACUGGGAUCGAGCACCACAAGAUUGAACCCAAAGCUAAGCACUUCUCCCAUUGCAAGAAAGAUCAAUCUAGUAGGCCAAACCAAACUGAUAAUUCGAAGAGACUUGCAAAGAUAACCAAUCAUACAUAAAAAAUUUCAGAGAAGAAUCAAAUAUCGUUCAUAGAUAGACUUGAUCAUAAACCCACAAUUCAUCGGAUCUCGACAAACACACCGCAAAAAGAGUUACAUCGAAUAGAUCUCCAAGAAGAUCGAGGAGAACUUUGUAUUGAGAUCCAAAGAGAGAGAAGAAGUCAUCUAGCUAAUAACUAUGGACCUGAAGGUUUGAAGUAAACUACUCACACAUCAUCGGAGAGGCCAUGGAGUUGAUGUAGAGGCCCUCCGUGAUCGAUGCCCCCUCCGGCGGAGCUCCGGAAAAGGCCCCAAGAUAGGAUCUCUUGGGUACAAAAGGUUGCGGCGGUGAAAUAGGGUUUCAUGGUGCUCCUGGUUGUUUUCAGGGUAUAUGAGUAUAUAUAGGAGGAAGAAGUGGGUUGGUUGAGCCAUGAGGGGCCCAUGAGGGGGGAGAGCGCGCCCAGGGGGUAGGCGCGCCCCCUUCCUCGUAGACUCCUCGUUGAUUUCUUGACGUCCACUCCAAGUCCUCUGGAUCACGUUUGUUACAAAAAUAACUCUCCCAAAGGUUUUAUUCCGUUUGGAUUCCGUUUGAUAUUCCUUUUCUACGAAACACUGAAAUAGGCAAAAAAAACAACAAUUUGCACUGGGCCUUGGGUUUGUAGGUUAGUCUGAAAAAUAAUAUAAAAGUGUAAAAUAAAGCCCAUUAACAUCCAAAACAGAUAAUAUAAUAGCAUGGAAUAAUCAAAAAUUAUAAAUACAUUGGAGACGUAUCAAGCAUCCCUAAACUUAAUUCCUGCUCGUCGUCGAGGAUAUAAACGAUAAAAACAGAAUUUUUGAUGUGGAAUGCUACCUAACAUAAUUCUCAAUAUAAUUCUCUUUAUUGUGGCAUGAAUAUUCAGAUCCGAAAGAUUCAAGAUAAAAGUUUAAUAUUGACAUGAAAAUAAUAAUACUUCAAGCAUACUAACUAAGCAAUUAUGUCUUCUCAAAAUAACAUGGCCAAAGAAAGUUAUCCCUAUAAAAUCAUAUAGUCUGGCUAUGCUCUAUCUUCACCACACAAAGUAUCUAAAUCAUGCACAACCCCGAUGACAAGCCAAGCAAUUGUUUCAUACUUUUGAUGUUCUCAAACUUUUUCAAUCUUCACGCAAUACAUGAGCGUGAGCCAUGGACAUAGUACUAUAUGUGGAAUAGAAUGGUGGUUGUGGAGAAGACAAAAAGGAGAAGAUAGUCUCACAUCAACUAGGCGUAUCAAUGGGCUAUGAAGAUGCCCAUCAAUAGAUAUCAAUGUGAGUGAGUAAGGAUUGCCGCAUGAAGCAGGAAUCGCUAGUAAUCGUCGGUCAGCCAUACGGCGGUGAAUCCGUUCCCGGGCCUUGUACACAUUGCCCGUCACACUAUAGAAGUUGGCCAUGUUUGAAGUCAUUACCCUUAACCAUAAGGAGGGGGAUGCCUAAGGCUAGGCUUGCGACUGGAGUGAAGUCGUAACAAGGUAGCCGUACUGGAAGGUGCGGCUGGAUCACCUCCUUUUCAGGGAGAGCGCAACGGAUGCACUAGAGCUAUAAGUGUAUGAAAGCUCAAAAAGAAAGUAAGUGGGUGUGCAUCCAACUUGCUUGCUCACGAAGACCUGGGGCAUUUUGAGGAAGCUCAUCAUUGGAAUAUACAAGCCAAGUUCUAUAAUGAAAAAUUCCCACUGGUAUAUGAAAGUGACAAAAUAAGAGACUCUCUAUCAUGAAGACCAUGGUGCUACUUUGAAGCACAAGUGUGGUAAAAGAAUAGUAACAUUGCGGAUAUUCAUUUCUGAGCUCGGGCUCAGAUGAACCCUAAAUCAGCAUCGUCCAGCAGCAUGGUGAUCUGUGCCGCCAGUGGUAUUCUAUCUCUGUAUUUCUCAGGUAUAGUACUAAAUAAAAGCCAUGUCACAGGCGCAUUAAAUUUGACGACAGCGCGCCCUGUAGACGCGGAACAGGUAACCUGACCACGGCUCACCCAAUUUUCCGAGCCAGUCUGAGCCGUGUCAUCCCACAGACUCAAUAACGGCCACCAUGACUAGCGCCUCAUAAAUAUAUCAAACCAUGGGACGCAAUACUAGCAGGUUUGCAAAACUGAGAUUCAGGUAUACCAACAAACUCACCCUCGGCCACACUAAAGCCAGUAGAACAAACAUUUUAACAACCAGUGAACCAGAAACAGUUCGGACAAACAAGAUCAUCGUUUUAUUAUCUGAUUCAGGCUUUUUGCCACCUCAAAAAUGGAGGAACAAGCAUGGAGCACUGCUCACUAGAACACACUAGAAAAUCUUCAGCAACUAAGAACAGAGUACAAACUUAAAUAUCACAUCCCAUUUUUCCAGCAAUUCCCAGUGGCCUGGUACAUAUGUUCCAGUGAUGACCUACCAUAUUAUAGUUCUUGCAUUUUCCAGGGUUUGCACAGCUUCUUCGGUGCAUCCCAGGGCAGGUUGUUCACUUGUGUCCCUCGCGCCGGCAGAAGCUGCAGAACUUUGUCCAUUUGCUCAGACCCUCGUAUGGUGCCUUCUCCAGUAUCUGUCGGCCUUCCAACCCCUCUGCUUAUCCGGGACUGCAAGACCUUUGCCAAUCGGUCCUCAAAAGCCAAACAAUCUCUCUUCUCUGCAAACGGUGCACUAGUAACCAACAAUCAUUCAGACUAGCUAACAUGUGCUCGAAUGACUCUGCACUCGCAUCCCCCAUCAUCAUGACAUCCAUAGCUUUCAUAUAUAGCGUCGAAUGUCUGCACGUGAAAGACAAGUUAACUGAAUGGUCUUUCUGGUAUUGAAUCAGGUGCUAGGGUAGUAUGUUCUUCACGUCCUUGGUCCACCGCUUGACAAUAUGCUUAACAGGAAUCUCCUCUAAGUGAAGUACAUCCAUGAACUAUGACAGCAAAACACGGUUUUCAGAAAUGUACAUCCUCAAAGCAGGUCACUCGCAUCUACACAACCUGCUAUUCUCAGCCUCUGGCUUCCUUGUUUUCCAAAAAAAGUAGAAAUGCUUUGUUAGUGACACAUUCAACUAUUCUUUUUGAGUUCAUAUACUUGAACAAGCGGCUUUAAGAAUUUACCGAGCAGACGCAGACAAUCUCCUGCAUUGAUUUGGUCCUCUCUGCGUUCAAUCUGCUUUUCCCAUAUCUUAUCCCAAAGCCAAUCUGCCACGAAUACAAAUUGUAUAAAUUGUACGCCUCAAUUGAAUCGAAACUUAGUCCUAGUUCAGGACAAACAACACAUUUUUGUCGGUUUCUCCGCAUACUUGUGAAUUGACUACUCAAGGGCACUCAUUCUUGAAGGAAAUGGGUUCUGUCUGGCAGCACGCUCCCUAG